rnacentral:lncRNA from 1 species
UUGAGGGCGAGGUCUGAACCCUCCAGACGGAGACGCUUGAGAUGGGAAGAGCCCACUUUGACUAAUUCAUUACGAAAAUAAUCGACAUCUUGCUCUUGCAAUUCACUUAACUCAAGGUCUUCAAUUCUCUGCAGUUGCACGAUCAGCGAAUCCUUCAAGCAAAUCUUGUUAUUUAGCUCGACUCUGAAUUGACGACACCAAAUGCCGGUUUUCCUCGAAAAAUAACGUCGAAUAUAUAUGCUGUACCUUUCCAGCUUCUCCAAGAGCAGGCCUCUGGGCAGACUGCUGACGUCACGGACGUGUACUUCCAAAGAGGUCAAGUUGGGCAAAUGCUUCAAUUCCUCAAGGCUUGCAUUCUUAACCCCUUCCACCUCCUCCUCCCAAUCAACAAAGCUUUCACGACCUAUAUAUAGUUCUUCUAAAUGUGAUAAUUUUGACAGUAUAUUUGGUGGAAUAACUUUCAGAAAACAACAAUCCCUCAAAUCAAGCAACUUUAGCCAAGUCAAUUCACCUACUUCUACUGGCAACUUCACAAUAUCAGAACCUCUUAAGCAAAGGAUUUCUAGUUUCUUCAAGUAUCCUACAAAACUUAUAUCAGGCAAGCCGCAGCUACACAAACUCAGUGUUCGAAGGUUUGACAGGAGACCAAGUGAUGAAGGCAGUAUCAUGUCAGUCAAGUUUACAACUCUGACCUCGAUCAUGCUCUUGAAAAAGUUGUCUGGAAUUGUUACUGGUGAAGUUUCCCAAGGAUCAUCACGACCACCACCACGUAUAAAAAGAAGUUCGAGUUGAGGACAUUCCAGUACUUCAGGAAGCAAAUUAGGCUUAAUACCAUGUAAGACGAUUGAAGUGAAAUGCUUUAUUGUACUUCCGUCUGACCAUUCCCUGCAACCAUCAACCUGCUCAUUUGUAGCAGUAAACACAUUUCGUUUAGUAGAUGCAAUUGAUAUGGCGACAUGGCGAACUACAUCAUGCAUAGAAAACAACUCUUCCUUCUCGCUUUCAUGGUCAAGCAACAUACAAGAAGCUUUGAGUGUGCGCACCAAUGCAUGUACUCGAUUUCGUGCUGCUUCCAUCUUAUUCACACCUUGAAAUAAACCCAAUCCCAUACCACACAUUAACAAGUCAUCAAUAGAUGCUAUGGCUGUAUAUCCUAUUAGCAAAAAGAUGUUCUUGAGAUCAUCCCUUCCUAGUUUAUUGUAGCUCAACUCGAUAGCUUUAUAUGCAGCUGGCUGUACAUCCUUAAAAUGGAACACAAGUGACCACAACAAGAUGGAACAAAAUAAAAAGGAAAAAAAUACAAAGAGUGGAUGGAGAAUAAAACAGAGACAGCGGCACAGCUGGACACAACUAGAUAGAGAACAGAGCAAAACCAAAUAACAAGACUUAAGAUUACAACAAACUGUGAAGAUAGCUCAUUAUGGAGAAAGAAGCAAUGGAAAGCAGAAGAAGGAAAAGCUUAAGUUGAAGCAGGAUACAGAGUAUAGUAGCAGCUCAGUUGCCAGCUCAGCAUAGUUAGUUUCAGUUCGUUAGAAGUGCAAAAUGUAUUGUGAUGAGUAUUAGCUAAUAACUUCCUUAAUUAGUUACAUUGAUUGUGAUUAACUAGAUGUUAGUAUAAAUACUCACGAAUUGUAUUACUCUGUAAUUAAGGAAAAUAACAAACUCUGCUCAAGAGUAUUUCAGAAUCCUUCGUUUAAUAUUUUCUCUAGAAACAAACAACUCUCUUUUAUAAUUCUUUUAUGGUAUCAGAGCCACUCAUGGCUAGUUCAAGCAAUACAAUCUUCAAUCCAAAUCAUAUUACUUCAAAUCAAUCAACUCAGAUAUCAUUUUCCUUUAGUUCUCCAGUCAAGCUAGAUAGAUCGAAUUUUAUGCUAUGGCGCAAGCAAGUUCUUACUUCGAUUAGAGGAAAUCGACUUGAGCAUCUAAUUUCUGAUAAUCAAGUGACACCAGAUCGUUACAUUACUCACACGGAAGUUGAUGGAUCUAUACAGAAAGUAGAAAAUCCAGCUUUUGUUCAUUGGAGAGCACAGGAUCAAACUCUUCUUGGCUGGAUCUUAUCCUCAAUUAGCGAAGGUAUUCUCAGCUCAAUUCUUAACUGUGAUAGUGCAUUUGAAGCUUGGAAAUGCAUUGAAAAACAAUUUGGAGUUCAAUCUGAAGCUAAGCUCAUGCAACUUCGUUAUGAACUAAAUAUUCUUAGGAAAGAAAAUAUGACUGUUGAGGAAUACUGCUUGAAGGUUAAAGCACUUGCUGAUAAACUCGCAUGUUCUGGAAGUCCUAUUUCUGAAAAAGAUCUACUGAUACAAAUCUUGAAUGGAUUAGGUCCAGGAUACUUAGAUCUUGCAUCAAUAAUUACUGCUAAUAAAAUGUCAUAUGAUGAUGCAUAUGCACUGCUAUUAACGCAUGAAGCUAGAAUGGAACAAAGUCAAAAUGCUAAGAGUGUGUUUAAUGCCAAUUAUGGCAUGAUGAAUGGGAAUUAUCCUCAAACUAAGGGCUAUAAUAGAAGAGGAGGUUAUAAUGGAUAUCAGGGACACUUCAAUGCUGGAAAUAGAAAUUUUGGUGCAGGAAGGGGAAUAAUGUUUACAAAUUCAAGAGGAUUUGUCAAUGGUGGUCAUGGUCCUGGUGCUUAUAAUUCUGGUAGGGGACAACUAAUGCACAUGCAGGCAUAUAGACCAACCACUUAUAAUAGAAACAUCUCUAAUGCUAACCUUGGUGCUGAAAAUGGAUCUGGAGAUAAUGUAUUAAUAUGUCAAAUUUGUCAUAAGUCUGGGCACACUGCAGAUGCUUGUUGGUAUAGGUUUGAGAAUUAUGUGCCUCCACCCAGAAACUUUGGAAGAGGGAGAGGUCAAAGGUCAGCAUAUAUGGCAAAUUUUGAAUCAUGUCCAAGUGCUGCUGGAUAUCCAAGUGCUGCUGGACCUUUUGAAACACAAUAUUAUCCAGACUACUCUAGUCAUCAGAUGUCUGAUUUGAAUUCAAUGAAUCACUCACUGGACUCUUUCUCUGCUCCUGGAGCUGCCUAUGUUGCUAACUAUGAAAGACCAGCUGAUGAGGGUUGGUAUUUAGACAGUGGAGCCACACAUCAUUUGACAAACAACAUGGCAAAUAUGCACAUCAGGGAGCAAUUCAGUGGAUCAGAUCAACUCAUUAUUGGCAAUGGACAAGGUCUGAAUAUAACUCAUAUUGGUGAUGCUUUUCUCAAUUUCAAAAGUUCAAAUGACAAACACAAACACACACCCAUAGCACUAAAAGACAUAUUGCUUGUUCCUUCAAUUACUAAGAACCUUUUGAGCAUUUCUAAACUUACUGCUGAUAAUAACCUGUCUGUUGAAUUUCUUGGAAAUAUCUGUGUUGUGAAGGAUACUCUGAAGGGGCAAAUACUGAUGCAGGGCCUUGCUGAGAGAGGAUUAUACAGGCUGUUAAUAAAUUCAUCUUCUUCAAAUACUCAGUCAUCUUCUUCUUUUCAUUCCCAUAUGUCUUCUAAUAAACCACUUUCAAUGUUGUCCUUUUAUCAUUCUGAUUCUGCUGGUCACACUGAUGUCGUUAGUGGAACUGCAAAUUUGAAAACUUGUUAUCAGACUGCUGUAUUACAUUAUACUAAAUCAAUCAAUAAAGCUUUACUUUUUCAUAGAAGAUUUGGUCAUCCUAGUGUUCAAGUGCUAUUACAUAUGCUCAAAAUUAACAAGUACAUUUCCAUUCCUACAUAUCAAAUUCAUCAAAUGCAUCAAACAACAUGUGAAGCAUGUCAAAAGGGCAAAGUUCAUAGGCUUCAUUUUCCCUGCACAGACACUAAAACUACCCAAGUUCUUGAGCUCAUACACACAGACUUAUGGGGACCCUCACCCACUCUAUCUAGGGAUGGAUAUCGAUAUUAUAUAAGCUUUGUUGAUGACUUCAGCAGAUAUACCUGGAUAUACCUUUUAAAAGUUAAGUCAGAUGCAUUAGAAGUUUUCAAACUCUUCAAGUUGCAAGUGGAAAAUCAGUUUACCACCACCAUUAAAACUCUGCAAUCUGACUGGGGAGGGGAGUAUAGAUCUUUUACAGAAUUUCUAAACCAAUCUGGUAUUAUCUUUAGGCAUUCAUGUCCUUAUACACAUCAUCAAAAUGGAUUGGUUGAGAGGAAACAUAGGCAUAUUGUAGAAUCAGGAUUAACUCUGCUGGCUCAAGCUCAUUUACCUUUUCAAUUCUGGUGGGAUGCCUUCCAUACAGCAGUUUACCUUAUCAACAGAUUGCCAUCACCUGUUCUGAAAUUUUCAAACCCAUAUGAAAAGAUUUUCAAGCAUAAGCCUAAUUAUGAUAUGCUCAGAUGCUUUGGCUGCACAUGUUACCCUUAUUUAAGAGAUUACAACAAACAUAAAUUUGCCUAUCACUCUAGCAAAUGUGUAUUCAUUGGGUAUAGUCCAUCACAUAAGGGUUAUAAGUGCUUACAUGCUUCAGGAAAAAUUUAUAUUGCCAGACAUGUUGUCUUUGAUGAGUUCACUUUUCCAUAUACCACAGACUCUUCUUUUCUUAAACAUUCAGCCUCUGAUUCUCAGUCUUCAUAUUCUAUUACUCCUCAACAAGUUCAUCAUCUUUCUACUUCACCUAUCCUACCAAUAUUUCUCAAUGACAACACUAAUAAUGCAAUCUCAGUGAGUUCAGAAAGCAUUGGUACAAGCACUUCAGUUCAUCCUACACAGCAAGAAGUUAAUCUAGAAUCACAGCAAGGUACGAUCAGUAACUCUUCACCUGUUCUUAUGUGUCCAUCCUCAGUUUAUGAACCUGUACCUAAUUCAUCACUUCCCCAUACUCACAACUCCCCUCAACAACAGUUCAAUAAUCCCAUUACACAUUCUCAUACACCUCAGAAUACACACCAAAUGAUAACUAGGGGAAAAGCUGGUAUCUUCAAACCCAAAGUGUAUAUUGCUGAUCUUGUUCACAAAGAACCAGACACUAUACAUGAAGCAUUAAAUGACUCAAAAUGGCUACAAGCCAUGAAGGAGGAGUUUGAUGCUUUAAUAAAAAAUGAUACAUGGACAUUGGUUCCAAGAGCAGCUAAUCAGCAAGUUGUUGAGAAUAAAUGGAUUUACAUAAUUAAGUACAAUACUGAUGGAAGUGUGGCUAAAUACAAGGCACGGCUAGUUGCUAAAGGAUUCCAACAAAUAGCAGGUGUAAACUAAUUUGAAACCUUCAGUCCUGUUAUUAAACCAGCAACUGUCAAAGUGGUAUUUGUUGAGUGUUAGAAAAUGUAUAUUUAUAAAGGAGAAAACCGUCAUUUUACAUUUCAAGUCUUACUAACAACCCUUACUUUUAUGUAUUUAACCUCCUUGUGAUUUAAUUACAUGUGUUUUAUUUUAAUUAAGUAUUUUAUGUAUUUUAGGGGCAUUAUAGUCAUUUCACAAUAAAGGAGAGAUCAGACGGCAAAACGGACAUCACUUUUGAACUCAGGACGAUCGAAAACCUUAGGAGGAGCAUAAAAGGAAAAAUGGCACUAUUCACAUGUACGGUACUAUUCACGUGUACGGUACUGUAUACGUUACUGUUCACGACACUGUUCACAUAGACGGACGAUGACGUGGCAUUGACCGAUGAUGUGGCAUUGACUGAUGAGGUGUCACGAUCCUGUUGGGCUAAAAUUCUUAUGUACUGUUGAUGCUGACGUGGCAGCAUAUCAGUGGAUGAAAAAUCUCGCGUACGGUACAUACAUCACACAGGAUUAUUUUCAAUCAAACCGCAUUACUGUUCAUCCGGGUCAAACCGUGUUACUGUUCAUCCGCGUGGUCAAACCGUGGACUGUUGACUGAUGACGUGGCGCAAUCCUGAGCGUUCAAACUGUUUUUAAUCCGAUGGCCAUGAUUUACUCCAUGUAUCUAUAAAAAGGGGGCCUCUCCCCCCUAAUUUGAUAUCUCUGAAUCCAUUUUUGGGAUCCAUUUUCUGUAAUUCCCUCUCCAUCUUGUAUUUUCUUCGUAUUUUAAUAAAUUCCCAUUUUGCCCCUAGUUCAAUUAUGAGUAGCUAAUUUCCUUUCAAGCUUGGGUUGAAGGUGAAGUCUCAACAUAUGCCAUGGGCUUAAUUUGGUAAAUUUAUUUUCUCUUCCCCUCUAGUUUUUGUGGAUGUUUUGACUUCUCGUCGACAAAUAAUACUAAUCUUAUCUAGUACCGCCUUGGUUUCACCGGCCCUCUAGUACAAGGUUAUUAUUAUUUGGCACGAUAAGCCCUUAGCACCAUAUUGAUUAGAGUGUGGUUCAUGAGGUGUGGAUUUCCCCCUCAUGAUUUAAUUGGUAUUAAUAAGGAAUAUUUAGCCCAUGGUGCAUGUUGAUACGGAUCCGGAUACCCAAGUGCUUCAUUUCAAUAGAUCUAUCUUCAAUUUAUUCUCGCCAUUACAAUUCCAAUUUUAGAAUUUAUUCUCGCCAUUUUAAUUUAAGUUUUAGCAUAUUCCAAAUCAUUUCCACCACAAAUCCAAUCCCCGAUUUACAAAAUUAAUUCUAUACACAAUUAAAAUCCACCUCCUCGUGGGAUCGACACUCGUCACCAUUAGUCUAUACUACAAUAGAUUUGUGCGCUUGCGAGUACAUUAAAAUUUGCACAACAAGUUUUUGGCGCCGUUGCCGGGGAGGUAAGUAAUUUUAAUUCAUAAAAUUAAUUUUUGUGAAUAAUUUCUUUUAUUUGUUUUCUUGUAUUUUUUAUUAAAAAAAAAAGUAAAUCUACAUUUAAAGGUUAGUAUUUCUUUUCUUUUUCUCUUCUUUAAAAUUCUGUAAUUUAAUUUUCAAUUUAUUUUUUCUUUGUAAUUUUUGUUUAUUUUAUUAAUUUAAUUUUUAGUUAAUUUAUUUCACGUAUUUGUUUUUGUGUAUUUUUAUAGAAAGGUUGUAAUAGCGCAAUAAGGUUAGUAUCGUAAUUUCUCCCUCUUCUUUAUUUUUAUUUGUUUUGUUCCCAUCUUUAUUUUUAUUUUAUUUGUUUUGCAUGCAUGGUCGUAGGUCAUUAUUACCUAAUCUUAAACCUAUAGACCUUGAAUUAGAAAAAACACUUCGCACACAAAAGCACAUUAAUAAAUUUGGAAUGGAUUUACAAGCACCACAGGAGAGGUCAUUCAAGGACUAUUUUAGUCCUUUAGCUAAUUUGAGCACAUCAUGUAUAAGAUACCCAAAUGUAGCUACUAGGAGUUUUGAAUUAAAACCUAGUGUGCUAAAUUGUCUCCCCACAUUUUAUGGCCUAGAAAAUGAGGACCCAUAUAAUCAUCUGAAUGAUUUUCAUGCCAUUUGUCAAACUUUUAAAUAUGAAAAUUUUUCAGACGAUGAUGUUAAACUUAGAUUAUUCCCAUUUUCUUUAAAGGAUAGAGCUCGUUCAUGGUUAAAUACUUUGCCUGCUAAUAGCAUUGCAUCAUGGGAACAAAUGGUAACUAAAUUUUUGAAUAAAUAUUUCCCAGUGCAUAAAACCAAUGCUAUUCGCAGGGAAAUCUCAGAGUUUACUCAGAGAGAGGACGAGCAGUUUUUCGAGACAUGGGAGCGAUUCAAUGGGCUACUCUUGAAGUGUCCACAUCAUGGGUACGAGAAAUGGCAUCAAUGCCAAUACUUUUUGGAGGGAUUAUUGCCGAAUGUGCAAGAAUGGCUAAUGGCAACAAGUGGAGGAGAGCUAAUAUCAAAAAGUGCAUCAGAGAUUUGGGAAUUCUUCCAGCGACAAGCGGAUAAUUCCCAACAACGGAGUCGAUCACUCAGGAAUACUAGAAGAAUUAAGGGAGUAAAUGAGGUUCAAAUUGGCGAGUCAACUUCGGGAAUCAAAGAAGUCAAGGAGAUGGUUGAAGGUCUUGCUCGACAAAUAGCAUCGUUGUCGACUGCUAAAUCAACAGAACCACAUGACCAUGACUCAUACUCCGAUCAAGCCAAUGCCAUAGGUGUAAUCAGAAAACCAUCGAAUUACAACCCAUACUCCAACACAUAUAACCCUGGAUGGAGAGACCAUCCCAAUUUUUCAUGGUCUCAAGGAUUCCAACAGAAUGGACCAGCAGCUCCAGCUCCGCCAAUUCCUCAAGUUCCUCAAGCCUCUCAGCCCCCAUUUAGACCAUACAAUCAGAACCAGAACUACUCUCAACCUAGACCAUGGGAGGAUUCAUUCCAGAAUCUCAAGAAUCUUACUCACUCUACGAUUGAGCAACAGAACCGCACCAUUGAUGGACUACGAAAUGAGUUGAGAGCGGGCUUCAACUCACAAGCCCAAUCAGUUUCAAGCCUCGAGAAGAUGGUGGGACAACUUGCUUCUUCAGUUCAGACCUUGGCAAUGACUGUUGAUAAAGGUAAAUUUCCAAGUCAACCAGUGCCUAAUCCUAAAGGAGUACAUGAAGCAAGUACUAGUUCACCACAGCAGCAUGGAGAGGUCAAAGCAAUCAUGACCUUGCGAAAAGGAAAGGAAGUCGACAACAAAGUGGAGAUGCCUGUGACAAAAGAAAAUCAAAUUGUACCUGUGAAUGUUGAAGACUCACCACCGGAGGAGAAAGAAGAAACCAACCCACGAGAAUACGUUCCGAAAGCUCCAUUUCCUCAGAGGUUAGCGAAAGGAAAGAAGGGAAAAUCCACAGGUGAGAUUCUUGAAAUCUUCAAACAGGUAAGUGUUAACAUCCCUUUGCUUGAUGCUAUUAAACAAGUUCCAUCUUAUGCCAAGUUUCUUAAAGACCUUUGUACUAAAAAGAGAAACAUGCAUGUUCAAAAGAAGGCAUUUUUAACAGAAAACGUUAAUUCUAUACUCCAACAUAAAAUUCCUUUAAAAUGCAAAGACCCAGGCUCCCCCACUAUCUCAUAUAGUAUAGGGAACCACACAAUUGAGAAUGCUUUGUUGGAUUUAGGAGCUAGUGUAAAUCUGUUGCCUUACUCAGUAUUUUUGAAACUUGGACUGGGAGAAUUACACCCAACUCCAGUGGUGUUACAGCUUGCAGAUCGGUCCACGAAAAUACCUCGUGGUAUUGUGGAGGACGUGCUUAUCCAGGUAGACAAGUUUUAUUUUCCUGUUGAUUUCAUUGUAAUUGACACUCAACCAAUACAGGAUUCAAGGAAGCACAUCCCCAUUAUCCUAGGCCGACCUUUCUUGGCAACUGCGGAUGCUCACAUUCAAUGCAGGACUGGAAAUAUGCAGUUGUCCUUCGGCAACAUGACUAUGGAGCUAAAUAUUUUCAACAUUGCCAAACAACCUCACAGUGCAGAUGAUGGAAUUGUUGAUGUGGAUUUAAUUGAAGCAUUAGUUGAUGACACUUUUAUUUCAAACCUUAGUGAUGAUCCUUUACAGACAUGCUUAACUCACUUUGGUUUUGAUUUUGAUAUUGACAGAUCGGUUGAUGAGGUCAACGCUCUACUUGACUCAACACCAUCCAUGGACACUAAUAAAUGGAAGUCAAGAGUUGAACAACUAGCACCAUCAGAAAAGAAACUCAUCCCAUCAUCAGAAUCACCACCGAAACUCGAGCUCAAACCAUUGCCCAACACUCUGGAAUAUGCAUUUUUGGGAGAAGAAAGUACUCUGCCGGUAAUCAUCUCAUCAUCCCUAAAUGACGAACAAAAAGGUAAGUUGUUGGAUGUUUUAAAAGAGCAUAAAGGAGCAUUAGGAUGGACCAUAGCAGACAUAAAAGGUAUAAACCCCGUAGACUGCAUGCAUUACAUUCACCUUGAUGAAAAUGCUAAAUCUACUAGGGAAAUGCAACGUCGGUUAAAUCCUAAUAUGAAAGAAGUUGUUAGAACUGAAGUCCUUAAGCUAUUAGACGCAGGUAUCAUUUACCCAAUUUCUGAUAGUUCAUGGGUCAGUCCUGUACAAGUUGUCCCCAAAAAGUCAGGAGUCACAGUAGUUACCAAUGCUGAUAAUGAAUUGAUACCAACUAGAGUAACUACAGGAUGGCUUGUAUGCAUUGAUUAUAGAAAGUUGAAUUCUGUCACACGUAAAGACCAUUUUCCUUUACCAUUUAUUGAUCAAAUGCUUGAUAGAUUAGCAGGCCAUGAAUUUUAUUGCUUUCUAGAUGGCUACUCAGGAUAUAAUCAGAUUCCCAUAGCACCAAAAGAUCAGGAGAAAACUACUUUCACUUGCCCUUUUGGCACUUUUGCAUAUAGGAGAAUGCCAUUUGGAUUAUGUAAUGCACCUGCUACAUUCCAACGAUGCAUGUUGAGCAUUUUUUCUGAUAUGGUUGAACGAUUCCUUGAAGUCUUUAUGGAUGAUUUUUCUGUCUUUGGUGACUCGUUUGAUCAAUGUUUACAUCAUCUAACACUAGUUCUGCAGAGAUGUAUUGAGAAGAACUUAGUCUUAAAUUGGGAGAAGUGCCAUUUUAUGGUAAAACAAGGUAUUGUUCUCGGUCACAUCAUUUCGAGCAAAGGUAUUGAGGUUGACAAAGCCAAGGUGGAUCUCAUUUCUAAUCUUCCUCCACCUAAAACAGUCAGAGAAGUAAGAUCUUUCCUUGGACAUGCUGGUUUCUAUAGACGUUUCAUUAAAGAUUUUAGCAAAGUUUCUAGACCCUUAUGCAAUUUACUUGCUAAGGAUGUACCUUUUAUCUUUAAUGAUUCAUGUCUCAUGGCGUUUGAAAAAUUAAAGCAGUUGUUGACAUCAUCACCCAUCAUUCAGGCCCCAAACUGGAGCUUACCAUUUGAGCUCAUGUGUGAUGCAUCUGAUUAUGCAGUAGGAGCAGUAUUAGGACAAAGAGUUGAUCGAAUUCCGCAUGUUAUUUACUAUGCUAGUAUGACAUUGAAUGAUGCACAGUUGAAUUAUUCAACUACUGAAAAAGAAAUGCUAGCAGUAGUGUUUGCAUUAGAGAAAUUUCGAUCUUAUCUCAUUGGUUGUAAAAUAAUUAUAUUCACAGAUCAUGCUGCUCUUAAAUAUCUUCUCACAAAGAAAGAUGCAAAAGCUAGACUAAUUCGUUGGGUGUUACUUUUGCAGGAAUUUGACUUGGAAUUCAAAGAUAAGAAAGGGACAGAAAAUGUUGUGGCGGACCAUCUCUCUCGUCUCCAUUUUGACACAAUUACAGAGCCAUUAAUAUUGAAUGAGUCAUUCCCAGAUGAACAAUUAAUGAAUGUGGAAGUAUUACCUUGGUAUGCUGAUAUAGUUAAUUAUCUUGUUACAGGUAAACUUCCAGAGCAUUGGACCAAGCAAGACAAGGCUAAAUUCUUUGCAGAAAUAAAGAAUUUCUUUUGGGAUGACCCGUAUUUGUUCAAGUAUUGUGCAGACCAAAUUGUUAGACGAUGUGUCCCAGAAAGUGAAAUUCAGAAUAUCCUUUCAUUCUGCCAUGAACAAGCUUGUGGAGGCCAUUUCAGUGCUAAGAAAACAACGACUAAAGUUUUAAAAUGUGGUUUCUAUUGGCCAACUAUAUUUCGAGAUGCUUACACUUUUUGUUCUUCAUGUGAUAGGUGUCAACGAAUGGGGAGUAUUACACGAAGGAACAUGAUGCCACUAAAUCCAAUUUUAGUGGUUGAGAUUUUUGACGUAUGGGGUAUCGACUUCAUGGGACCCUUUCCCCCUUCUUUUGGCCAUCAAUACAUAUUGGUUGGUGUUGACUACGUCUCAAAAUGGGUAGAAGCAAUUCCAUGUAGAACCAAUGAUCACAAGGUGGUGAUAGGAUUUUUGAAAAGCAACAUUGUUUCGCGCUUUGGAUUCCCUCGAGCAAUAAUCAGUGAUGGUGGUGCCCACUUUUGUAACAAAGCAUUCAAAGCUCUUUUGACAAAGUAUUCAAUCACACACAAAGUGGUGACCCCGUAUCAUCCGCAAACCAGUGGCCAAGUUGAGAUAUCCAAUCGAGAAAUAAAGCACAUAUUAGAAAAAACGGUGAGGCCAGACAGGAAAGAUUGGUCAUUAAGACUUGAUGAUGCAUUAUGGGCAUACAGAACGGCUUUCAAGACCCCGAUUGGGAUGUCACCCUACAGGCUAGUGUAUGGAAAAGCUUGCCACCUACCUGUGGAACUCGAGCAUCGUGCGUAUUGGGCCAUCAAGAAAUUCAACUUUGACAUGCAGCAAGUCAGCUCAGAAAGAAGAUUACAACUGGCAGAACUUGAAGAAAUUCGCAAUGACGCAUACGAAAAUGCCAAGAUUUACAAGCAACAGAUGAAAAUCUUUCAUGACAAGCAAAUUAUGAGAAAAUCGUUCACUCCAGGUCAGAAAGUGCUUUUAUUCAAUUCUCGUUUGCACCUAUUCCCAGGUAAGCUACGCUCUCGAUGGUCUGGUCCCUUUAUUGUUCAUACUGUUUUUCCACAUGGGGCAAUUGAAAUUAAGGACCCAAAGAACGGUGUCACGUUUAAAGUUAAUGGUCAAAGAUUAAAGCCAUAUCUAGAGUACCAACCACAUGGAGAAGACACCGAAAUAAAUUUGAGUGACCCACCAGAUUUGAAUUGAUUUUUUCUUUUUAUUGAUUUGAUUUUUCUUUCUUUCUUUUUAUUGUUCUUUUGCUAAUUGAAAUUAUUUUUGCAUAAGUGUGUUUGUUUUACCAUUAAGUUUUUUUUUCUUAUCAUUGUUAAUCAUGAGUACCAUACUUAGACCGUUCCUCCUGAACAUUCUUAAACCACUUCAGCGUGUCAAAACUCAUCUCAAAAAGCAGAUUCAAUUUUGUAAAACACAACGCAUUUGGGCUUUACAACCACCAGAGUUAGUAGCCUAUGUUGAGGGUUUAGAACGCCAACUCAGAGACAUUGAGAGAAGUGUUUACGACAUCCAAUUGGAGCUUGAGGUAAAUUCAAUAAGAGGACGAUUUUAAUUUUCUUUGUGUGUUUUAAUUUGUUUUUCUGUUUGUGUGCUUUAGUUUGUUACCCCGGUGAAGUGGCGGAUAACGGUACUCUGUGACAAUCAAGUCGGUUACUUCAGUUUCCCAUAAUAACUGACAUUCUGAGGCAAAAGUAUGGACAGAAACGAGAUUCUAGCGAAGCUUCACAAGCGAUUCCCUUCACUUCCUCAGAAUGCCCUCCUUAUGAUCUAUAAAGCUCGGUCCGAACGCAUGCGAUUGCUCAUGAGGAAUAACAUACCUGCUGAUAUCCGUUGGUUAAUCGAGGCGAAAGUACGAUCGGCAGGUGAGUUACCUCCAAAAUUUAUUGCAUACAUGUCUGGUUGUGGUAAAGGAAAUUAUGCAAGAAAACGACGAGCUCGACGAAUUUCUGUUGCUUGUCAUAAGUGUGCCAGAAUGAGUUGCAAUAAAAACCCAUGUUCUUUAGGAAUGAUGUCUGAUAACAGGGAAGACAAGAUUCAAUUCAUUAGGGAUGGCUUGAAUAAGGAGUCAUUGGAUGAUAUCCUUUUGUCUCUUGAAACGCAUCCCAGUGGAUAUGUGCAAGGAGCGAUUCUCCAGUUAUGGCUAUUAUUCCAGAAAGAGCAUGCACGAUACAGUCUCGGGAAUCUGACUAUAAACGACCAUGUUUGCCAGUUUGUAAGAAAACUGGAUAGGAAGCCUAUCCUCGACUCAUAGAGGGCGUUCAAGCCGUUUCUGGACGUAAAACCAGAGGAAGAUGUGAGCCACAGUCGCAACUACGUGUAAAUAUCCUUUUACUUUACUGUACUUUUUCCUCCUUACUGUUUGCUUUUUUCCUUAUUACUAUUUGCUUUUUCCUUUUUACUGUUUCCUUUUUGACUCGCGAUCCACGUGCUUUACGCAUUAUUUGACACUGACAUGUUACCUCAUACACCACUAUGACCCACUAUCACCAAGACUCUUAAAUGUGAUUUCUUUUUUGUCAAGCACUCACAAAUUGUUUUUGAGAAGUAUCACAAUGGCCGCUACUCCCAAUAGACAAUUCAAGAACAUUUGUGUGCUUUCUGGAUUUACCUAUGGCAAACAUAAAGAGUUCGUGGAGGCAGCCAUAGAUCUUGGUCGAAGCAUAGCAGCGAGAAAAUUACACUUGGUGUAUGGAGGAGGUAACCGAGGGUUAUAAAAAAUGGUCUCAGAAGCAGCUUUUAUCAGAGGAAGUCAAGUGUUAGGCAUCAUCCCAAGAGUCCUAAAACCAUUGGGCAGUUCGUCUGACUCAUCAACUGGAGAAGAGUUAGUUGUCUCAGGUAUGCAAGAAAGAAUAACUGAAAUGCUUAAUCAUGCUGAUGCUUUUAUUUUCCUUCCAGGAGAUCUUGCAACACUAGAGGCACUUAUCACACUAGCAUCCUGGGCCCAUCUGCACAUCCACCAGAAACUCAUCGGUUUGUUAAAUGUCAAUAACUUUUAUGAUGGCUUUAUCGCAUUUCUUAACCAUGCAAUAAAAAACUACUUCAUUCCUUCCCAUGCGAAAAAACUUUUUAUUUGUGCUCACACUGCUAAUGAGCUACUUGAUCUGUUACAAGCUUAUAGACCGGAGCCAGACCCCUGGACCUUUGUGUUGGAGCGCCCAAAUAAUGAUGGUAACAGUAGCCGCAGUAAGAAGUACAAAUUAGAUUUAACUCUCCGCUUGUGAAUAUUUUCUUUUGUGUUGCACCACCCAGGUGAUGUCUUCUAAACUCUACUUCUUUCCUUUAAAACAUUGAGGACAAUGUUUCGUUCUGGUUGGGGGGAGGGAAUAGUCGACAAUUGUGGAAUCUUGGUUAAGUUUUUACUGAUUUUUUUUGUUGUAGAAACUAACUAUUGCUAACUUUUUGUGUUGAAGAAGGCUGAAUAUGGAGUGUAGUGACUCUAGAAACGCAUCUUCUUCACAGAGAUCAACGAUGCGUACUGUCUUCUAACAGAGGAUGGAGAGCCUCCAACUUUUCAUGAAGCUUUAAACAGUUCAGAUGUUGCUUUGUGGAAGACAGCAAUGCAGGAAGAAAUUGAAGCUCUAUACAAGAACAAGACAUGGGAACUUGUACCACUACCACACGGAAGAAAAUCCAUUGGAAACAAAUGGGUCUACAAGAUCAAACGUGAUGGUAAUGAUCAAGUGGAGCGGUAUCGUGCAAGACUGGUGGUGAAAGGAUAUGCUCAGAAAGAAGGUAUUGACUUCAACGAGAUAUUUUCUCCGGUGGUUCGACUCACAACAGUCAGAAUAGUCUUGGCAAUGUGUGCUACAUUUGACCUACAUCUAGAGCAGUUAGAUGUUAAAACUGCAUUUCUUCAUGGAGAACUUGAAGAAGAAAUUUAUAUGCUCCAACCAGAAGGUUUUGCAGAAACAGGAAAAGAGAACUUGGUUUGCAGGUUGAACAAAUCUCUAUACGGUCUCAAACAGGCACCGAUGUGUUGGUAUAAGAGAUUUGAUUCCUUCAUUAUGAGCCUUGGAUACAACAGACUCAGUUCAGACCAUUGUGCAUAUUACAAGAGGUUUAAAGAUAAUGAUUUCAUCAUUUUGCUGUUGUAUGUGGAUGACAUGUUGGUAGCAGGUCCCAACAAAGAUCGAAUCCAAGAAUUGAAGGCACAAUUGGCUAGGGAGUUUGAAAUGAAGGACUUGGGACCAGCAAACAAGAUUCUAGGGAUGCAAAUUCACCGAGACAUAAAUAACAGGAAGAUUUGGCUUUCGUAGAAGAAUUAUUUGAAGAAAAUCUUGCGGCGCUUCAACAUGCAAGAUUGUAAGUCAAUUUCUACCCCACUUCCUGUUAAUUUCAAAUUAUCCUCAAGUAUGUGUCCUAGCAAUGAAGCAGAGAGGAAGGAGAUGUCUCGAGUACCGUAUGCAUCAGCAGUGGGAAGUUUGAUAUUCGCUAUGAUAUGUACAAGACCGGACAUUGCACAAGCAGUGGGAGCAGUCAGUCGAUACAUGGUGAAUCCUGGUGGAGAGCAUUGGAUAGCUGUGAAGAUGAUUCUGAGAUACAUCAGAGGAACCUCAGAUGUUGCAUUAUGUUAUGGAGGAUCAGAGUUUACUGUCAGGGGCUAUGUGGAUUCAGAUUUUACAGGAGACCUUGAUAAAAGGAAAUCCACUACUGGUUAUGUGUUUACACUUGCGGGAGCAGCUGUAAGCUGGGUUUCGAAACUGCAGACAGUUGUGGCUUUAUCUACAACAGAAGCAUAGUACAUGGCAGCUACACAAGCUUGCAAGGAAGCUAUUUGGAUACAAAGAUUAUUGGAGGAGCUCGGGCACAAACAACAGAAAAUUCUUGUGUUUUGUGACAGUCAGAGUGCCUUGCACAUUGCAAGGAAUCCAGCCUUUCAUUCCAGGACAAAGCACAUAGGAGUUCAGUAUCAUUUCGUUCGAGAAGUAGUGGAAGAUGGAAGUGUGGAUUUACAGAAAAUCCAUACGAAGGAGAACCUAGCAGAUGUUUUGACCAAGCCGAUAAAUACUGAUAAGUUUGUCUGGAGUAGAUCAUCUUGUGGCCUAGCAGAAACGUAGGCAACAUGAUUAUGGCGAAGCAGAAAGGACGGUGUGGAGAUUGAUUGUUUUUCAAUCUAAUCUCCAAGUGGGAGAAAUGUUGAAUAUGGGGCACCACUCUUCUAGAAAUGUUGAAAAUGGGCCCUCUUCUAGAAAUGUUGAAAAUGGGCCGAAAUGCUUGAAGAGGAAAAUGGAAAAAGAAAUGUUUGAAGAAGAAAAUGAGGAACACGGUUUUGACUUUCUUGGCCAUCAUUUUGCUAUAAAUAGAAGUGCAAAUGAAGAGCUUAAGUAUUCCAUUCUGAGAGUAAUUUAGCAGUUGAGAGAGAGUUUAGAGAGCUUGAAUUUAUAAGCUCUUGUUAUAGUGAUUUUGAGAGUUUGGGUGUAUUGGAGUUUUGGGAAGUGAGCUAAAAUACUACAAUACUUGUAACUCCUUUUCACUAGUAAAAUAUUUCCUUCUGUCUUCGCCCGUGGAUGUAGGCUAAAAGCCGAACCACGUAAUUUCUGGUGUCCUCUAGUGUGCUUGUUCUUUAUUUUCUUCCAAUUUUAUUUUAUCUGCGUGUAUGCUUCACCCACCAAUUUCCUAGCAGUGGUAUCAGAGCUAUUGGUUGUAUUUUUUGGAGUCAGGAACUAUUCACGUAAUGGGUACUAUUCACGUAUAUGGCACUAUACACGUACACGAUACUAUUCACGUAUACGGUACUGUUCACGUAUACGGUACUAUUCACGUGAAACGGUGGAAGCGAUCCAAGAAUUUUGCGGUGCAAAGCAGGGAAUAGUGGUGUGAGUAAAGCAACUGUGUGGUUUUGUACAUGUCUAGGAAAGUUCUGUCACAAAGGCGAUAAGAGCUUAAGGAGUCUGGGUUUUAAGUGGGACCAUUGUGACCCCUCAAGUCUUUCCUGGGAACUUUCCUGGUGUGCAUUCUCACACAUACUCACAACUAUUCAAGGUGGUAUACUAGCUUGUGUGCAGUAUUUAUCAACAAAAUAGCGGCAAAGUAUGAAAUUGAGAAAUUUAACGGAAAUAAUUUUUCGUUGUGGAAAAUGAAGAUGAAAGCUGUAUUGAGGAAAAAUAAUUGCUUGGCAGCAAUUGGAGAAAGGCCCAUGGAGAUAACUGAUGACAAGUGGAACGAGAUAGAUGGCAACGCCAUUUCUGAUAUACACUUGGCACUUGCAGAUGGAGUAUUAUCUAGUGUGGCAGAGAAAAACACAGCGAAGGAAAUAUGGGAUACUCUUACAAAAUUGUACGAGGCCAAAUCACUACACAACAAAAUCUUCUUGAAGAGAAAACUCUAUACUCUUCGAAUGGUGGAAUCUACAAUGGUGACCGACCACAUCAACACCUUGAAGACUCUAUUUUCACAACUCACAACGUUGGGUCAUAAUAUAGAGGAAAAUGAACGUGCAGAGCUUCUACUUCAAAGUCUACCAGAUUCAUAUGAUCAACUCAUUAUCAACCUGACGAACAACAAUCCAGUGGACAGUCUAGUUUUCGACGAUGUUGCAGCCUCCAUAUUAAAUGAGGAAAGCAGGCGGAAAAAUAAGGAAAACAGACAAGCAAGUUCGCAGCAAGCGGAGGCGCUAUCAGUGACGAGAGGGAGAUCAACGGAACGUGGCCCCAGUGGGAGUCAAAAUCAUGGUAGAUCAAAAUCCAGAAGUAAGAAGAAUGUUAAAUGCUACAACUGUGGCAAGAAAGGGCACGUAAAAAUGGAGUGUUGAAGUAACCAGAAGAGAAGAGAGGGUAAAGAACCUGAGUCAUCAAAUGCUCAGGGGUGUGUAGCAAGUACCUCAGAUGAUGGCGAAAUACUCUACAGCGAGGCAACAACUGUUUCAGAAGGCAGAAAAUGACUUUCUGAUGUCUGGCUUAUAGACUCAUGAGCUACCUGGCACAUGACCUCUAGGAGAGAAUGGUUCCACACAUAUGAACCUAUCUCAGGAGGAUCUGUAUAUAUGGGUAACGAUCAUGCAUUGGAGAUCGCUGGUAUUGGUACUAUCAAAAUAAAAAUGUUUGAUGGUACAAUUCGCACAAUUGGGGAGGUACGACAUGUCAACGGCCUGAAGAAAAAUCUAUUGUCUUUGGGACAAAUAGACAAUCAUGGGUGCAAAACUCAUGUGGAGAAUGGAAUUAUGAAGAUCGUUAAAGGAGCACUUGUAUUGAUGAAGGCAGAAAAGAUCGGUGCUAAUCUAUUCAUGCUUAAAGGAGAAACACUACAGGAGGCUGAUACGUGUGUCGCAUCAAAUGGAGAAGAGUCAACGAUGAUGUGGCAUCUCAAACUUGGCCACAUGUCAGAACAAGGUUUGAAGAUUCUCUCUGAGAGAAAAUUGCUUCCGGGGCUCAAAUCGGUAAGUUUACCAUUUUGCGAGCAUUGUGUUACAAGUAAGCAGCAUAGAUUAAAAUUCAGUAGAUCUAUUGCUAGAAGUAAAUGCAUUCUAGACUUGAUUCAUUCUGAUGUUUGGGAAUCACCGGAUAUAUCCAUGGGAGGUGCAAAGUACAUGGUGACUUUCAUUGAUGAUUAUUCCAGAAGAUGUUGGGUAUAUCAAAUUAAGAAAAAGUCAGAUGUAUUUCUAGUGUUUAAAGAAUACAAAGCGCGGUUGGAACUUGAAUCUGGUAAAAAGAUCAAGUGCUUGAGGACGGAUAAUGGUGGAGAGUAUACAGAUGGCGAGUUUCUUGCUUUCUGUAAGCAAAAAGGUAUUCAGAGGCAGUUCACGGUGGCAUACACUCUUCAACAAAACGGAGUGGCGGAGCGGAUGAACAGAACUCUUACAGAAAGAAUAAGAGCUAUGUUGAGGACUGCUGGUCUACCCAAUUCAUUCUGGGAAGAAGCAGCCAAAACUGCCUGUUAUAUAGUAAAUCGAUCGCCAUCUACAGCUAUUGGGCUGAAGACAGCGAUGGAGAUGUGGACUAGAAAGCUAGCUGAUUAUUCUUACCUACAUGCAUUUGGAUGUCCUGUGUACAUAAUGUACAAUGCCCAAGAAAGAACAAAGCUGGAUCCAAAAUCUAGAAGAUGUAUCUUCUUGGGGUAUGCUGAUGGAGUAAAGGGGUAUCGUCUGUGGGACCCCACUGCCCACAAGAUCGUCAUCAGCAGAGAUGCUAUCUUUGUAAAAGAUCAACUGCAAAGGAGAGAUGAGGAUGAUGGCACUACAAAAGAAAAGUCAGAGACUGUUCCAGUAUAUGUGGAAAAUAAUCUAGAAGAUUCAGAUUCUUCUGAAGUAGCACCAGAGCACGAGGAACAAGAACCAGUCGACUCCGAGACUCCAGAAGUUUGUCGGUCAACUCGUGAGAGACGACCGCCAACGUGGCACUCAGAGUAUGUCACAGAGAUCAACGUUGCGUACUGUCUUCUAACAGAGGAUGGAGAGCCUCCAACUUUUCAUGAAGCUUUAAACAGUUCAGAUGUUGCUUUGUGGAAGACAACAAUGCAGGAAGAAAUUGAAGCUCUAUACAAGAACAAGACAUGGGAACUUGUACCACUACCACACGGAAGAAAAUCCAUUGGAAACAAAUGGGUCUACAAGAUCAAACGUGAUGGUAAUGAUCAAGUGGAGCGGUAUCGUGCAAGACUGGUGGUGAAAGGAUAUGCUCAGAAAGAAGGUAUUGACUUCAACGAGAUAUUUUCUCCGGUGGUUCGACUCACAACAGUCAGAAUAAUCUUGGCAAUGUGUGCUACAUUUGACCUACAUCUAGAGCAGUUAGAUGUUAAAACUGCAUUUCUUCAUGGAGAACUUGAAGAAGAAAUUUAUAUGCUCCAACCAGAAGGUUUUGCAGAAACAGGAAAAGAGAACUUGGUUUGCAGGUUGAACAAAUCUCUAUACGGUCUCAAACAGGCACCGAUGUGUUGGUAUAAGAGAUUUGAUUCCUUCAUUAUGAGCCUUGGAUACAACAGACUCAGUUCAGACCAUUGUGCAUAUUACAAGAGGUUUAAAGAUAAUGAUUUCAUCAUUUUGCUGUUGUAUGUGGAUGACAUGUUGGUAGCAGGUCCCAACAAAGAUCGAAUCCAAGAAUUGAAGGCACAAUUGGCUAGGGAGUUUGAAAUGAAGGACUUGGGACCAGCAAACAAGAUUCUAGGGAUGCAAAUUCACCGAGACAUAAAUAACAGGAAGAUUUGGCUUUCGUAGAAGAAUUAUUUGAAGAAAAUCUUGCGGCGCUUCAACAUGCAAGAUUGUAAGUCAAUUUCUACCCCACUUCCUGUUAAUUUCAAAUUAUCCUCAAGUAUGUGUCCUAGCAAUGAAGCAGAGAGGAAGGAGAUGUCUCGAGUACCGUAUGCAUCAGCAGUGGGAAGUUUGAUAUUCGCUAUGAUAUGUACAAGACCGGACAUUGCACAAGCAGUGGGAGCAGUCAGUCGAUACAUGGUGAAUCCUGGUGGAGAGCAUUGGAUAGCUGUGAAGAUGAUUCUGAGAUACAUCAGAGGAACCUCAGAUGUUGCAUUAUGUUAUGGAGGAUCAGAGUUUACUGUCAGGGACUAUGUGGAUUCAGAUUUUACAGGAGACCUUGAUAAAAGGAAAUCCACUACUGGUUAUGUGUUUACACUUGCGGGAGCAGCUGUAAGCUGGGUUUCGAAACUGCAGACAGUUGUGGCUUUAUCUACAACAGAAGCAUAGUACAUGGCAGCUACACAAGCUUGCAAGGAAGCUAUUUGGAUACAAAGAUUAUUGGAGGAGCUCGGGCACAAACAACAGAAAAUUCUUGUGUUUUGUGACAGUCAGAGUGCCUUGCACAUUGCAAGGAAUCCAGCCUUUCAUUCCAGGACAAAGCACAUAGGAGUUCAGUAUCAUUUCGUUCGAGAAGUAGUGGAAGAUGGAAGUGUGGAUUUACAGAAAAUCCAUACGAAGGAGAAUCUAGCAGAUGUUUUGACCAAGCCGAUAAAUACUGAUAAGUUUGUCUGGAGUAGAUCAUCUUGUGGCCUAGCAGAAACGUAGGCAACAUGAUUAUGGCGAAGCAGAAAGGACGGUGUGGAGAUUGAUUGUUUUUCAAUCUAAUCUCCAAGUGGGAGAAAUGUUGAAUAUGGGGCACCACUCUUCUAGAAAUGUUGAAAAUGGGCCCUCUUCUAGAAAUGUUGAAAAUGGGCCGAAAUGCUUGAAGAGGAAAAUGGAAAAAGAAAUGUUUGAAGAAGAAAAUGAGGAACACGGUUUUGACUUUCUUAGCCAUCAUUUUGCUAUAAAUAGAAGUGCAAAUGAAGAGCUUAAGUAUUCCAUUCUGAGAGUAAUUUAGCAGUUGAGAGAGAGUUUAGAGAGCUUGAAUUUAUAAGCUCUUGUUAUAGUGAUUUUGAGAGUUUGGGUGUAUUGGAGUUUUGGGAAGUGAGCUAAAAUACUACAAUACUUGUAACUCCUUUUCACUAGUAAAAUAUUUCCUUCUGUCUUCGCCCGUGGAUGUAGGCUAAAAGCCGAACCACGUAAUUUCUGGUGUCCUCUAGUGUGCUUGUUCUUUAUUUUCUUCCAAUUUUAUUUUAUCUGCGUGUCUGCUUCACCCACCAAUUUCCUAGCAUUAACUAAAUAUUUUUUAACCAUAUAUGUAUAGUUGGAUUAAAUAGUGGAGAUUACAACAAAACAUAUGCGAAUUAGUUGUGAUGUUGAGUUCAGAAGAUUGAAGUUAAAAAAAUUAAAGGUUUCUUGAUCAAGGGAAAUUUCAAAAGAGUGAAGCGUCUUCUAGAUCAAGACGAAAAUAAGGAAAGGGUAAGGGUGUAUUUUCAAAGUGAUUCUAUUGAAAGAUCUUUGAAGAUUACUUUCGUUAAGAGCAGGAUCCCACACUCUUGAGCCUUUGUCGUCCCAGUCAACUAUAAAGACACAUUAUUAUUGAGUAUGAACAUUGCGACUUAUAGAUCACCAAAUUUUCAAACUUAUGAUCUUCGUUGAAUCUGCAAUCCCUUUUGAAAAAAAAAAAAAAAAAAAAGGAAAACUGCAAAUAAUGAAACAAAAUUCUGUUCCUUGAUAGAGUUACGCGGCUUCAACUUGCAAGUGCUGUCGGCAUUUUCAAACUUGUAAGACCCUUCAACUUGCUUUCCAAGAUAGCUAUAAUCAAUAAUGACAACCGAAGACGGCUACGUUUGCGGUACAAAAGUUGCACCAUAUUAGACGUUCUUUUUAGGGAUGGCAAUGGGGCGGGGUGGGGGUGGGGAUGCCUACCCCAUUCCCCACCCCAUUAAAAUUUUUUGCCUCCAUUCCCCACCCCAUUCCCCAAUAAAUUUAGUGGGUUGGGGAUGGGGAAUCCCCACGUGGGGAAUGAUUCCCCCAUCCCCACCCCAUUCCCCAUUUACAUAUUUUAUAGUAAAUAUAAAAAUAUGAUUUCAGUAAAUUAAAAAUUAGAGACUUAAGAUAAAAUCAUCACAAUAUUAUAAAGUAUUUAAUUUUAAAAAAAAAUCUCUAAAAAUUUGAAACAAUAUCUUAAAAUGAUAUUAAAAGUGAAAAAUAUUUAAAGAAAGCAGCACCUUAAAAGAGAAAAGAAAAUAUAUUAAUGUUUUAAAGUUGAAAAAUAUUGUAGAAUUUUCUUUUAUUCAUAUUCUAUUUAUAUUACAUAAAAAUUAAAAAAAAAUUAUUAAUUGACAUUAUAGUUGAUAAAAUACAAAUUAUUAAAUAAGAAUUAAAAACAUAUUUAUAUAUAAUGGGGAUUGGGGUGGGGGUGGGGUGGGGAGUGCAAUACCAAACCCCACCCCGUUAACAAUUUGGGGAUUACUUUUCUCCCACUCCCCACCCCAUUCCCCAAAAAUUAUUAAAAAAUUUCCCCAUUUGGGGUGGGGCUCCAUGGGGCCCCAACCCGUGGAGGAUUUUGCCAUCCCUAGUUCUUUUUUGUUCUUAUCCGAAGUAACCGUUGGAUUCAAAGGAAAGUGAUCAGACAUUCAAUAGCUUCACACGUGGACAUUAUAGGAUACCGGUCAAAUCGGUUAGUGCUCCUCCACAUCAAACUCACAAGCAUGGCUAUCAUCGUAUCAGCUUGGAAACUUGUUACAAGUGACGAAGAGCAACAGGGUCCGCUCCUCUAGAGUCGGUUAGUGCUCAAUAAUGUUACAGGUUUUAUAAUCUAUGUAACUGGUACGAUCGCUGUCUCAAGUGGUAAACUUUUGAGGCACAAAUUUAGAACGAAAAGUUUCCAAUAAAAUAAGUUAUUUAAUUAAUUAAAUAAGAAUAAAAUGAAUUUGUAAAAAAAUUUUAAAUUUAAUUUUGAAUUAUUUUGACCAAAAUUUAAGUUUUUUUUUUUAAUUUGUUUAAGAAAAUGUGUUGUAAUUGUCUUGUUUUAAUUGGAAAAUCAAUGAAAAAAUUAUGUAAAAAAAAAAAAAAGCAAAACGCUUUGUUUUGGAUGGAGGCCAUAGAUUCCAAUAUUUCCUUAACGAAAACUACAAAAAAAUUAUCAAAGGCAUCAAUUUCUACACUCUCACCGAGCAAUACUCUUAUGCUGUGUUUACUUGCUGGAGUGGGAGUGAGGAGUGUGGAUUCCUCCCACUCCAGCGUUUACUUACUCAAAAUGGGGAGGGAUUAGGAAUCUCACUCCGUGGGCCCCAUCCAUUUUUGAAGUGGGGAGUGGGAGUGGGACUCCGAUUGGGGGAGGUGGGAGUGGGAAUCCACCCCCACCUCUCCCAUUUCUACCCUUUUUUUUAAUUUUAUGUUUUAUAAUUAAUAAAAUAAAAUAAAUAAUAUUAUAUUUAUUUGAAUAAUAUUAUUAUAUUUAUUUGAAUAAUAAUAUUAUAUUUAACUAAAUAAUAAUUUACAUUGAUUCUAAGUUAAAAUUAUUUUAAAAUAAUAUUAUUAUAUUAAUAGAGAAUUAAUAAAUAUAAUAUUAUUAUAUUUAUUUUAAAAAUAAUAGUACUAUAUUUAUUUAAUAUUAAUAAUAAUAAAUAGUUUAUUCUAAGAAAAUAUUAAUUUUGUACUAAAUAAUAUUAUUUUAUUAUUUUAUAUAAUAAUAAAUUUAAUAUAAUUAUAUUAAAUAAAAUAAAAUAACAUUUCAUUUUAUAUUAAAAUUAAAAUUAAUAAUUUAUUGUUCAUAAUUAAGAAUAUUAAUAAUUAUAAUAAAUUUACAAAUAUAAUAAAAUAAAUAUUAUUCAUUAAAUAUAUUUUUUAUUAGUUUUGUAAUUAAAAACUAUAAUUCUUUAAAUAAGGAUAAAAUUGUAAUUUGAAACUAUUUACUCCCAAUCCAAGACAAAGUAAACACAUAAAUUGAAUUCUGAUCUCCAUUCCAUACUUCUAUUCAAGUGUAAGUAAACAACCUACUCUCACUCCCACUCCACACUCUCAAUCCUAGGAUUCCCACUCCUCAGGAUUCCCAAUCCAAUCCAAAAAAUAAACGCUACCUUAACCCAGAAGGAAGUGUAUAAACCAACCCCAAUCAGUCCAUCAAUGUCGUCAACCUCAUACAGCAUAAAAAAAAUAUGUGUCCAUUAAACCGCCAUUUUUUUUUUUUGGUUAAACCACGAGGUAUCCUGGUAGGGCCCCAACUGUGGGAGGCACCUUUAAGCCCGUACCACAACCCAGACUAUAGCUCCCCGCUCGCACGUUGUGGCUAGUGCUCCCAACAAAUGCGACUUCUCUGCGACUCGAACUGGGGAGCAAACCCAGUCAAACCACUUAAGGGGGCUCCAGUUGCCAGAGGAGCCAACACUUUGUUGGUAUUAAACCGCCAUUUAAACUGACUUUAUUGAGUCAUUAGACUAUUGGUGUCAUCUUCCCAUCUCGUUGUAGCAUUUUACCGUUCAAAUCUAGUUAUCAAUUGUGGAAAAUGGGGACCAAUCUGCAAGUCUUUAAAAUAGAAAGAAACUUUAAUUGGGCACUAUGUUCACGGUAGUGGACACAGCAGCAGCUAUUUGUGCUUUAAAAAUUAUUUUACACUCUAAUUUUAAUAAAAAUAUAUAUUACAAAAUUACUUAUCAUAUAAGUUACUGGAUAAUAUAUUAUAAGUCAACAUUAUAUAAUUACUUUGAACACUUAUAUAGCCCAAUCCUAAUUCAAUUUAUUAUUCUCAUAACUUAAAUAUAAGUCAACAAUAUAAGGGGGUUGUGACAUGGGUUUAAACAUGAUUUAACAAGUGCCACCUGUGAAUUGUCAGAGAUUGUAUUUUCAUACACAUGUCAAAUUUUCAAGUCCAACAAAUUGUUAUCUUUCUAAAGAGGCUAAUAUUAUUAUUAUCUAUGCAUAGCAUGCUAUAAACAAUUCAUAUUCUGUACACAACAUAUGGACAGAGGAACAAAUCCCUGAGCUAAAAUCAUCAUAUUCUAAAAUAUUCUAUUAAAUCAACACCACAAAACGCGAACGCUAAACAGAAUUGGAGCAAUUUACCAAAGCUAUUUGUCACGCAAAGCACUAGUACCUCAGAACCCAAUUUGCAAAAAAGCACCAAAAAUGAAAAAUAACAAAUGCCCAGAUGAAAAAUCAGGAAAAAAAAAAAUGCUCAAAUCCAAAUUACAACCCCAUAAGCUGAGUUGUUCUCUUCGAACUGAAUUAAAAAAAAAUUAAAUAGGGAGAUUGACCUCAAACUUUGGAAACAGAAGCGACAGCGAUCUGUUUCUUGUCUGGAGUGUCCAUUUCUAUAAUCUACUUUGUCCGCUUUCAGUCGCUCUGCCACAGAGCUUCUUCCCUCUGAAGCUGAAGCUCACACACACUUGCAAAACGAAAGCAUUUUUUAUUGAUUGAGAGGCGGGAAGGCGGGAAAAUGAGAGAAAUUUGCAUUUGUUUUCUCUUGGUUUGGUCAUACCUGUGCGGGCCCCAGCUUGACAAGCGGUAUUAUUAUUAUUUGUAUAAUUUACAUGACGCGUGUCACGCAAUGACGAUAAAAAAUAUAUAUAUAUAUUGUUAAUUUUUCACUUAACAUUGAAAUAUCAUAUAAUUUUUCCAAUUUUAUGGUUAUUUUCUCGCCCUUAUGCCACAUUCUUUUGAUCAAAUAAUACAGUAAAACUUUUCUAUAAUCAUAAUAUUAAAGCCAAAUUAGCUUUAUUUAUGUAAAGAGGCUAUAGCUUAAUAAAGGUAAAAUUAUAAAAAUUAUUAUUUUGACUCAGUUAUCUUUAGUGUAAGUGAUAUAAAGUAUAAAUAUAUGAUAAUUAAUUAAUGAACUAUGUCAAAUACAAUAUGCUGACAAUGAUAAAAAAGAUAGACAUAAUUUCAAGAAACUAAUACAUAUAUUUAUGUAGUGCUGGGAUUAUACAAAAUCAUCUUAAAAGUGUAAAGUAUUAUUCUGAUUAAUUUAAAAUAAUUAUUAUUGGAUUCAAAUCAUGUCCUAGGCAUUUUUUCUUCUAGUUGGAGCUUCCAUUUGUUCUAGAGAUUCAAAGGCAGCAAGCUGCUUCCCCAGUGCUACUAAUUCUUCCCCGGCAUUGCAUGUGUAGCCUGAGGCUUGUCUACCAGACAAAGUUGCUCCUUCCAUACUAUCUAUGUAAUCCUGUGAGAGUGAAACCAUUUAGAAGACAUAUCUCUUUUUUUCCAAUAUUUGGAAUGAAACAAUUAUAUACAGUUACCUGUUUUGUAUAUGAGCUGGCGAGGAAGAAGUUCUUCACUGGUAUCUUUUGAUCAGGUCUGAAGGGGUCUUUACCAGGUCCCUCACCUCACAAAGAUUGCCGGAUUUUGACGACAGAUAACCAAAUAACUUCUAAACCUUGGGAUGAUGGAAAUAGAGCUAAAACCUAAUAAAAGGAACCGUGAAUGGAUAGUAUGGAUUCAUGUAUAUUAUCCAGAAAGUUGCAUGACCUUUUGUGGUACUCAGGUCACUAAAAAACGUGAGAUAAACAUCUAGGAUAAGAAAAGCAAAAAAGCAUAACCUAAUACGUAUUAUAUGAAUUGAAGGUGUCACUGAACACUACUAACCUGCUUUGCCACUCUCCUUAUGAUUUCAUCAUUUGAUAAGGGCAUAUAAGGAUCUCCAGGCGUCAAAACGCAUCUGAAAGAUAAUAUGGUUAUAGGAAGCAAGAUGGAAUACAAAGACACUUGGCAAAAGGAAGUCAAUCAGAUUCCAUGCACAAAAAAUAACUAAUAAUGACGAGGAUAAGAAAUGUUUCUUACUGGAGAAAUGAACCUUGCCCUUCUCUGUAGUAGUAUUCUGGUGAAGUGAGUGCUAGAUCUGCAAAGCAAGGGAAAUCUGCAUCUGGAGUAUAUAAAAGGUUAUCUAGCCCCACAGCUUGCUUCUAUUGCCUACAUGUUCAAUACAAGGAUCCGUUAAAAAAUGGAAAUUUCUUCAAUGCAUUAGUAAAGGGGAGUGAAGUGAAAGCUGAUUUCUUAGGCCUUCACAGAGCAUCUUGUGUUUGACAGCAAGCACUAAAGAAUAAACUCAAAGUCAGUGCUUCUAACAGAUGAUAUAAACAACAAAUUUACAAAUAUCAGGUCAUUGCAUUAGCUCCAUGCCUCCAUCAGAGCGAACAUUAAUAGAUGCGUAAAAAAAAAAUAAGAGCCAUAUGUGAAACAAUUUACCUUAGACAUGGCAAGUCCUUUGACAAAUGUUUCCCCGUUAGCAAAUUUAUCAUAAUGCAUCUCUCUGCAUCCCCACCUAAGAUGGAACCUGUUCUCACAAGAACAGACUCCAAGGUUGGGAAAAUCAAUUGAUCAUCGGAGAAAACAAACAGGAUUAACAAAUCACUACAAUGGUGUGAACCCGUAAAUACAAAUGUACCUGCCCCCUUUAUUUGCGAUAUAUUUUCUUAUUGGCCCAAUCAAAUAAACAUCCGGAGAACCCUUGAGCAUCUGUAAUAGGGAAGCCUCGGUCUUAGUCGCAAACAGUGCAAAUAUAGUAUGCAUACAACGAGCAAUGAUGUUAUCACAAUCAAUAAACCCAAGGGCAAACGCAACAGAAUCUUACAUUCUUUGGAUACUCAUCCAUGUACCACCCUUGGACAAAAACCAAUCAGAGAAGCUUAUCUGUAAGAAGAAAUGAAGUUUUAGGUAAAAUAAAAAUUUGUAGGAACAGGGAUUGAAAUUCAACAAACAAGAGCAAUAGCAUUUCUUGAUUUAUCAUAAGUCUGCACUUGAAAUUCAAGAAGUGCCUUUACAACAGGACUCAGCGCAAGAGCAAUAGCAUUUCUUGAUUUAUCAUAAGUCUGCACUUGAGCAAUAUACGAGGCAAAGUACAUCAAAAGAGAAUCCAAAAGAGGCAAGAAGCUUCAACAUGAAAAAAGGAGUACUGCCUCGUCAUACUGCUUUGCAAUCACAGUGCAAAAGAUAACAUCAACAAAAUCAAAAUCGAGCAUAAAUCCGUAUGCACUACCUUAAGCUGAUUUGUAGACAAAAAUGCAUGAAUCCCAUGUAAUGGAGCUCUAAUCGGAAACCGGAAAUCAAGUUCUGGAGUUGAAAAUCAAAAUCAUGAAUCAAAUCAGAGUUGUUAUUGAAUUAGACAAUCCAUAAACCAAUAGAAGGUGAUGUCAAACCAUCAAGCAUAACUAUUAGUUGUUUUAAGUGAUCAAGAAAUAACUAUACCACCAAUUUCACCACCCUUAUUUACAAAUUUAUGAGUAUGAUCCUUCAUGAGUAAAUUUUCGUCCGCACCGACCUGUCGACAUCCAUGAAAAACUAUCAGAUCAUAAACACAGGUUCCAGUUAAAGAGGAUCUAUGAUUCUGAUCCAUCAUGUUAUUUGAACAACAUAUUCGGAUUUUCUUACAACCCUAAGCUUUUAUCAGUUAUCAUCGCUACAAAUGAUAUGGUCAAGAGGAAUGAUAGUUCUUGUUUCAAGAAUCUCAAAUCGUAAUUCUUUUGCAUGGCUUCUGUGCUUUUAUAAUCAUUCAAACACGCAUAUCCACAACUAAGCAAGCUUUACCUUUUUUGUCAAUCGGAACAGAUUAUUGUAGCAUCCAAAGAAAACGUGCAGGCUGAUUUCAAUAUGGUUUCCACGUUUACAGACAAAUGAAGCCACUUUACCACCAAUAAAAGACCUCAACUCAUAUAUAUCCACCUGGAAGAAAGGAAAAGUUUAAAAAAAAGGAAUAAAAAUUCUUCUAAUUUCUUUCACCAUCAACAAAAUCAGAAAAACACAUACUAAUUCAAAAUGAAAUAAAGUUUGUGAAUUGAAAUAAUGCCAACUCCUAAGAAAAAUUAUGACUGCUGAUAUUUUUUCCGAAAUGCUGAUAAAAGCUUCUGCUAUUUACUUCGAAAAAAUUGAGGUUAGAAGCCUAUUUACUUGAAAUUUUGAGUUUAGGCAAGAGGAUGAAUGGUAAAAGUGAAACAUUUUAGGGAAAAAUGUACGUCAGAGGCCAAUGAAAGCAUUCAGAAGAUUGAAAUCUAAAUGAGCAAAACCCCGUGGCCUUGAUCCAACAAAUCCACUGCUGUUGACAUGCCUGCAAGCCCAGCUCCAAUAAUAGCCACUCUCAGCUUUGGUCCUCUAUAAUGUUCCGGUUCUGGUAGAAACAAACCCUUGGGAGCUGCCAAGUAUACCAUCCAAUUAUCCACAGCGAUAAUGGAAAUAUAUAUGUGUUUAAAGGUACUAAAUUCCUAAACAUGAAAUGUAUCCAAAGAGAGACACAAAGCAGAAUUGUGAAAGCAUUUCAAUUCCCAAUAAAUUUUAAGAAUACAAAAUACUCGGUCUGUUCCUCAAUUCCUUUAAUAAAAUUUCCACUAGAGGCUACGGAAGCCACUCAAUAACACUCCAAAGCCAGAUUUUAAACGUUAUCUUUAUCUUUAACUCCAAUCCAUAAACAAUUCUGCCACAAAUUCAAUCCAAAAUUGUUCAAGUGCACCGCCAAUUCUCCGUCAAUUCCCUCAAAAAUUCAUAAUUGGCAAACACUACAAACCCAAAAGAGCUUCCAGCAAUAAACGCAUAAAAAUCCACCAAGCAACAGAAAACAAAAUACCCAGAAACCAGAAAAGCCAAAAGAUCAAUGCUUGGCAAACAAGCAAAUCAAAUAAAACAAAAAGAAGAGAAAUUUACCAUUAACGCUCAUAUCAGAAACAUUAGCGUCCAAAGAAGCCCGUACACGGAAUCUUGGACCCUUCACUUGAACCCGAGACCAUGUAACGCCAGUAACUGAAGUUGCAGGAAACAGAACUGAAGAACCCAUAUUGCAAAUCCUGAGCUGAAAUCAAAGAAAUUCAAUUGGAACUCAAUUCAGCUCAACCGAGCGGCGCUCUCUUUUGCUUCAAUAACAAAGUAUUUUUCUUUCAUAUCAACAAAGAUUUGUCAACAUCAACAAAAUUUAACUAAGAAACUAAAAUAAUGAGGUAUCUUUGAGUUUAAGAAUCUAACAAGAUGCUAAGGAAGAGAGUUUUGUCAGGGAACUGUUUCGGAGAGGUUGGCCAAGUGGUUCUUUGUUUUUUUCUUCUUUUUUGGCCCUUUUCAUUAAUACACAACAGUAGUACUCGUGAAGAGCACAAAAUGUUGGUGACUUUGUCACUAACGAUACCAAAGUGGAGUGACCAGAGCAACCAACUAAAUUUUAAAGAGAGGGAGUGAUAAGUAAUAUUUUCUUUGGGUGAUUAAUUAAUUUAUUAUCAAAUAAUUUUAUUUAUUUAAUUAAACGACAUCCUUAUCUUUGUACAAGGCUGAUGAAAGACGACGAUGUUGUGUUGUCACAUAUUUUUGGGCCGACCGUUUCUUGUUUCGGCUUAAAUGAGGCUUUUGUAAUUUUGUGCUGUUUUUUAACUGAGUAUUUUGUGCUAAAUUACGCCAAAGAAAAAGUGUAAUUGUUAAAAGAUCUGCUGACACUCAUAACCUCUUAAGCGGAAUUUAUAAUGUGACAGUAUUGAUAUCUAAGUUCAUAAUAUCUAUGGGAGUGAUAAAACGAAUAAAUGAAUCGAAUCGUAAAUGAAUUUAGUUAAAAUUUAAUGGAUUUGAAUUCGAUGUGUUAUCAAGCGAAUCAUAAUUUUAAGAUUCAAACUCAAUUCAUUUAUUUAAUGGAUAUCUAUUUAAUUCGUUUAUUGUAAAAACUUAAACAAAUUGAGUUGAAUUUGGAUUCGUUUACAAUUUGUUUAAUUCAUUUAUGCAAAAUUAAUAAUAAAUCAAUCAAAUGUGGAUUUGUUUAAAAAAUAAUAAUAAUUAAUAAAAAAAAUAAAGUAAAAUAAAAUAUAAAAAAUCAUAAAAUUAACAACCUACAAAAUACAAACAAAUUAGUGACCCCAAACUCGGAUUCGAUUCAUUUAUUUAAUGAAUUGAAUUGAAUUCACUUAUUUGUUAAUGAAUUAUUUUUUUAAAAUUCAGACCUAUUUAAUUUGAAUCUAAUAAACAAAUCCUAACCUAAAUUGCCAUCUCUAAAUAUGAUGGACCUACUUAAAAUAUAUGAAUACCAAAAUGUGUGGGCUAAAAAGUGGUUUACCAUGCAGCAAUAAGAAUUUUAAGCUCUCUUUUCUUAUGUCACCCAAGGCAUUGGCUGGAUGGCCAAACAGCAGAGUUCAAGUCUACAAUAGAGAAUCGAAAUUUUCCUUUGUAAAUGUUCGUAAGUAUUUAGCAUAGAUUUUUAAGUUAUUCUUGAUAGAUCCCCUACCACAUACGCUAUAAUAUUUCUCUUCUUUUAAUUUAAAAGUAAAUCAUGCAUAAUAACGGGUUUGUAAAGAAAUGAAAUUUCUGGUAAUUAACUGUCAAAAAAAAAGGAUGGAUUAAGCGAAAGAAGUUAAUAUAGAGUUAAGUCGAGUACUUGACAAUAGGGGUGUUCGCGGAUCGGAUUUUACAGAUUAGACAUCAAUCUAUAUCUGAUCCAUAAUUUUACGGAUUAUAAUUUUUCAAUCCAAUCCAAUCCACAGAUUGAUAUAAUUCAAUUCAAAUCCAAUCCAUACAUCUGCAGAUCGGAUGCGAAUUUGACUCAAUCCAUAUCCAAUCCAUAAGUCUGCGGAUCGGAUGCGGAUUUGACUCAAUCCAUAUCCAAUCCACCAUUUUGCGCAUUAGUUUUCGAAUUAAAAAUUUUUAGUUCUCUCCAACUAAUGAAAUAAAAAAAAAAUCUAAUAUAAAAAUAAUUUUGCUACCAAUUAAAUUUAAAAUUGAAUAAAAUUUAAAUAAAUUAAUUGUUUAAAUAAAGCUAAAAAAAUACAUUUAAAAUUUUAAAAUAUAACACAUCGAGACUAAUUAUUCAAAUAAAGCUACAAUAAUACGUUCAAAGUUUCAAAAUAUAAUACACCAAGCUUAAUUGUUCAAAUAAAGUUACAAUAAUACGUUAAUAUAACACCGAAAUUAAUUAUUGAAAUAAAGCCACAAUUAAUUGAAAUGACGAAGCUUCGGAAACCAAACACAGUCUAAUCCUUUACCAGGGCUGUUGCGCUUGUCGAAAAGUGGUGAUUACGGAGCCGUCCACGAUGGGAACUAGGAGAAGUCGUCGAGUGGCAAUCUUGAAGGUUGUGAUAAUGAAAUUGUUCAGCUGGAACCAGUGAAUGUGAAGUGGCUCGGUGGACUUGGGAAAGAAGAUGGCUUGCUCUCGCUGUAAUCGCGCGGCCGAUGUCCUUCAAAUCCGUGUCGAGAGUGUAUCCAACCAGUAUUGAAUGUUGCUAGUGUGUGUCAUGGCGGGGAAGCUUAGGGUUUUUUGUUUGCAAAUUAUUUGUGACUUAGCGUCAUGUUACUUUACUUUUGGGUGACUUUGCAAAUUGUUGGUGAUUUGGCGUUAUGUUACUUUGCUUUUGCUAAUGUGUGUGACUUUGCUUUUAUUUUGUUUUACAAUGUCUACAAGUUAUAUUUGUAUAUUUGAUUAUUUAAUUAUUUUUUAUUUUAUAUUAUUAUUGGGUAAUGGCUAAGAUAUGUUAUAGUGUUUAUGUAACUAUGUAAUGUCACAUUUAUAAUUUUUUUAAUUAAAUUUAUAAUAAUUUUUUAAUUAUAUAUAAAUAUAUAUAAUUAAAAAAUUAUUAUAAAUAUAUAUAAUAUUAUUAGAAACUAUUAACAACGGCACAAAAUGCCUGUGAUAAUGAAACAAUGUGCCAUCCUUAAACUAAUAUUAUUAGAAACUAUAAGUGAAAGUUUUCAGAAAACACGCACGUGAUAAGUUUUCUCCUUUGUUUUGAUUUACGCGAGAGAUAGUUGUAAAGCGUAAAAUUUUAAAAUCCGUAACAAAACAAAAACUUACAUGGGUUGGGCGCACCAUGUGCAUACCAAAUUAGAAUAAUUGACGAAUCGUAAUAAAAAAUUUAUAUAUAAGAAUUGAAUGAGAUCCAUGGUUCACAAUUGCAAAUUAAAGGUUGGUUUUAUAAUAAAAAUCUUUUUGUGCAUACCAAAUUAGAAAAGAUUAUAAGUAAAUUAAGAUUUUCAAAAUUUGACUAGUAUUAUAUUACGUUCAUCAAUAAAAUAUAAAUUUGUUAUAUAUAUAUUUUAUUCUGUAACCAAUGCUUUCAAAAACUUUAUACUUAUAUGUUUGAACAACUUUUUUCGUUUUCUAUUUAUAUACGAUAUCAUUUAUGUUUACAUAAAUUUUCAUAUGUACCCAAAUUAAGCAUUAAAUACACACACUUUGGUAAGACACAUUAAUUUCUAGUAUCAGACAAUGAUAUUAUAUUGAAUGUAAUGCUUCAAUGAAUUUUAUUACUAUAUACUAAAAUACUCAACGAUCUCCAUUAAAAAAAGAAAAGAAAUUGCAUGAUUAGAAUGAUUAAAGAUCAUUUGAUGAGGAGUUUCAUCAUUAACUGUGUCGAAACACAGCAGCAAUCCACAAUACACUUAACAGGAGAGGGGCACACAAGCAUGCAUGAAUCUUCCACCAUUAAACCUGAAAUCAUAAAAUAAAAGAAACAAGAUGAGUGUUGUUUUACGGUCUGAAAGCCGAUUCCAAUUAAUAAUAAUAAUAGUAAUAGUAAUAAACCUUUGUUAAUAAUUACUACUAGUUGUCUCUGCCUUUUGCAUCUUCCUCCUUUGUAUCAUCGUCCUCUUCCAAUCACACGGCUAGACCAGUAUGUCUCGAGAAUCUUUACUGCCUUCUCAGAGAUCCCGUUGACGUCACGACUUCGUAGAUUUUCAAUCUUUUCUAAUCCCUCAGCCUCCUCAACCAACUGGGCAUAUUGAUUAAAAUCUCCAACGGCGGUACCCGUAUUCAUUUCAGCUACCCCGACCUUCAAAAUGUUCUCUAAUCCUUCUAAGCAAACAGUGACGAUCUUUGGAUCAGCACAUUGAAGGAGACCACACAAUGGUUUUAUACACCCCGUUCUCACGAGGUACUUGAUUUGAUCAUGAGUGCCACGCGAGCUGGCAUUCGAAAUUGCCCAAGCAGCCUCCUUCUUUGUAUCAAAUUCAGCAUUUUGAAGUAGAUUGACAAUGGGACCAAUUAAGCCGGAAUCAAUUACCGCCUGAAUCUGCUCCCUGUUUCCAGCUGUAAUAUUUGAAAUAAUCCAGCUAAUCUUCUUCUUGAUGAUCUCUUCAUGAUUAUGGACUAAAAUGUCCAAAAAGUAUGGCAGUGCACCACAGUUAAUUAUAUACUGAGUCUGGAAAUCAUCUCCCGUCACAAUAUUUCCAACAGUCCCCAGGGCAGGGGCAAGCACUGAGGAUGAUGAGUGACCAAGGAGCUCAACAAGUCGUGGACAGACACCUGCCUCGAUCACAGCUUGAAUUUUGUCAUUCGUACCAUCAGCAAGAUACGCGAGUGUCCAACAGGCAUAUGUCAAGACCUCUUCAUCGUUUGAACGAAUAAGCUGUGCAAGCGCCGGGAGAGCUGGCCUUACCUGAUCAAAUGGUGGCUGUGGCAUGCCCCUGCAUAAAUUAGACAAUGUCCAUGUGGCAGUUCUCAGCAUUGAAAGCUUAGUGUGGUCCUUUAAUUGCUCCAGCACUGGAAUCAAAGCUUCUUCGCGAAGCACAAGAUUACGGCAUCCAAGUGAGUCACCACCAAUAUUUCCCAUUGCCCAAACAGCCUGCUCGCGGACAUCCUCACUUGGAGAAGCAAGUAGUUUCACAAAUAUUGGAACAGCACCGUCGUCAAUCACCACCUUAGUGUUCUCUGAAGUUCCAGAAGCAAUGUUUGUAAGAGCCCAAGCAGCCUGAAAAUGAAGUUGCGGAUAGUCUACCCUCAUAAGAAACUCAACAAAGCGCGGGACAACGCCAGAUUGUAUGACUUCAUCAAUUUGUGGACUCCUCUCAAUCGAAAGUAGAUUUCGGAACCAAGUAGUUGCUUCCAGCUGCAAGCCGCUGUCAUCUGACCAAACCCCAGCAACCAUCCUGUGAAAACUCGCGUACUUGUUUUAGGAGCAGGAGCAGGAGGAGGAAAUUAAGUUAGGGAUUUGGAGUGAGAGUGAAGGUGGAGAAAAAGCAAGAGAGGGAAAAAGUUGAUUGUUGAGAAAUAUAUACCUUUCGUAUGGUUGUGUUAAGGUCGUCCUUCCAAUCCCAACAUGCUUCACCCCGCCGCUCCACUUUGUGUAAUUUGGGUGUACUUAAUUUUCCUUCAGAGAAAAUCUUCAUAUCGGGGCAAUCAUCCACCACUAAUCUUUCCAAAGAUGGGAAAUUGAAAGCACAAUUGCCAGAGCAGAAGCUUGUCAGACUUUCUAAGAGUAAAAGCUUCAACUCCUUCAAUUCUCUGAAAGUAAUAACCUCAUCUUGUGCUACAACAUCAUCCCCCAGUACUAUUUCUUUUAUCUUAUCGCAUGAUGCUAUCUCCAUAUAUCUAAGUCUCACCAGAGUCUUUGCAACUGAGGAUGUUAUUACGAUUUUCAAGUUGUUGCAACGCGAUACCACCAGAUUUGUAAGAUUCUGAAAGGAUGUCGACGAUGGCACUAGAUUGACCAAACGGUCACACCCCUUUACACGUAGAAUAACCAAGUUGUUCGUAACAGAGGACUCCUCUAUCAAAAUGUGCUCCAGUUGAUAUUUUGCUUCUAUUAUUUCUACCCUCAUCCCAUUUUCAACCUUCUCUUCCGGCAACCAAGCAUCAAGUCCUCCUAUUUGGAGGAGUUUCAUUGUGUGAAGUCUCUGGAGGAAGUCACCAAGCGAUAAAAUAGUCCGCUCAUCAUCCAACUCCACAAAAAUAUAUUUUAGUUUGCAAAGCAAGUCUUCAGAAAAUAGAUAUUUAUUUGUUACUACGUGCUUUGCAUCAACUUUCAACUCUUCCAAAUUAGGGAAUACCUGGGAGAUUGAUCAGAGCCCAAAAAAAAAAAAAUACAAGAUGAAUCAAUUGAUGAGAAUUAUAAGUUACCACUAAUUUAUAAAAUAUAUUUUAUAAAUUAGAAUAAUUAUGAAUGAAUACUAUACACUAAUCUAGAAUAAUUAUGAAUGAAUACUAUACACUAAUCUGUAAGAGAGUUACGUUGCUAACAAUUUGACUUUUAGUAAGAAACCAAGCGAUAAAGGCAAAGGCAAUAUAACUCUAAACUCUAUGAUAUAAACUCUCACAGAAUAAGAAUUGAAAAAUUGAUUAUAAAAUUCUUGUACGUACCCUUUCCGUGAAGAUACUAGUAGUUCUUUUGUAUCUCGCCAUGAAUUCAGGACAUGCAGAUAUCCAUAAUUCUUUCAAGGAUGGAAAUUCAAGAAUAUCAAGAUCUCCAGUGCAGAAGCUUGUGAUCUUUUCAAGAUCAGACAUCUCCAGAUAUUGCAACAGAGGAAACAUUACAAUAUUAUUCUUCCUUUCUUCUUGGUUGUCCACGACUAUUAACUCUUCCAGGACAGGACAUUUACUUAUCUCAAUGCUUUGGAGUCGAACAAAGCUACUAACAGUAGAAGAUGAAAAUAGACAUCUUAAAUUCAUACAUCCGUGUAGGAUCAAGCGUGUUAAAUUCUGAUUACCACAAGACAUGACUGUAACUGGGCUCAGCCGAAUCCUCCCAACAUUUAUUGAAUCCAACGUCAACUUCUCUAACUCUGGUAACCGAACCUGCUCGAACAAAAAAUUAACUUGUUAAUUGCAAGUAAACGAUCAUUGAUUAUAAAAUUCUUGUACGUACCCUUUCCGUGAAGAUACUAGUAGUUCUUUUGUAUCUCGCCAUGAAUUCAGGACAUGCAUAUAUCCAUAAUUCUUUCAAGGAUGGAAAUUCAAGAAUAUCAAGAUCUCCAGUGCAGAAGCUUGUGAUCUUUUCAAGAUCAGACAUCCCCAGAUAUUGCAACUGAGGAAACAUUACAAUAUUUUUCUUCCUUUCUUCUUGGUUGUCCAAGACUAUUAACUCUUCCAGGACAGGACAUUUACUUAUCUCAAUGCUUUGGAGUCGAACAAAGCUACUAACAGUAGAAGAUGAAAAUAGACAUCUUAAAUUCAUACAUCCGUGCAGGUCCAAGUGUGUUAAAUUCUGAAUACCACAAGACAUGACUGUAACUUGGCUCGGCCAAAUCCUCUCAACAUUUAUUGACACCAACUCCAACUUCUCUAACUCUGGUAAUGCAACCUGCACGAUCAAAAAAUUAACUUGUUAAUUACAAGCAACAAUGAUUUCUGUUGAUGGACAAAUCAAUAAAAUUACUCUUUCUCUGGUUAUAGUUCUUUUCAGUUUUUCAUACAAACAACCGUUAAUCAAGUUUUCCAAAUUAUUCCUUACUAAAUGUAUAGAUUUAGACGGCGGCUAAUAUAAUUCAUAUUGCAAAUAUUUUUUGAUUGUAACGAAUUUUGUAAUAUUAAAUUUUGGUUGAUUAACAAUAGGACCUACUGUCCAGCGCGAGCAGUUCUCGGGAUUUAACUACUGGCACCUCGAUUAUAUAAAAAUUUGGAAUAUUUUCAAAGGAAAUCACAUAAUUCCCCCUUGCAAAUAGUAAUUUCAUUAAUUGCCGCGGGUUCACAUAUAAUUCUAAGAAAUUAGGCGAGAAGAGUCUCAUCAACAAUCAAUCAGCAGAUAUCACGUUUGGCAGAUCAUCAUGAUUUCCUCAGAUGCUAGAGAAUCAAAGUGAUUUCCGCUCAUGCAGGAGUGGACACAUUAUCUUAGAGCAUACCUCACUGAGAUCUUUUAAAAAAUUUAUAUUAUAAAGUGAACAACAUAUUUAGUAUAGAUUUAGACGGCGGCUAAUAUAAGUUAUAUGUAUUCUAAUGACGUAUAUUAAAGAAAAUGACUAACCAUAAUUUCAAUCAACUUAUUAGUCUAUAUAUAUAUAUAUAAUAUAUAUUCAGCGAUUACAACAUAUUUAGUAUUCCAUAACAUGAUGUUUAUAAUAAUAAUUAUUAUUAAUUCACUUAUUGUGUCAGAGUACCUUUUCUUUCUCUAAGAAUGUAUUUGUUACACCCCACUAUACUUCGGAUGAAAAAUUUAGAAUAAUUGUGAAAUAUAAUUAUUAAUCACUCUUUGCCAUAUUUGUUACCAAACAGGAAUAUAACAAAGAAAAAAAACAAAAAUUAUAGAGAAUUAAUAAGACGAUUGACUUAUUAAUAACUGACCUUCUCAGGGAAAAGCGUAUUAGAAAUUUGGACAUUGUCCUCCAAAAUGAUUUCAUGUGACUGCAAAUCAUUAGCUGAUUCCUCUUGUCUCUGUUGACAUUGCAGGUGUCUUGAUUUAAGAGUGUAAACUUAAUUGUGAACACAAUCUUAAUUAAUGCACUUGUCUCUGUUUUACAUUGCAGAUGUCUUGAUUUUAGAGCGUAAACUUAAUUGUGAGCACAAUCUUAAUGCAUAGAUAUAAAAUCUUUAAAAAUGAGUACAAUCAACUUAGCACUAAAUCCAAAUUUGAUAUUUUGGAUUCCAUGAUUAAGAUUUUUUAAAUAAAAAUUUAAUAGAGUUAAUUUAAAAAUAAAAAUUAAAUGUGAAAAAUAAACUUGCAAUUAUGGAUUUAAUUUUGAUAAAUAAUGAGGUUCCGCCUAUGUUGCAACAGUUGCAACAUACCACUUCUUUUGUCAUUUUGUAAUUUAGCCAUUGGAUCCAAGACAAGAAUGGUAAAAGCAAAUCUAACGGCAGAGUGUAUUUAUUUAGGUUAUUUUCAUUGUAAUCCCUCUUGUUUUCUGAAAUGUCAGGAAAAAACAUAAUUAUUAUUUUUUUAUUUAUUGGCUUAGUUGUUAAAUGAUAUGAAUAAGAAGUAGGAAAUUUAAGAGGACUUUUAUUAUUGAUAUUAUGUAAUUACAAUGCAUGAUUCAAUACUAGUUUAUAAGAGUCACAACUUGUUAAAUAUAAAAUAAAGUUUAUGUUUGCAUCCUAACUUCAAAAAGAUAAAUACGUUUAUUUAUUCCACAAAUUAAUAAAUAUUUCAUAUUUUUUUAAUUAUUACUAUCAUUUCUAGAUCUACUCUCAUUAUGUAAAUUUAUUAAAAAUUAUAUUUAAUUAUUAUUUUAUAUUAAUUAUUAAUAUAUAAAUAUAAUAUGAUAUAAUAAAAUAAUAUUAUAAUAUAAUUUAUUUUUAAUAUUUUAAUUAUUAUAGUAAAAAUAAAAAUAUAAUAAAAAUAUAUUUUUAAUAUUUCAAUUAAGAAAAAUUUUAGCACAUUGUAGUGAAUUAUAUAAUUGACCACAAUCUAACUUUUAAAACUUCCAAACAUAGGUAAGUAAUAAAUUAAUGUGAACAAUAUUAUAACAAUAUACAAUACUGUGUUCUAAACACAUUCUAAUGGUGCGUUUAUUAAAUAAGAAUCGAAAUGAGCUAGAAUCAUAAUAAGGAAUCGGAAUGAACAACAUUCCCAUUGAUGUGUUUACUUUUUUUUAUAAUUGGAAUAAACUAUUAUAAGUUAUUAAAAUGCCCUUUGAUAAUUGUGUCCCUAAUAUUAUUUGUAUCUAUUAUAAUUAAAACAAUAAUAAUAAUAAUAAAACUAAAAAUAAUAAUUAUGAAAAUAAUGUUAAUUAAAACAAAAAAUUAAUAAAAUUUAACAACAAUAAUAAUAACAACAACAACAAAAUUAACUGAAAUAAUAAUAUUAAUAAUGAUAAUAAUAAUUAUUAUUAAUAAGUUUUAAUAAUAAUAUUAUUAAUAAAAAUAAUAACAACAUUAAUUAAUAAUAAUGAAAAUAAAAAAGUUAAUAUAUUUUAAUAAUAACAUUAAUUUUAAUCAUAACAAGAUAAAUAUUAAUAAUAAUGAAUUAAUUACAGUAUAAUAGCAAUUAAAAUAAUAAAAGUAAUAAAUUUUAAUAAUAAUAAUAAUGACAAUAAUAAUCAUAAAUAAUAAUAAUUAAAAUAAUAAAAUUUAAUAGCAAUAUAACUCUUAAGCUUUAUGAUUUAAACUUUCACAGUACAUACAUAAGAAUUGAAAAAAUGAUUAUAAAAUUCUUGUACGUACCCUUUCCGUCAAGAUAUUAGUAGUUCUUUUGUAUCUCGCCAUGAAUUCAGGACAUGCAGAUAUCCAUAAUUCUUUCAAGGAUGGAAAUUCAAGAAUAUCAAGAUCUCCAGUGCAGAAGCUUGUGAUCUUUUCAAGAUCAGACAUCUCCAGAUAUUGCAACUGAGGAAACAUUACAAUAUUAUUCUUCCUUUCUUCUUGGUUGUCCACGACUAUUAACUCUUCCAGGACAGGACAUUUACUUAUCUCAAUGCUUUGGAGUCGAACAAAGCUACUAACAGUAGAAGAUGAAAAUAGACAUCUUAAAUUCAUACAUCCGUGCAGGAUCAAGCGUGUUAAAUUCUGAUUACCACAAGACAUGACUGUAACUUGGCUCGGCCAAAUCCUCUCAACAUUUAUUGACACCAACUCCAACUUCUCUAACUCUGGUAAUGCAACCUGCACGAUCAAAAAAUUAACUUGUUAAUUACAAGCAACAAUGAUUUCUGUUGAUGGACAAAUCAAUAAAAUUACUCUUUCUCUGGUUAUAGUUCUUUUCAGUUUUUCAUACAAACAACCGUUAAUCAAGUUUUCCAAAUUAUUCCUUACUAAAUGUAUAGAUUUAGACGGCGGCUAAUAUAAUUCAUAUUGCAAAUAUUUUUUGAUUGUAACGAAUUUUGUAAUAUUAAAUUUUGGUUGAUUAACAAUAGGACCUAGUGUCCAGCGCGAGCAGUUCUCGGGAUUUAACUACUGGCACCUCGAUUAUAUAAAAAUUUGGAAUAUUUUCAAAGGAAAUCACAUAAUUGCCCCUUGCAAAUAGUAAUUAUCAUUAAUUGCCGCGGGUUCACAUAUAAUUCUAAGAAAUUAGGCGAGAAGAGUCUCAUCAACAAUCAAUCAGCAGAUAUCACGUUUGGCAGAUCAUCAUGAUUUCCUCAGAUGCUAGAGAAUCAACGUGAUUUCCGCUCAUGCAGGAGUGGACACAUUAUCUUAGAGCAUCCCUCACUGAGAUCUUUUAAAAAAUUUAUAUUAUAAAGUGAACAACAUAUUUAGUAUAGAUUUAGACGGCGGCUAAUAUAAUUUAUAUGUGUUCUAAUGAUGUAUAUUAAAGAAAAUGACUAACCAUAAUUUCAAUCAACUUAUUAGUCUAUAUAUAUAUAUAUAUAAUAUAUAUUCAGCGAUUACAACAUAUUUAGUAUUCCAUAACAUGAUGUUUAUAAUAAUAAUUAUUAUUAAUUCACUUAUUGUGUCAGAGUACCUUUUCUUUCUCUAAGAAUGUAUUUGUUACACCCCACUAUACUUCGGAUGAAAAAUUUAGAAUAAUUGUGAAAUAUAAUUAUUAAUCACUCUUUGCCAUAUUUGUUACCAAACAGGAAUAUAACAAAGAAAAAAAACAAAAAUUAUAGAGAAUUAAUAAGACGAUUGACUUAUUAAUAACUGACCUUCUCAGGGAAAAGCGUAUUAGAAAUUUGGACAUUGUCCUCCAAAAUGAUUUCAUGUGACUGCAAAUCAUUAGCUGAUUCCUCUUGUCUCUGUUGACAUUGCAGGUGUCUUGAUUUAAGAGUGUAAACUUAAUUGUGAACACAAUCUUAAUUAAUGCAUAGAUACAAGAUGUUUAAAAAUUAGUAUAAUAAACUUAGCACUAAAUCCAAAUUUGAUAUUUCGGAUUCCAUGAUUAAGAUUUUUUAAAUAAAAAUUUAAUAGAGUUAAUUUAAAAAUAAAAAUUAAAUAUGAAAAAUAAACUUGCAAUUAUGGAUUUAAUUUUGAUAAAUAAUGAAUGUUCUCUUUAUAUAUUUUUUUAAAAGGUAAAAGAGCGUACAAAACCCAAAUUCAUUUUUUUAGUCCCUUACUCUCCCAUGAUUCAAACUUCACUUUUUUUUUCUUUUUCUUUUUUUUCUUUUUUUGUUGAGAGAAAAGAGAAGAAGGAUAUUACAAAGCAUGAAGCUCGUGCAAUAUAAGGGCAAUUAUGGUUUUUUCUUUAAAUUAAAAUGGUAAGAUUCUGAAGCUAAAAGAUUAAAAUAUUAAUUAAAUUGCAAACAUUAAAGAUUUUUUUUCCAAAAUUGGUUGCUUUGAAAAUGAGAAUAAUAUAAUAUUUGAAGACUUUUUCAAAAUUAAUUACUGUGAUGCACUAGAAAUUUAUAGCUUUAGUCUAAUGUAUAAAUUGACAAAACGAUAUUAGAAUCCCAGGUGAAAAGAACCCUCUCAUACCAUUUUCUUAAAUUAGGAAUGAUCAUACCUCUGACUCUGCCGGACUGAGGGCGAGGCGUGAACCCCUCAUACGGAGACGCUUGAGAUGGGAAGAGCCUACUUUGACUAACUCGUUACGAAAAUAAUCGACAUCUUGCUCUUGCAAUCUACGUAAUUCAAGGUCUUCAAUUCUCUGCAGUUGCACGAUCAGCGAAUCCUUCAAGCGAAUCUUGUCAUUUAGCUCGAGUCUGAAUUCACGACACCAAAUGCCAGUGCUCUCCCAAUAUUCCCAACCCUCAUCCUCAUCCUCAUCCUCAUCAUCUCCAAUGCGGAUGAUAUGUAUGCUGUACCUUUCCAGCUUCUCCAAGAGCAGGCCUCUGGGCAGAGUGCCGACGUCAUAGACGUGUAAUUCCAAAGAGGUCAAGUUGGGUAAAUGCUUCAACUCCUCAAGGCUUGCAUUCUUAACCCCUUCCACCUCCACCUCCCAAUCGGCAAAGUCAAAGAGUUCACUAGCUAUAUAUAGUUCUUCUAAAUGGGAUAAUUUUGACAGUAUAUUUGGUGGAAUAACUUUUAGUGCAAAACAAUCUCUCAAAUCAAGCAACUUUAGCCAAGUCAAUUCACCUACUUCUACCGGCAACUUCUUAAUAUAAGAACCUCUUAAGCAAAGGAUUUCUAGUUUCUUCAAGUCUCCUACAACACUUAUAUCAGGCAAACUGCAGCGACACAAACUCAGUGUUCGAAGGUUUGACAGGAGACCAAGUGAUGGAGGCAGUGACCGUAUGUAAGUCAAGUUUACAACUCUGACCUCGAUCAUGCUCUUGAAAAGGUUGUCUGGAAUUGUUACUGGUGAGGUUUCGCAAGGAUCAUCACUAAUAAAAAGAAGUUCGAGCUGAGGACAUUCCAGUACUUUAGGAAGCAAAUUAGGCUUGAUAUCAUGUAUGACGAUUGAAGUGCAAUGCUUUAUUGCACUUCCGUCUGACCAUUCCCUGCAACCAUCAACCUGCUCAUUUGUAGCAGUAAACACAUUUCGUUCAGUAGAUGCAAUUGAUAUGGCGACAUCGCGAACUACAUCAUGCAUAGAAAACAACUCUUUCUUCUGGCUUAUAUGGUCAAGCAACAUACAAGAAGCUUUGAGUGUGCGCACCAAUGUAUGUACUCGAUUUCGUGCUGCUUCCAUCUUAUUCACACCUUGAAAUAAACUCAAUCCCAUACCACACAUUAACAGUUCGUCAAUAGAUGCUAUGGCUGUAUAUCCUAUUAGCAAAAAGAUGUUCUUCAGCUCCUCCCCUACCAAUUUGUCGUAACUCAACUUUAUGGCUUUAUAUGCAUCUGGCUGUACAUGCUUAAAAUUCGAUGAAGAGGGCCUUCCUAGUUUUUCCAAUGCAUCCUUCCAUUCCUGUAUGUUCUUGUUCCUUAAUGCCCUUGCAACCGUCACAAUGGAAACUGGCAGACCUGCACAUCCCUUUGCCACAUCCCUUGCUACCGAUUGGAAUUCACUACCUUCAAUAUAAUCACCUGCCAUCUUCUUGAAUAGAUUCCAAGCUUCUUCUUUGUUUAAAACACCAAUUGAGAAAUUUGUUCGACAAUCCAUCUUCUCAGACAAUACAUUUAGACUUCUGGCCGUCAACAAUACUUUACAACCAUCUCCAAGAGGAAUUCGGACACUCCCCAAAUUAAGAUUUUCCCAAAUGUUGUCUAAAACUAUCAGGAUCUUCUUCACUUUUUUUAUACCUUCAUAUAAGCUGCCUGCCCUUCCUUCAUCACUUUCCUCAUGCAACUUCAGGCCUAAUUUAUCUGCGAUUACUCCUUGAAUCUUUCGUAUGUCUUGAUUCUGAGACACCUCAACAAAAACCACCUGAUCAAAGAGUUUGUCACUCUUGACUUUCCUAGCAACUUCUUCGGCCAGCAUCGUCUUUCCGAUGCCACCCAUUCCAUAAAUCCCAAGCAUGUUGACAUCGCGAUCUUCUAGUGCACUGAGUAUACUCCUCAAAGUGGACAUUCUUGAUUCAAAGGGCUCGUAGUCUUUGUUAGGGAUAAGCCGAAUAUCCUCUGGAGCAGUACGGUAGGAAAUUCUAUCAAAUCUUCUAGCGUCCAGGACUUUGACAACAGCCUCCUUCUGCCUCUCUGCUUCCUUGCUAAGUCGACGGCGGGUCUUCAAAUUAGGUAUUAACCCCUUGAAACAACGCUUAUUUUCAAUGGCUUCAUCGUCUGUAAAUUUAUCUGCCUUAACAAUGACAUCAUUUGCCCCUUCGAGCCAAUUCUCAACGUUCUCUUCAAUCGCUUCCCCUUUUGUUUUAGCCUCAGCAACCCGGUGCUCUAUACUAACCUUCUCAGACUUCAGAUUGUCAACUUCAGUCUUGAGAUUGUCUAAGAUGCUCGUGUACUUACUCUCACGCAAAUAGCUAAUUUGGCGAUAUGCGGGAGGAGCCAAGCACUUCACAACUUCUACAACAAUAGUAAGAAUGAUUUCAGCCAUCUUCAAUCCUUUGUCCUUGUCUCUCUAUCUCUCUUUUUUCUGAAUUUGUGAAAAACAAUUGAUCCAGUUAGGAAGCACACUGAGUGAUUGAACACAAGUGACCACAACAAGAUGGAACAAAAUUAAAAGGAAAAAAAUAGAAAGAGUGGAUGGAGAAUAAAACAGAGACAGCGGCACAGCUGGACACAACUAGAUAGAGAACAGAGGAAAACCAAAUAACAAGACUUAAGAUUACAACAAACAGAGGCCAAGUAUUGUUGAGAUCAGAAGAUGGAAAAUUCAAAAGAGUUGAUGACAGAUGCUGAAUAACAGAACAACAAUGAACGCAAUAAACAGAAGCAAAGUGUGGUUGUGAUCGACAGACGGAAGUAAGGAAAAGCGGUUGUCGAUUGAAAAUGAAUGAAUGCAAGGAAAGACUGAUAUUGAAAAUUGACGUCAAUAGCGAAGGAAUAAUUGAACUUUCGCUUAAUUAUUGUUUGUGGCCUUGUUUUACUUUUUAUUUGUGGGUCAUGUCUUUUGGAACUAAUCAUCUUAGCUUAUGCUUUACAGCUUUAAGGCCAGUAACCGGUGUCCGUUGGAUAAGCAUAUAGAAAUCCAACGGUGGAUAUAUAUCCUUGGGAAUAAAAUUCAAGAGCAAAGGGAGUGCUGGGCUGCAGUUUCUUAAGGAGAUUUAUAUAUCCUCCUCAAAAAUAAAUGUUUUAAGGUAGAUAUUUAGACUAUUUCAUCAUAAAAUGAAUGUAAUUAAUUUUCAAUAAAUAUCUUAUAUAAAUAUUUAUUUAUUUUUUUAAUUACUAAUGACCUUUGAAUAUACAUAUAUACAUAUCACUAAUUCAAAAAUAAAUUGUGAUUAUUUGUUAAUAUAUGCGAUUACUUGUGAUGGUAAACAAAGUAGAUAUGGUAUAUUUUGAAGUUAAAUUAAAAAAAAAAAAAACAGAGCUUUUACCAUUACUUGCCUUAUCAUCUUUUAAAUUAGAAUUAUUAUUCUUUUAUUUUUCAAGUUGCCAACUCAUCCGCAUUCUCUUGUAUUGAAUUUGAAGAUCAAUGAUUAUAAAUUUGUGUGAAAAUUUUAAGUCAAAACUUUAAAUUAAAAUAAUCUUUAAGUUAUUGGGAAAUAAUACCUUAGUAUAACAAAUAUUAUAUCCUAUACUUUAUUGCUACAAAAUUACGAAACCUUAUAUUAUAUUAUGUUUCCAUAUUUCUCCUUUAUAGUGAAGACUCGUACUUCUUCUCUAAUAAAUGCUAAAGUAUUGGCUUAAAUUUUUUAACCGGCACAGUAGACCCUUAAGCUAUAUAUACUAUAAUGUCCCUCUUCUCUCACAGAUUAAACCAAUCUGAUCUCAGAGUGAGUUGAUACCAUGACUUUGCAUCAUUCGUGAUCAAAGGAGCAUCAUUACUAACUAAUAUAGGCUCGAUCAAUAGGCAUGAUAAUAAUUUUUUUUUAUCUACAAACACUAUUUUUCAAAAUAUUUUAUCUUAAGACUAACUAAAUAUUUUUUAACUAUGUAGAUAUAGGUUGUUUGAUCUCUUUUAAAUAGUGGAGAUUACAAACAAACGGAUGCGAAUUAGUAGUGAUGUUGAGUUCAGAAGAUUGAAGUUAAGAAAAUUAAGGGUUUCUUGAUCUAGGGAAAUUUCAAAAGAGUGAAGCGUCCUCAAAAUCGGAAGACGAAAAAUAAGGAAAGGGUAAGGGUGUAUUUUCAAAGUAAUUCUAUUAGUAGAUCUUUGAAGUAGGGGUGGGCAAAUCAGGUUAGUUCGGUUUAAAACGGAUUGAAACAAUUUAAUCCAAAAAUUCUACCAACAACCACUUAAAAUCCAAAAAUCUUAAUUCCAAACAUCCUUAAUAACAAAUAUCAACUACAAACCAUCAUUAACAAUAUUUCAACAAUAACAAUAACAAUAAUAACAACAACAACAACAAUAAUAAUAACAACUAUGAAUUAGCAAUUCAGCAUAUUGCCAUAUUCUAAAUUUAAAAAAAAAACACAAAUUAAUUAAUUAACAAUCUCCAAUUUAAUUUAUAAUAACAGCAAAAAUCCUCCCCAAUUUAAUUAAUAUCAGUCUCCAAUUAUUCAAUUAUCAGUCAAUAGCAACAAACCCACUCCAAUAUAAUUAUAACAAUCUCCAAUUGUUCAAUUAUCAGUCAACAACAACAAAUCCUCUCCAAUUUGUCACGAACAGCCUCUAAUUGUUUAAUUUUCAGUCAACAACAACAAACUCACUCCAAAUAAUUGAACAAUUGUUAAUUAAUUAAUUAAAAAUAUCCAAUUUAAUUAAUAACAACACCCAAGAGCAAGUCAGCAAUAAACCCACUCCAAAAUCCAAAUAUCAGUAUAAACUAAGUGUCAAACCUUGAUCGGUGGGAAGCUACAACGUCGGCAAAGCGUGACCAUGUGGGGCUGAGUGAGACCGUCGACCGAGGGUGUGUGAAGGGAGAAGAGGGAGCAGGGAGGUAACGUGGUGUGUGUGAGUUUAUAUAUAUAUAUUAAAAGCUAAAACUUAAAAAAAAAAAUUUAACUCAAUCCAAACGCACACCUAGAUUACUUCCGUUAAGAGCUGAAUCCCACACUCUUGAGCCUUUGUCGUUCCAGUCAACUAUAAAAACAAAUCAUUAUUGAGUGUGAACAGACUUAUUGAUCACCAAAUUUUCAAACUUGUCAUCCUUAUUGAAUCUGCGUUCCCUUUUAAUAAAAUUUAAAAAAGUACAAAUAAUGAAACAAAGUUAUGUUCCUUCAACAGUUGAUAGAGUUACGCGGCUUCAACUUGCAAGUCCAGUCGGCAUUUUCAAACUUGUAAUACCCUUACAACUUGCUUUCCAAGAUAGCUAUAAUUAAUAAUGACAAUAGUCUCCCCUAUAGCGACUAGUGAGCAACUUGUUUCGUGAAAUUAACGGCAUCUUCUCUCGCAUUUUAAAAAAAAAUUGAAUUAUAUAACCCACCAAAACUAUAAAAGAAUUGUUAGUUUUUCUUCAUUAAAAUUAAUAUAUUGCUCCUCAUAUUGAAAAAUCAAAAUUCAGAAUAAGAAUGAUUGAUACUUUUUAUUUACUAAAAUGAAAAUAAAAUAUAUGAAGCCUACAUAUUUUUUAAAUUAAAAAAUAAGAACUUUAUUUUCUACGGGGAGUGUUGGGAAUCAAGUUCUCAUUAUUUAAACUCUCAAUUGUACUUCAUCGAAAUUUCAUAAUUUCACUUUUGUUCUCAAUUAAAAUAUUAUUGUAGUUAUUAUUCUUAUUUUUAUAGUUGUUGUUGAUGAUGAUGGUGAUAAUGAUGAUGAUGAUGAUACAAGAUAAUAAAAUUAAUGAUAAUUAAACCAAUUUGAAUUCAGAGUGAGUGAGUACCAUUACUUCGCAUCAUUUGAUAUCAAAGGAGCAUCAUUACUAACUAAUAUAGGCUCGAUCGAAUUCAUUAUGCGAAGUAUAUUAUCGGCUGUAGGUAUGGAAAUAAAUUUUGUAUCCACAAACACUAUUUUUCAAAAUAUUUUAAGACUUGACUUAGCAUUUUUUAACCAUAUAUGUAUAGGUUGUUUGACCUAUUUUAAAUAGUGGAGAUUACAACAAAUGAACAGAUGUGGAUUUGUAGAGUUGUUGAGUUCAGAAGAUUGAAGUUAACAAAGGGUUUCUUUAUCUAGAGAAAAUUCGAAAGAGCGAAGUGUCUUCGAGAUCAAAAGACGAAAUAAGGAAAGGGUAAGGUUAUACUUUCAAAAUGAAUCUGUUGAGAGAACUUUAAAGAUUACUUCCGUUAAGAGCUGGAUCCCACACUUGAGUCUUCGUCGUCUCAGUCAGUCAACUAUAAGGACAAAUUAAUUUUGAGUGUGAAAGGACACAAUUGAUCACCAAAUUUUCAAACUAGUGAUCCUUAUUGAAUCUACAUUCCCAUUUGAAAAACAAUAAAAGAUUAACAUUAAUUUAACUUCAUCUAAAUUCCCAUUUGAAUCUGCAUUCCCAUUCCCUUGUUCUCUGGGAAUGCACAUAAUCAAACAAAAUCCUAUCCGCAUUUUCAAACUCGUGACCCUUCAAGCUUUCUAUGACAACUAUAAUGAAUAAUUACAACAAUGCUACCUAAUAGUGAGAACUUGUUUGAUGAAAUUAACAGCUUCUUUUCUCUCAUGUAUUUUAAAAAAAAUUAAAUUAUCAAAGUUUUUAUUUCAAAAUUAGUGCUAUAGUUCAUUAAUUUUUCAAAUUUUCCUUUUUCUUUCCACACAACAGAUUGAUUUGCCCUCCAAAAAAUGUAUUAUAUUGUUUAAUAUUGUAACUUCAAGAAACUUAUAAUAAAUUUUUAAAGAGAUAAAUAGAGAAUAUCAGUCUCCCAUCUACUCAAAAUUAAUAUAUAUCAUUAACUCUUGAUUAUUUUUAUAAAAACUAAUAACUUUUUUUGCAGCAUAAUUUUACAGUAUCAUCCUUGUUAGUAAGUAUAUUUUUAUUCAUAUUUAUUAUAAAUUAAUUAAAUCAUAUCAAUGAAAAUUGAAAUAAAAAUUGAAGUACUACAAAUUAAAAAAAUAUGUUUUGGUGUGAAUAAAAAAUUGAAAAUAAAAAUAUUUUUCUUAUAUUUUUUGUUAUUUUUAAAUUUUUCUUAUAAUAAAUGUAUAUUUUAUGUGCUCAACUUUUUCUUUAAAUUUUUGUUAUUAGGAGGAUUUUUAGAUAUAAUGAAAAUUGUAAAGUAGUAAGUAAUAUAUAAUAAUUUUAAUAGAGAAAAGUAAAAAAUCUCUUAUUUUAAAAUACAAGGAGAAAAAUAAUUAAUUUCAAGACAUUUUAGAAGAUAUUUCAAUAUGCGGUGGACCACAAACUCGAGUCUUUGUCAUCUCAGUCAAACUAAAAGGACAGAAUAUUGAGGGCAUGGCUAACGUGCAGAAGCUACAAGUAACAGCUUCGAACUUUCCCAUUUCCAUCACCUUGCAUUGGGAGUUUGGGACCUCUUUCUCUCUCCUCUAGCAGCCGUGGAAGUUCCCCAUUGGCUACUGUUACUUACAGAAGCUGUAACAUAGACUUCUCCGAAUAUUGACCGCGAAGGGCUCAAGUGAUUGUUCAUUUCACAGCAAUUGCCUUUUUUCUUUUUUUCUAAUUAUUGGGAAAUAAGAACUUAGUAUAACAAAUAUUAUAUCCUAUACUUUAUUGCUAAAAAAUUACAAAACCUUAUAUUAUAUUAUGUUUCCAUAUUUCUCCUUUAUAGUGAAGACUCAUACUUCUUCUCUAGUAAACGCUAAAGCAUUGGCUUAAACUUUUUAACCAGCACAGUAGACCCUUAAGCUAUAUAUACUAUAAUGUCUCUCUUCCCUCACAGAUUAAACCAAUCUAUCUCAUAGUAAGUUUGCAUCAAAGGAGUAUCAUUACUAACUAAUAUAGGCUCGAUCAAUAGAGAUGACAAUAAUUUUUUUAUCUACGAACAUUAUUUUUUCAAAAUAUUAUAUCUUUAGACAUAACUAAAUAUUUUUUAACCAUAUAUGUAUAGUUUGAUUAAAUAGUGGACAUUACAACAAAACAUAUGCGAAUUAGUUGUGAUGUUGAUUUCAGAAGAUUGAAGUUAAAAAAAUAAAGGGUUUCUUGAUCUAGGGAAAUUUCAAAAGAGUGAAGCGUCUUUUAGAUCAUGACGAAAAAAAAGAAAGGGUAAGGGUGUAUUUUCAAAGUGAUUCUAUUGAAAGAUCUUUAAAGAUUACUUUCGUUAAGAGCUGUAUUCCACACUCUUGAGCCUUUGUCGUCUCAGUCAACUAUAAAGAUACAUUAUUAUUGAGUGUGAACAUUCCGACUUAUAGAUCACCAAAUUUUCAAACUUGUGAUCUUCGUUGAAUCUGCAAUCCCUUUUGAAAAAAAAAAAAAAAAAAGGGGAAAACUGCAAAUAAUGAAACAAAAUUCUGUUCCUUGAUAGAGUUACGCGGCUUCAACUUGCAAGUGCUGUCGGCAUUUUCAAACUUGUAUGACCCUUCAACUUGCUUUCCAAGAUGGCUAUAAUUAAUAAUGACAACCGAAGACGGCUACGUUUGCGGUACAAAAGUUGCACCAUAUUAGACGUUCUUUUUUGUUCUUAUCCGAAGUAACCGUUGGAUUCAAAGGAAAGUGAUCAGACAUUCAAUAGCUUCACACGUGGACAUUAUAGGAUACCGGUCAAAUCGGUUAGUGCUCCUCCUCAAUCAAACUCACAAGCAUGGCUAUCAUCGUAUCAGCUUGGAAACUUGUUACAAGUGACUAAGAGCAACAGGGUCCGCUCCUCUAGAGUCGGUUAGUGCUCAAUAAUGUUACAGGUUUUAUAAUCUAUGUAACUGGUACGAUCGCUGUCUCAAGUGGUAAACUUUUGAGGCACAAAUUUAGAACGAAAAGUUCCCAAUAAAAUAAGUUAUUUAAUUAAUUAAAUAAGAAUAAAAUGAAUUUGUGAAAAAAAAUUUAAAUUUAAUUUUGAAUUAUUUUGACCAAAAUUUAAGUUUUUUUUUUUAAUUUGUUUAAGAAAAUGCGUUGUAAUUGUCUUGUUUUAAUUGGAAAAUCAAUGAAAAAAUUAUGUAAAAAAAAAAAGCAAAACGCUUUGUUUUGGAUGGAGGCCAUAGAUUCCAAUAUUUCCUUCACGAAAACUACAAAAAAAUUAUCAAAGGCAUCAAUUUCUACACUCUCACCGAGCAAUACUCUUAACCCAGAAGAAAGUGUAUAAACCAACCCCAAUCAGUCCAUCAAUGUCGUCAACCUCAUACAGCAUAAAAAAAAUAUGUGUCCAUUAAACCGUCUUUAUUGAGCCAUUAGACUAUUCGUAUCAUCUUCCCGUCUCGUUGUAGUAUUUUGCCGUUCAAAACUAGUUAUCAAUUGGGGAAAAUGGGGACCAAUCUGCAAGUCUUUAAAAUAGAAAGAAACUUUAAUUGGGCACUAUGUUCACGGUGGCAGACCCAGCAGCAGCUAUUUGUGCUUUAAAAAUAAUUUUACACAUUCUAAUUUUAAUAAAAAUAUAUAUUACAAAAUUACUUAUCAUAUAAGUUACUGGACAAUAUAUUAUAAGUCAACAUUAUAUAAUUACUUUGAACACUUAUAUAGCCCAAUCCUAAUUCAAUUUAUUAUUCUCAUAACUUAAAUAUAAAAAUUUUUAUUUCCAACUUCUUAAUUAAUAUGUAGAUGAAUAAUAAGGAAAUUAACUUUGAGAAAAAAUUAAAUACAAAAUAUGUGUAAUACUUUCAAAAAAAAUAAACAAAAGUAUUGCACAAGAUAAUUUUUUUUGGGGGGGGGGGGGCUUUGGCCAUUCUUCUUCUUCUCCUUCUCUCUCUCUUUUUUUUUUUUUGUAGUAUUUAUGGAACAUUUUCUAUUGUUAUGUUCUCAUUGCAAGUUAUUUUGGGUGUAAAAUUCAACAUUGAAAAUAAAUUAAAUAAAAAAAUUAGUAACUAAAAUUAUGUUAAAUUAUUUUUUAACUUAAUUUUUAAUUAUAUUAUUAGUAUAUGUUAGAUCUCUUAAAAAUCGAGUGUUGAAUAAUUUUAUUAGUUUUUUAAACAAAUAAAGUUAAAUAACUUAAAAAAUUUAAGUAAGGAUAUUUUUAAAUUUUUAAACAGUAUACAAAGUAAAGUUUAUUUUCUUGUCAGUGGCAAAUGAUCACGACAAGAAAUCUAAAGUAGAAACAGCAGAGCUCAACAAAUCACUAAGAGAAAAUAAGACCAAUAACCAAGCAGAUAAAAGAAAAGCAAAAUAACCCAUCUCAAAUCACCACAUGCACAAUUUAAGGGGUUUGUGACAUGGGUUUAAGCAUGAUUUAACAAGUGCCACCUGUGAAUUGUCAGAGAUUGUAUUUUCAUACACAUGUCUAGGGGUGGGCAUAUUUUAACCGAACCGAUCCAAACCGAUCCAAACCGACCAUUUGGUCGGUUUGGAUCGGUUUCAUUAGUAAAAAAACUGGUUUCGGUUUAUUGGAUUGCAAACCGACAUCACUCGGUUUGGAUUUCGGUUUGGAAUGAUUCCAAACCGAUUCAAACCGAUCCAAUCCAAAAAUAUUAUAUAAUUACAUUAUAUUUUAAGUUAAGCAAUCUAACUAAUUAUAUUUAUCAUUUUAUGCAGAUUUUGACAAAUCAAAACUAAUUAGGCCAUAAGUUUUGACGGACAAGAUGCACAAUAUUUUAAUUGUCAAAUGUUGUUCAAGUUUAUUUUAAUUUUGUGAGUUUGUUUUGAAUGAAUAUGUUAAGAACUUCUUUAUUAGGAUGUAUUAUACCGUAAACUUGUAUGGAUGUAUCUUUAAAUUGUUAUGUAGAUGUCAAAGUAGAUAUGAAUAAUAUAAAAGAGGUAUCAAUUUGGAUUACGGACACAAAAAAAUAACAAAUAAUUUAGGUAAAAUAAUAAAAAAAGUGGGCUUUUAGCUAAUAAACUCAAACUGAGAAUCCAAACCGAUCCAAACCGAUCCAGUCGGUUUGGAUCGGUUCGGUUUGAAAAAUUUUUAAGUUGAUAUCGGUUUGAAAAUAUUUCAAACCGAUAAGUUUGGAUCGGUUUGAGAAUAUGUCUCAAACCGAUCCAAACCGACUUUGCCCACCCCUACACAUGUCAAAUUUUCAAGUCCAACAAAUUGUUAUCUUUCUAAAGAGGCUAAUAUUAUUAUUAUCUAUGCAUAGCAUGCUAUAAACAAUUCAUAUUACUGGGCCUUUGUUUUGUGUACACAACAUAUGGACAGAGGAACAAAUGCCUGAGCUAAAAUCAUCAUAUUCCAAAAUAUUCUAUUAAAUCAGCACCACAAAACGCGAACGCUAAACAGAAUUGGAGCAAUUUACCAAAGCUAUUUGUCACGCAAAGCACUAGUACCUCAGAACCCAAUUUGCAAAAAAGCACCAAAAAUGAAAAAUAACAAAUGCCCAGAUGAAAAAUCAGGAAAAAAAAAAUGCUCAAAUCCAAAUUACAACCCCAUAAGUUGAGUCGUUCUCUUCGAACUGAAUUAAAAAUAAAUAAAAAAAUUAAAAUGGGGAGAUUGACCUCAAACUUUGGAAACAGAAGCGACAGCGAUCUGUUUCUUGUCUGGAGUGUCCAUUUCUAUAAUCUACUUUGUCCGUUUUCAGUUGCUCUGCCACAGAGCUUCUUCCCUCUGAAGCUGAAGCUCACACACACUCGCAAAACGAAAGCAUUUUUUAUUGAUUGAGAGGCGGGAAGGCGGGAAAAUGAGAGAAAUUUGCAUUUGUUUUCUCUUGGUUUGGUCAUACUUGUGCGGGCCCCAGCUUGACAAGCGGUAUUAUUACUAUUUGUAUAAUUUACAUGACGCGUGUCACGCAAUGACGAUAAAAAAUAUAUAUAUAUUGUUAAUUUUUCACUUAACAUUGAAAUAUCAUAUAAUUUUUCCAAUUUUAUGGUUAUUUUCUCGCCCUUAUGCCACAUUCUUUUGAUCAAAUAAUACAGUAAAACUUUUCUAUAAUCAUAAUAUUAGAGCCAAAUUAACUUUAUUUCUGUAAAGAGGCUAUAGCUUAAUAAAGGUAAAAUUAUAAAAAAAAUAUUAUUUUGACUCAGUUAUCUUUAGUGCAAGUGAUAUAAAGUACAAAUAUAUGAUAAUUAAUUAAUGAACUAUGUCAAAUACAAUAUGCUAACAAUGAUAAAAAAAGAUAGACAUAAUUUCAAGAAACUAUGUAUUUAUGUAGUGCUGGGAUUAUACAAAAUUAUCUUAAAAGUGUAAAGAGUAAAGUAUUAUUCUGAUUAAUUUAUAAAAAAAUUAUUUUAUCUUAAUCUUUAAUGCAACAUAGCUUUUUCUUUUCUUAACAACAAAGCAUUGUUUCAAAUAAUAAUUAUUGGAUUCAAAUCAUGUCCUAGGCAUUUUUUCUUCUAGUCGUCUUAAACUUUUAAUGAUUUAUUGGGAUGUGUCAAUCAUUAAUGAAAUUAAAUAACUAAGACUUUGUUUUAAUUAACGUUUACAUAAAUAGACAUCAAAACUCAAGUGUGAUUCUUAUCAAUUUUUUCCUGCAAAUUCUUUUCCUCUCAACUAUUCAUAUUUUGACAUUAAUUUCCAGCAAAUUAUUAAAAAAAAAAAGAAGCGUAAAAUGGAGAAAAGUGAUUGACAACAAGGUUUGCAUCUUAAUUUCAAAAUUUUCCUUUCUUUGCUAUUUUUGUGAGUUCUACAAUUGUUGUUUUCACUCUCAGCUGCAGUUCAAUGAACUCUAUUAAUAACCAUGAAGCUUAAUGUAUCAAUUCCAGUACGAGAAGUCCUUCUACGCAUGUUACAACACUUUUUGGUCAUUAUAGGUUGCAAAUGUUCCGUAAUGUACUCAUUCAUAUAACGGAAACGCUAUUAUCAAUAAUGAAAGUUGACUAAGUUUGUAAAUUCUAUUUAACGAAAAAGUAACAUAAAUUUAGUUGAACAAGAGGUAAUCAAUAUGUAAUCUAUGAAACUAGGGUGUGACUAAGUUACAUAGUAAUGUAACUUACAUGAACACAAAAAUAAUUAGUUUUUAAACUACAAGUAAUUUUGGAACUGCUCUUAAAUUGAUAUAAGUUUUAUUAUUAUGUAACUUAGCAAGGUCAGGUAUUUUAAUAAUAGCACAUCACUAUUGUUUCAUGUGAAUGAUGCAAUUGGAUUAGCCAAUACAUACUGUCAUCCCCGGGAGAUGCUAUGGCAAUAGCUUACUCUACCGUGCCAAUGUCAUUAGUAUUAAUCUGUUGAGCCUAAGACCAGAUCUAAGCUGAUCUAGAUUCCCCAAGAUCGCACACCACACAGUGAUUAAUGAAUCAAGAACAAUAAACCAUCAAAGAAUCGCAAACUUACAUGUCGGGUUACAUGUAAUAAAUGUUUUAAUUAUUAGAUGAUUCAUAAUGUUAGACCAUUUUUUGUAUGUUUUGUAAUCUACGUUUGAUAAUUUAAUUAGCUGAUAAACAUUUGAAUAAUAUUAUUUCAUUAGCUAUGUCAUUGAUCCCCAGGAAAAAAAAAAAAAAAAAACCCAAUUUGGGAUGUUAUACAUUACUUUUUCAUUACUUCCCAUUUUAGAUUAAUAUUUAUCACAUAUAUUCUUAGCAACUUGUAACCCUUUUUGCUAAGGGUGAAAUGUGUUUGUUACCCCUUCUAUUUCUGAGAUUGUCCUUACAAUAAGGAUGCCGGCCCCAAUGUCAAAAACUGCUAUCUCUAGGUGUAAAUUCCUUAUAAAAUUCUUUUUUAAUUGAAAUUACUUAAAUAAUUGAAGAUAAAUUAAUUUUUUAUUUCAUUCAAAUAAAAAAAAAUAAUUAAACACUUAAAUAAGCUAUCCUUUUAAUUUUUUUUUUUACACCCAUCCAGUUUCAUAAUUUAUAUUUAUAAUUUAAAUUUUAAUGGAAAAUAUUUUUUUGAAAAAUUUUAAGAAUUAAGAAUUAUGGGGAUAAAAAUUAUGUAAUAAGAACAAAAUAAUUUAAAAUUUUAAAAUUUGCAUGUAUUAUGAACAAAAACUUGAAAGAAAUACUCUUUUCAGGGUGAGAUUUAAUCAGAAAAAGAUUAAUUUUCAUUUAUGGAUCAGUAUUUUAUAAAUUAAACAGAGGUAUUUUAAGAAAUAGAAUUCAAAAGGCAUGGGAACAAGGGCAUUGGGUUUCCUUUUGUUUUGUAUGGAUUGGGAAAAAUACACGGACAGACAAAGGGAACAGUCAUUAUAAUGCUGCGGAGCUUGUCGGAGAUUCCCUGCCCAUUUGUAGCUUAGACUCCUGGGGUUUUGUUCAUGUCUUUUCUGUAUCCCACUUUCUCAUGCAGCAGAUGUACAUAUGAUGAGAUGAAAACAACAGCAAAAAUUGCUGUCUCAUAAGAGAAAUAGUCAUACAUAGUUGGUUAGGCCUCCAGUCCAUUAACUUAAUAAUGAAUUUUACGAAAAUUGAUUAUCUCAUUGGAAUUACAUAGAUAUUGGAAAUCAUUACUCCAGCCCCACCAUGCCAACCAUUUACUUAGUUCAUCAGUAAAAGCUGGAUUUUCCAUUUGUUCUUGAGAUUCAAAUUAAGGCAACAAGUUGCUCAUUCUAUAUUAUCUAUGUAAUCCUGUAAAAGUGAAGGGCGUUUAGAUGUGGAAAAACCUUACUCCUGCCGCAACACCUCAAACAGAUUGUGAUCAGACAAGACUUAGUUCAUCAUUAGUAGUAGUUGGAGCUUCCAUUUGUUCUAGAGAUUUAAAGGCAGCAAGCUGCUUCCUCAGUGCUACUAAUUCUUCCCCGGCAUUGCAUAUGUAGCCUGAGGCUUGUCUACCAGACAAAGUUGCUCCUUCCAUACUAUCUAUGUAAUCCAGUGAGAGUGAAACCAUUUAGAAGACGUAUCUCUUUCUUUCCAAUAUUUAGAAUGAAACAAUUAUAUACAGUUACCUGUUUUGCAUAUGAGCCGGUGAGGAAGAAGUUCUUCACUGGUGUCUUUUGAUCACGUCUGAAGGGGUCUUUACCAGGUCCCUCACCGCACAUAGAUUGCCCGAUUUUGACGAAAGAUGACCAAAUAACUUCCAAACCUUGGGAUGAUGGAAAUGGAGCUAAAACCUAAUAAAAGGAACCGUGAAUGGAUAGUAUGGACUCAUGUAUAUUAUCCAGAAAGUUGCAUGACCUUUUGUGGUACUCAGGUCACUAAAAAACGUGAGAUAAACAUCUAGGAUAAGAAAAGCAAAAAAGCAUAACCUAAUACGUAUUAUAUGAAUUGAAGGUGUCACUGAACGCUACCAACCUGCUUUGCCACUCUCCUUAUGAUUUCAUCAUUUGGUAAGGGCAUAUAAGGAUCUCCAGGCGUCAAAACGCGUCUGAAAGAUAAUAUGGUUAUAGUAAACAACAUGGAAUACAAAGACACUUGGCAAAAGGAAGUCAAUCAGAUUCCAUGCACAAAAAAUAACUAAUAAUGACGACGAUAAGAAAUUUUUCACACCGGAGCCUUCUCUAUAGUAGUCUUCUGGUGAAGUAAGUGCUAGAUCUGCAAAGCAAGAGAAAUCUGCAUCUGGAGUAUAUAAAAGGUUAUCUAACCCCACAGCUUGCCUCAAUUGCCUACAUGUUCAAAACAAGGAUCUAUUAAAAAAUGGAAAUUUCUUCAAUGCAUUAGUGAAGGGAAGUGAAGUGAAAGCGGAUUUCUUAAGCCUUCACAGAGCAUCUUGUGUUUGAAUUCCGGUAACCUCACAAAAGAUUAGAGCAUCACCUUGACCGUUCUAGGUCUUGCAACUCAGUAACCCAACCAUUGUAUCUAAGCUGCACUGUGACAACAUGAACUCCAACGAGCUCAUAAAUAUUGUUGAAAAAUUUCAUUUCCCUCCAGCCUCCACAAUGAUGAAAGCAAUCUUUUAAUUCCAGGGACAUCACAUGCUGCCAUUAAAUAAGAAGUUGAAUAAAGAAAAAUCGUUCAACUAAAUGAUUCAGGAGUUAAAAAAAAAUGUAGAAGUAGAAAUAAAUAACAAAGAUUUAACCAUAAACCUGCAACAUUUGCAUCAGCUUGCACAACCUUCUUGUCAGUGGCCUGAAAUAGAAUGAGAACUUGAAAGACAGUAAGCAUAAAAGAAUAAACUCAAAGAAGCUGCUUCUUACAGAUGAUAUAAACAACAAAUUUACAAAUGUCAGGUCAUUGCAUUAGCUCCAUGCCUCCAUCAGAGGGAAUAUUAGUAGAUGCAUAAAAAAAUAAUUAGAGCCACAUGUGAAACAAUUUACCUUAGACAUGGCAAGUGCUUUAACAAAUGUUUCCCCGUUAGCAGAUUUAUCAUAAAGUAUCUCUCUGCAUCCCCACCUAAGAUGGAACCUGUUCUCACAAGAACAGAUCCCAAGGUUGGGAAAAUCAGUUCAUCAUAGGAGAAAACAAAUAAGAUUAACAAAUCACUACAAUGGUGUGAACCCGUAAAUACAAACGUACCUGCCCCCUUUUUCUGUGAUAUAUUUUCUUAUGGGCCCACUCAAAUAAACAUCCGGAGAACCCGAGCAUCAGCAAUAGGGAAGCCUCGGUCUUAGUCGCAAAUAGUGCAAGUAUGGUAAGCGUACAAUGAGCACUGAUGUUAUCACAAUCAAUAAACCCAAGGGCAUACGCAACAGGAUCCCACAUUCUUUGGAUACUUGUCCGUGUACCACCCUUGGACAAAAACCAAUCAGAGAAGCUUAUGUGUAAGAAGAAAUGAAGUUUUAGGUAAAAUAACAAUUUGUAGGAACAGGGAUUGAAAUUCAACAGACAAGGAAAUAUGAUAUCAUUCUUACACUAUCCAAAUCUCAUAUGUCCUUCAAGGCUCCAUCAGGAUCAACAAGUGCCUUUACAACAGGACUCAGAGCAAGAGCAAGAGCAUUUCUUGCUUUAUCUUAAGUCUGCACUUGAGCAAUAUACCAGGCAAAGUACAUCAAAAGAGAAUCCAAAAGAGGCAAGAAGCUUCAACAUGAAAAAAGGAGUACUGCCUCAUCAUACUGCUUUGCAAUCACAGUGCAAAAGAUAACAUCAACAAAUCAAAAUCGACCAAAAAUCCAUAUGCACUACCUUAAGCUGAUUUGUAGACAAAAAUGUGCGAAUCCCAUGUAACGGAGCUCCAAUCAGAAACCGGAAAUCAAGUUCUGGAGUUGAAAAUCAAAAUCAUGAACCAAAUCAGAGUUAUUAUUGAAUUUGACAAUCCAUAAACCAAUAGAAGGUGAUGUCAAACCAUCAAGCAUAACUACCCACCAAGCAAAACUAUUAGUAGUUUUAAGUGAUCAAGAAAUAACCAUACCACCAAUUUCACCACCCUUAUUUACAAAUGUAUGAGUAUGAUCCUUCAUGAGUAAAUUUUUGUCCACACCUACCUGUCGAAAUGCUUGAAAAACUAUCAGAUCAUAAACACAGGCUCCAGUUAAAGAGGAUCUAUGAUUCUGAUCCAUCAUGUUAUUUGAACAACAUUUUCGAAUUUUGGUACAACCCUAAGCUAUAAUCAGUUGUAGUGGUACAACCCUAAGCUAUAAUCAGUUAUCAUCACUACAAAUGAUAUGGUCAAGAGGAAUGAUAGUUCUUGUUUCAAGUAUCUCAAAUCAUAAUUCUUUUGCAUGGCUUGUGUGCUUUUAUAAUCAUUCAAAUACGCAUAUCCACAACUAAGCAAGCUUUACCAUUUUCAUCAAUCGGAAGAGAUUAUUGUAGCAUCCAAAGAAAACGUGCAGGCCCAUUUCAAUAUGGUUUUCACGUUUAUCGACAAAUGAACCCACUUUACCACCAAUAAAAGACCUCGACUCAUAUAUAUCCACCUGGAAGAAAGGAAAAGUUAAAAAAAAAAAGUGUUGAGAAUUAUGUUUGAUUAAACUUAAUUCUUUCCCCAAGAAAUCUCCACACACUGAUCUUAUUGAAACAAGAAUGAAUACCCAAGAUAGUAAUCAGAAAUAAAGCAAGAGUGUUUAGACAGAAAUAGAGAUUAAAAGCAUAGAAUAAACCGGACACAAGGAGAAUUAUAGAGGUUCGGCUGGGUAGCCUACAUCCUCUUGAGAAACAGAAGCCAUAGCUUUUCUUUGAUGCUUAACAGAUUACAAGACUUAGAGAGUUUGUUACAAAGAACGUUGGUUAUCUAAACUUGGCCUUGGAGACCUUAUAUACAGCUCUCGAAGGAUCCAGAUAAGUGUGCUGCUUGCCAGCUCUUGUUCUGGGUUUGUUGAAACAAACCCAGAAAGUUCCCGCCAAGGCUAACCGUUGAUAACAGCCUUUUAAUUAGAAACGACACUUGCUGCUGCCGUUUAACUAAAGCUUGAAUCCGUAGAUGCUCGUGCAAUUCACGUGCAUUACUUAAGCUAUUCGUGUGACAGGAUAUGGUUGUCAUAUGCACAGCAUUAUCUGUCUGAUUGCUUUGUCGUUACUUGAUUAAUCCUAGACACGACAAAGUCAUCUUCUCCGUAAGCUCUUAAUUCAGGUUCACAAUUAACAAAAAGGAAUAAAAAUUCUUCUAAUUUCUUACACCAUCAACAAAAUCAGAAUAACACAUACUAGUUCAAAAUGAAAUAAAGUUUGUGAAUUGAAAUAAUGCCAACUCCUAAGAAAAAUUAUGACUGCUGAUAUUUUUUCCGAAACGCUGAUAAAAGCCUCUGCUAUUUACUUUGAAAAAAUUGAGGUUAGAAGCCAAUUUACUUGAAAUUUUUGAGUUUAGGCAAGAGGAUGAAUGGUAAAACUGAAACAUAUUAGGGAAAAAUGUACUUCAGAGGCCAAUGAAAGCAUUCAGAAGAUUGAAAACUAAAUGAGCAAAACCUCGUGGCCAUGAUCCAACAAUUCCACUGCUGUUGACAUGCCUGCAAGCCCAGCUCCAAUAAUAGCCACUUUCAGCUUUGGUCCUCUAUAAUGUUCCGGUUCUGGUAGAAACAAACCCUUGGGAGCUGCCAAGUAUACCAUCCAAUUAUCCACAGUGAUAAUGGAAAUAUAUAUUUGUUUAAAGGUACUAAAUUCCUAAACAUGAAAUGUAUCCAAAAAGAGACACAAAGCAGAAUUGAGUAAGCAUUUCAAUUCCCAAUAAAUUUCAAGAAUACAAAAUACUCGGUCUGUUCUUCAAUUCCUUUAAUAAAAUUUCCACUAGAGGCUACGCAAGCCACUCAAUAACACGCCAAAGCCAGAUUUUAAACGUUAUCUUUAUCUUUAACUCCAAUCCAUAAACAAUUCUGCCACAAAUUCAAUCCAAAAUUGUUCAACUGCACCGCCAAUUCUCCAUCAAUUCCCUCAAAAAUUCAUAAUUGCCAAACACUGCAAACCAAAAAGAGCUUCCAGCAAUAAACGCAUAAAAAUCCGCCAAACAACAUAAAACAAAAUACCUAGAAACCAGAAAAGCCAAAAGAUCAAUGCUUGGCAAACAAGCAAAUCAAAUAAAACAAAAAGAAGAGAAAUUUACCAUUAACGCUCAUAUCAGAAACAUUCGUGUCCAAAGAAGCCCGUACGUGGAAUCGUGGACCCUUCACUUGAACCCGAGACCAUUUAACGCCAGUAACUGAAGUUGCAGGAAGCAGAAGUGAAGAACCCAUAUUGCAAAUCCUGAGCUGAAAUCAAGAAAUUCAAUUGGAACUCAAUUCAACUCAACCCAGCUGAGCUCUCUUUUGCUUCAAUAACAAAGUGUUUUUCUUUUAUAUCAACAAAGAUUUGUCAACAUCAACAAAAUUUAACUAAGAAACUAAAAUAAUAAAAGAGGGCACCUUUGAGUUUAAGAAUCUAACAAGAUGCUAAGGAAGAGAGUUUUGUCAGGGAACUGUUUCGGAGAGGUUGGCCAAGUGCUUUUUUGUUUGUUUGUUUGUUUUUUUUUUUUUUUUUUUUUAUCAUUUUGGCCCUUUUCAUUAAUACACAACAUUAGUACUCGCGAAGAGCACAAAAUGUUGGUGACUUUGUCACUAACGAUAAUGGAUGGAGCGACCAAAGCAACCAACUAAAUUUUAAAGAGAGGGAAUGACAAGCAAUAUUUUAAUUGGGUGAUUAAUUAAUGUAUUAUCAAGCAAUUGCAUUUAUUUAUUUAAACGAGGGUUUGGCUACAAUGCCGUUGGCAUUGUAGCCGGCACCAUGCCGGGCUCUCAAAAAGAGAGCCCGGCUGUCUUUGGCUGCCAUCUGGCAGCCAAAGACUUGGUGCAGCCAGUUAACAAACCGGUUGCACCAUAUUUUUUUAAAAAAUAUAUUAAAAAUAUAAUAUAAAAAUAAAAAAAUUAAAUAAAAUGUCAAAAAUAAUUUUUUAUAAUAUAAUUAAUAGCAAAAGAUAAAGAAAUUAAAUAAUAUAAUACAAACCCUAUAAUACAAUAUAAUAUAAUUAAAUAAAAUGGCAAAAAAUAAAGAAAUUGAAAAUGAAAAAAAUAGUAUUUCAGGUUUAACGUCAGUUGUUGCAUGUCCGAUGUCUCGAUUGCAUGUUUGACGUAAGAUGUUGCAUGUGUUGAAUAAAGCCAAAAUAAAGAAUAUUCUCGAAUAUUCUCGUCCGUUUCAUGUUUGACGUCGAAGUUGCGAACUUUACGUGAUAAGUUGUAUAUUUCGCGUGAAGUGUUGUAAGUUUCAUGUUUAACGUCCGUUGUUGCAUGUCGGACGUCACGGUUGCAUGUUUGACGUAAGCUGUUGCAUGUCUUGAAUAAAGACAAAAUAAAGAAUAUUCCCGAAUAUUCUCGUCCGUUUCAUGUUUGACGUCGAAGUUGCGAACUUUACGUGAUAAGUUGCAUAUUUCGCGUGAAGUGUUGCAAGUUUCAUAUUUAACGUCAGUUGUUGCAUGUUCGACGGUUGGAUUUCAUGUUUGACAUACGAUGUUGCAUGUUUUGAAUAAAACCAAAAUAAAGAAUAUUCCCAAAUAUUCUCGUCCGUUUCAUGUUUGACUUCAAAGUUGCAAACUUUACGUGAUAAGUUGCAUAUUUCACGUGCAGUGUUACAGGUUGCAUGUUUAACGUCCGUUGUUGCAUGUCGAACGUCACGGUUGCAUGUUUGACGUAAGCUGUUGCAUGUCUUGAAUAAAGCCAAAAUAAAGAAUAUUCCCGAAUAUUCUCGUCUGUUUCAUGUUUGAUGUCGAAGUUGCGAACUUUACGUGAUAAGUUGCAUAUUUCUCGUGAAGUGUUGCAAGUUUCAUAUUUAACGUUAGUUGUUGCAUGUUCGACGGUCGGAUUUCAUGUUUGAUGUAAGCUGUUGCAUGUCUUGAAUAAAGUCAAAAUAAAGAAUAUUCUCGAAUAUUCUCGUCUGUUUCAUGUUUGACGUCGAAGUUGCAAACUUUACGUGAUAAGUUGCAUAUUUCACGUGCAGUGUUGCAGGUUGCAUGUUUAACGUCCGUUAUUGCAUGUCGGACGUCCUGCUUGCAUGUUUGACGUUCGAUGUUGCAUGUUUUGGAUAAAGCCAAAAUAAAGAAUAUUCUCGAAUAUUCUCGUCCGUUUCAUGUUUGACGUCGAAGUUGCAAACUUUACGUAAUAAGUUGCAUAUUUCGCGUGAAGUGUUGCAAGUUUCAUAUUUAACGUCAGUUGUUGUAUGUUCGACGGUUGGAUUUCAUGUUUGACGUAAGCUGUUGCAUGUCUUGAAUAAAGCCAAAAUAAAGAAUAUUCUCGAAUAUUCUCAUCCGUUUCAUGUUUGACGUCGAAGUUGCAAACUUUACGUGAUAAGUUGCAUAUUUCACGUGCAGUGUUGCAGGUUGCAUGUUUAACGUCCGUUGUUGCAUGUCGGACGUCACGGUUGCAUGUUUGACGUAAGCUAUUGCAUGUCUUGAAUAAAGCCAAAAUAAAGAAUAUUCCCGAAUAUUCUCGUCUGUUUCAUAUUUGACGUCGAAGUUGCGAACUUUACGUGAUAAGUUGCAUAUUUCGCGUGAAGUGUUGCAAGUUUUAUAUUUAACGUAAGUUGUUGCAUGUUCGACGGUUGGAUUUCAUGUUUGACAUAUGAUGUUGCAUGUUUUGAAUAAAGCCAAAAUAAAGAAUAUUCCCGAAUAUUCUCGUCCGUUUCAUGUUUGACGUCAAAGUUGCAUAAUUUACGUGAUAAAUUGCAUAUUUAACGUGACUUGUUGCGGGUUUCAUGUUUUACGUCUAUUGUUGCAUGUUGGACGUCACGGUUGCAUGUUUGACAUUAGAUGUUGCAUGUCUUGAAUCAAGCCAAAAUAAAGAAUAUUUCCGAAUAUUCUCGCUUGUUUUAUAUUUGACAUCAAAGUUGCAUACUUUACGUGAUAGGUUGCAUGUUUGACGUAAAAUAUUGUAGGGUAGGUUUAUAUAAAAUAACUAAUUAUAAAAUGAGAGUGCAUUUCAAAAUUCCUUGACAAAUCAAGUGAUAAUUUAUAACUAAACUUAUUUUUUUCAAAUUUUUUAUUAUUAAUUAAGUUUAAUUAAGCCAAUCUAUUAAGAAACAAAUGAAAAUAUAUUAAAAUUAAAUUAAAUGCAACUUUUACCCAAUAAAUAUAUUUAGGAAUAUAUCUAAUUAAAUUGGUACACAAAUUACAAAUGUUUUCAAGAAAUUACACACAUAAGUUUAAUAGUCUAACUAUUUUUUAUAUGAUUGAUAAAAUGAUGGCUUUGGAAAGAACUUGUGAUUUGAAAAGAAAAAUCUAGUUAAUUAUAAUAAAAUUACAUAUCUAAUCCAACCUUUUUUCCUUAUUUUAGUCAGAUAAUAGUUUUGAAAAUAAUUUGAUAAUUCAAGUGAUAAUGUCUAUUCUUAUUUGUUGUAUAAUAUUUUUUUAGGUGCAUUUCAUUUUAUUUUUAUUUUUUUAGAGAAUCUAAUCAUGGUGGAUAUUUUAAAUUACUAAGUCAUGAAAAUUUUGAAUUCAAUUGAAAUUUACAAUCUUUUAUGAAUGAAAAUAUACAGCAAGACAAAAAAAUUGAGAGAUAAAAAGAAAAUGUGGUAGAAAGAAAAGGCAACAUCAAUAUGAUCAUUUUCUAAGAAAAAUUAAGGCAAAAUCUUCCAAGUAAUAUGGUCAAUUUCAAUAAAAUUACAACUUACUAGAGUAAAUCCAUCUACUAAACAUCCAAAGUUCACAACAUAAUAUUUGAAUAUCACCAAUAACAUCCCCAAUCCUAAAGAUUGCAACAAAUUCAUGUAACAUUUGAGGGUAUUGUUUGGGGGUAAAAAUAACGUGACCAAGUACACAUAAGUAGAACGUGCACCCCUCAGUCGGCCUAAGGCGACUCCUUGAGGAAAGUCUUCCCCGAUGAGUUGAGCAUUGGAGGGUUUAUGUUAGAAAAAUCUCCGACAUCCCCUAACUAGUUGUUAUGAACGCAAGCAUCCUUGGAGAAAGAGCUUGAGGUCCCAAGAGCCUAUUCGAUAAGAAAGAUAGAAGUACAAACCGACUCCCCAACAACUACUAAUUUAAGUGUUGGCGUGGUUGUCUGGUCGCUUCACAGCUCGACGAGAAUUCAACAUCAACAAAUAUUUUAGAACCUAGUGUAUCUUCAAUCAUUUUGGAUUAAAUUCUAUGACACUUUUUUCUUUUCUUCUCUUUUUUUGUGAAAACAAAUUUUAGUACACUUAUUUUAAAAGAAAUUUGUUAAUGAAAAACAAAAUAAUGACAAUGAAGAGCACUCAUUUAUAAAAAUAAGCUACAAAUAGAAAAACAAAAUUCAUAUAAGUAGAAUCUCCCAAAAACUAAAAGCAUUGUCGAAUUGAGUUACAAACUAAUAAUAAUUUCAUCAAAGUUUGUAAACCAAAGAUUGUCCUAAUAUCAAAAAGUUUCCAAUAAAACACUCCAACUGAAUUCUCCCCUGGAAAUAAUUAAAAUUUUCAAGUUAGUCAAUAAGAAAAAACAGCCAUCAAUCAUAAUAAGAAGCAACAGCAAAUUACACUAAAAAAAUGGCAGAAAAAAGCACCAAAACAACAAAUAUAAACAAGAAACAACAAUUAAAAAAAACCCAAAAAUGGCAUAAAAAGAUGCUCAAAGCAGCAAUAAAUUUAUAAAAAAUACCCUAAAAUAGCAGUGAAAAGUGCUUUAAAAAGCAUUAAAAAAUCCAAAAACAAUAGUAAACAUGCCUAGAAACAGUAGAAAAAACCCCCUAAAAUAGCAAGAAAACUGCCUAAAACUAGAAAAAAAAUCUAACAGCAAAAUCUUCCAUUGCCAGAUAAAGCUACGAAAGAAAAGAAAUAAAAUUCAUAAAGAGUCAAAGCUAACAUACUGACCACUUGCUAGAAAUUAAGCUAUAAAUCCCAAAUUUUUACACAAAUUAGUAUCUGAAACAAGAUUGGUUUGAUAUAUGAUAGUCAAGUAAAAUACCUAUAAAGUAGUACAAAUUCAGCAAACCUAAUGGCUUCACUCCACUGAUUUUCUUAAGACUCCAGUGAUGAGAAGCUGCCAACAGAAUGAUAAAUUGAGGUUUGACAGGAAGCACACAAACUAAACAAGAUACAUAACAACUUUGUUAUCCAUGUUACACCCUAGAACCAUUUCUAGGAAUAUUUGUUAGAAUAGCCACCAUAACAGUUGAUGAGCAACAUAAAACAGAGACAACAACAAAACCAGCAACCUGCAAAGUGCCAAUUCUUCCAUAAUUAAAUCAGAUACACAAUAGAAAUAAUUUACUAUUAAAAUCCCAAAUUCAUUUUAUCUUCUUCCUGCAUUUUCUCAUCAAUCAAACAUAAAAGAGAGCUCCUAUCGACACAUGCAAACAGCACCCACCAUCUUGUCGCAUUCAAACACAACCCAAGAUCACAAAAGUUAAUUUUCUAGAUUUAGUUAACCAAAGAAAAUAUACCAUCAACUGGAUCACCUUAUAAAUCAAAUACAAUUCCACAAUAUUACCAACCUCCCAAAAAAAAAAGGCACAAACUUUAAAAUGAAAACAACAACACCAUGAAAAAUAAGCAAAAGUGGGUAUUUAAAUCAAACAUGAUAGAAUGCAACAAAAGCAAAAAAGCUUUCGAUAGAAGCCAAAGCUAGAUGGGGUACAAGCAAGCUAGGAGGUACCAAUUAAAGAUGCUUCAUUCAAGAACAGAAAAGCUACCAGAAUGAUAAAAGUAGAAAAAAUGAAACAAUAAACAGAAAAUUGGGUGAAAGCUGCAACAAUAGUUUCAAUCACUUAACAGUACCAGCAAACUUAUAGUAAACUUUAAGAACUAGAUGUUUAAGCCACAGAUAAUGGGGACGUACCCAUGAGGAUAAAGACACAAGCGUGAGACCAGUAAAGCCGCCCAUCCUUAACUUGUGCAGGAAACAAAGUCGAAUGAAAAAGGAGGCAACGACGGUAGCGACGAAAACAGCUGGAUCGGAAGCGAACAGCUCAAGAUGAAAGCAACAAGUUAAUGGAUUGGAUUGUGUGCGCGAGAUGUGGCUUCGAUUUUAUUUGAUUAGUCAAGAAAUCGAAGAGAGAAAUUUGAGAGAAAUUUGUGAUUUCUGAGAGAGAGGCAAGAAAUUGAGAGAGAUUGGGCACGGUUGAAACACCUAAAUUAUAAAAAUAUAAAUUUUGCAGCCUUUGGGAACUGGUUGCUUCGGUUGCCCUUUUUUUGUUUUUUUUUUUAUUUCUUUUCAAUGUCAGCCGUUGGAUUCAUUUUACUUGAAUCCAACGACUGCAUUUACAAGCCAGCACAAUGCCGGGCCUCAAUGCCCGGCAUUGUAGCUUUAGCCUUUAAACGAUGUCCUUAUCGUUGGACAAGGUUGAGGAAAGACAGCGAUGUUGUGUUGUCACGUAUUUUUGGGCCGACCGUUUCCAGUUCCGGCUUAAAUGAGGCUUUUGUAUUUUUGUGCCCUUUUUUUUACUGAGUAUUUUGUCCUAAAUUACACCAAAGAAAAUGUGGACUUUAGAAUGUGACAGUAUUGAUAUCUAAGUUCAUAAUAUCAUGAUAAAACAAAUAAAUGAAUAGAAAUGUAAAUAAAUUUGGUUAAAAUUUAAUGGCUUCGAAUUCGGUAUGUUAUCAAACAAAUCAUACUCUUAGGAUUUGGAUUCAAUUCAUUUAUUAAUUGGAUGUCUAUUUAAUUCGUUUAUUAUACAAAAUUAAAUGAAUUGAAUUGAAUUUAGAUUCAUUUACAAUUUGUUUAAUUUAUUUAUGUAAAAUUAAUAAUAAAUCAAUCAAAUGUGGAUUUGUUUAAAAAAUAAUAAUAAUUAAUAACAAAAAUCAAGCAAAGUAAAAUAGAAAAAAAAUCAUAAAAUUAACAACCUACAAAAUAAAAACGAAUUAGUGACCGCAAACUUGAAUUCAAUUCAUUUAUUUAACGAAUUGAAUUGAAUUCACUUAUUUGUUAAUGAAUCAAUUUUUUUUUUAAAAUUCAAACCUAUUUAACUUGAAUCAAAUAAACACAUCCUAAUCUAAAUUGUCACCUCUAAAUAUGAUGGACCUAUUUAAAAUAUAUGAAUACCAAAAUGUGUGGGCUAAAAAGUGGUUUACCAUGCAACAAUACAAAGUUUAAGCUCUCUUUUCUUAUGUCAUCCAAGGCAUUGCCUAGAUCGCCAAACACUAGAGUUCAAGUCUACAAUAAAGAAUCGAAAUUUUCCUUUGUAUAUGUUCGUAAGUAUUUAGCAUAGAUUUUUUAGUUAUACUUGAUAGAUCCCCUACCAUAUUUGCUAUAAUAUUUCUCUUCUAUUUAAAAGUAAAUAAUGCAUAAUAACGGAUUUGUAAAGAAAUGAAAUUUCCAGUAAUUAUCUGAAAAAAAAAAGAUGGAUUAAGCGAAAGAAGUUAAUAUAGAGUAAGUCGAGUACUUGACAAUUAAAGUAAUUUUACUCGAGGUUGAGUAAGGAUAGUAGGAUACUUUCCCAAGUUUUCCGAGGACAUUCAUGUAACAUUGGACUAUUGACUAUAGUUAGAGAGAAGUCCUAGGAUGUAAGUGAUGAUGAUAGAUUCACAAUUCUUUUGAAGAAAAUAUUUUAUAUAAACUUAAUUAUAUGGUAUAAAAUGAUUGGCCUUAAUAAAAUUAAAAAAUAAUAAAAAUAAUACACGCCUGGGUCAUGCAAUAUUUUCAACCAACUAAUUUACACGCAAAAUUAAACCUUAUGAGUGAGAACAUUAUGGUACAUUUAUUUGCUAGCAAAAACUCCGCAAAAAUUUUCCGAAGUGUGAAAAUGAACACUUUUAACAAUGGCACAAAAUUCCCACCCCCCAUGAUUAAUUCUCUUAUCUGGAAUAUUAGGGGGCUUCCCCUGCGGAAAUUAGUUCGAUUACAUCGAUUGUCUUUGAUUUGUGUGUUGGAGCCAUUUAUUUCCGUUGAUCGUUUAGAGGCUCUUCGGGUGCGACUUGGGAUGGAUCAUGCUUUAUCUUCCCAAUCUGGGAAGAUUUGGGUUUUCUGGUCCGCACCUUUCUCGGUGGAGCUUUUGCAUGACAUGGGCAAGGUGAUUUAUUAUCGGGUUAGUCACUCUUUUUUUCCUGAUCCUGUGUAAGUUUCAUAUGUGUACUCUAGUUGUUAUAUGGAUGUGCGAGAGAAUUUAUGGGAUGCUCUUAAGACCUUUGUGGAUAGUCAUGACCUACCUUGAAUCGUGGGGGGAGAUUUUAAUAUGAUUCAGGCGGUCUCGGAGAUUUCUGGCUGGCAUCUACAGACUCGGGGAGCUAUUGAUGCCUUUAAUUUAGCGUUGCUUGAUUGUGGGUAGGAGGAUGCUAGCUUUGUUGGCAGUCCUUUUACUUGGACUAAUGGGCGCCCAUGGAGGCAGCUUGAUAGGGUGGUCUGCAACACUCACUAGUAUGCUUUCUUCUCAGUAUUUCGGGUCUCUCAUCUGAAUCGUACUGCCUCAUAUCAUUCUCCUUUGCUUUUUUUUUGGUGAUCGGGACGCUGUUAAAGGACCUUUACGGUUUAAAUUUCUUCAUGUGUGGCUCAUGCAUCCAGGUUUUCUUGAUACUGUGCGGCAGUCUUGGGGUGCUCCGGUGGUUGGUUUUGGAAUGAGAGCCUUUCAACAAAAACUCACUCGGUUAAAGUUCUGCCCAAAAGCUUGGAACAAAAAUGUCUUUGGUAACGUUUUUUAUCGGGUCCAACAAGCAGAGGAGGACGUGGCUCAGAAGGAGAGAUUGUAUGAUAUUUCUGGCUCCGCCGAUUACAGAGCUAAUUUUUCUGAGGCCAGGGCCUGGUUGCAGCAUGCUUUGCUUCGUGAGGAGAUUUUUUUUUGCGUCAGCAGUCCUGUGUUCGAUGGGUUCGAGAGGGCAAUACUAAUACCUAUUUUUUCCAUGCGAUGAUCCGGAAAAAGCGCCAGUUGUUUUAUAUUCACAGGAUUCGAGUUGAUUGUUUCUCAGAGUGGAUUUCUGAGCCCUCCGCCAUUGUAGAUUAUGAUGUCGAUUAUUUUCAAGAUUUAUUAACGGGAGAUGCCAGUCAAUUUCAGCAGACGGACUUCGAAGUUAUUCCAUCUCUUGUGUCUGUAGAGGAUGAUGUAGAGUUAUGUAGAGAGCCGUAUAUGGAUGAGAUUAGACAUGCGGUAUUUUUUAUUGAUCCAGAUAGUGCUCCUGGACCGGAUGGUUUUUGUAGCAGAUUCUAUCAGUCGUGUUGGGACAUCAUUUGCCAUGACUUGUUAAAUGUUGUCCUCGAUUAUUUUAGAGGUUCGGCAUGCCCAGAGGUUUCCAAAGUACUUUAUUGGUCUUUCUGCCUAAGAAGGCUUCUCCGGCUUCUUGGGCUGAUUUCCGUCCAAUUAGUCUUUGUAAUGUGAGCAACAAGGUCCUUACUAAGUUGCUUGUCCCAUCUCCUGCCUCACAUUAUUUCUCCUACUUAGAGUGGUUUUAUUCCUGGUCGAGUGAUUCAUGAUAACAUGCUCCUGGCUCAGGAGUUCGUUCACGAUCUCAAUCGCCAUACUCGAGGGAACAAUGUGGUUCUGAAAUUAGAUAUGGCGCAGGCAUACGACGUAUGUCAUGGCCUUUUAUUAUUAAGAUGAUUCACUGUUUUAAGUUCUCGAAGCGUUGGAUUGCUUUGAUUUGGCGAGCGAUUUACGGUCCUUAGUUUUCAGUGCUUAUGAACGGGGUCAGUAACAUAUAUUUCCAGUCCCAGAGUGGUCUUUAGCAGGGUGAUCCCCUUUCCCUUUGCUUAUUUAUUAUUGCUGCAGAAUUUUUAUCUCCAGGCUUAGAUCAUUUGUAUUCUCAAUAUCCCUCUGUUCGGUAUUGUUAUACUGCACCUACUUCUAUCUCCCACUUGAGUUUUGCGGAUGGUAUUGUUAUUUUUGCAAAUGAGAGCCGAUCUAACUUACAGUGGCUUGUGGAUUUCUUACACCAUUAUAAGGCGAUCUCAGGGCAGUUGAUUAGCGAGGACAAGAGUAACUUCUACAUUGGGAAGCCAGCUUCGACCUCCCGCCAGGCCAUUGUUCACUCUGUGCUUUCAGUGACGUCAGCUUCCGUUUACUUAUCUUGGGUGCCUGAUCUUUACAGGGCACCUCAAGAUCUCCUAUUUUGAUGACAUGGUCCGGAAGGUCAAGGAUAAGAUUUCUGGCUGGGCUAACCGUCUGCUUUCCUUUGGUGGGAAUCUCGUCCUCAUUCGCCAUGUGUUAUCCUCUAUGGCCCUGCACUUAUUUCACGUCCUCCGUCCUUUUAUAACGGUAGUUUAACGCCUAGAGCGAUUAUUCACCCGAUUCCUAUGCGGUGAUUUUGAGGGAAGACACCGGAUCCACUAGUGUAGAUGGCCAAAGGUUUAUUAUCCAGUUGACGAGGGUGGCCUCGAUAUACGAUCUUUUGAUGAUAUGGCGGAGGCUUUUGAGAUUAAACUUUGGUGGCGGUUUUGUUAGCAGAGUUCCUAUAUGAAGUCUAAGUAUUGCAGAUCUACGCAACCAAGCCUUAUCCAGUUUCGCUAUCUUGCCUCUCCUUUAUGGAGACACCUUUAUAAGAUUCGUUGCACGACUAAACCUCAUGUGCGUUGGCUCGUUAGGAGUGGAGAUUGUAGCUUCUGAUAUGAUUGUUGGCUGAGUUCUUGCCCUUUAUUUUUUUAUAACCCUACAACGGCUUUGUCGGUGUCGGUCUAGUUCUUUUGGCAGGGUACAAUCUGGGACAAAGGCAAACUAAAGGAUGUCUUGCCUUCAUCUAUUGUUGAGCAGAUCCUAUUAGUGCCUAUUUCUAGUGGGAAUCCAGACCUGAUUCGUUGGGACCUUGCCCCCGAUGGCACGUUUAACUUGCGGACUGCUUGGGAGCUUGUACGGUGCUCGAGGCCGAGGGAUGAGCUUUUCUCGAUGAUUUGGUAGAGGCAUAUCCUGUCACGAGUUUCCUUUUUUCUCUGGCAGCUACUUCACGGAUUCCUAGCUACUGAUGAUGCCUUAUACUUGAGGGGUUUCUACAUGGUUUCUCGAUGUAUUUGUCAGCGGGUUGCUGAGACUUCUCGGCAACUUUUUAUGGAUUGCCCGCGGGCCCAUCAUAUUUGGGUUCAUUACUAGCGGAUCAUGGGGAUGCGUGAGCUUUAUUUUCUGUCUCCCCGUACUUUGCUUUUAUUUUGGAAACAUUGUGCCCCUUCUCAGAAUCAUCAUCGGGUCCUUCUGCCUUACUUCAUUUUGUGGCAAAUUUGGAAGGCCCUAAAUGCUUUCUGGUUUCAUUCACAAUCUUUCUCCACUGAUGCGGUUAUCUUUCAGGUCGACUCUGAUCUCAGGCUUGCUAGUUCUGCUUUUGGAUUCAAGCCUCCCCAACUGAGGGGAGUCUUGGGUUCUCGUAUUGCGGAGAGCUUGCGAGUGACGGCUCCCCGUAGGAGGUCGAUUCGUCUAGUUGCUUGGAUGAGGCCAACUUCAGGGGUGGCUAAGCUGACUGUGGAUGGUUGCUCUAGGGGCAACCUUGGGAUGGCUGCUUCCGGGGGUAUUCUUCGGGAUCACCGGGGCGUGGUUUUAACGGCUUUUGGAUCCUUUUUGGUUUACAAGCCGAUCUUAUAUGCUGAGCUCAUGGUGGUGUGCGAGGGUUUGGAGCUUGCCAUUCAGCUUGGGUACUCAGUGCUCGAGGUUGAGUCAGACUCGGCUAUAGUGAUGUCAUGGAUUCACACCUCAGGGUCCUGUUCGAUGGGAAUGUUUUUAUUCUCUGCGCUGGGUGUGCCGUCUGGUAACGUCAUUCCCCAUUCAGGUGAGACAUGUUCUUCGCGAGGCUACUUAUGCUGCUGAUGUUCUAGCCAACUGGGCACGCACUCAUCGGACUAGCUGAUGUUUCUUAUCUCCUCGAGAGCUUCCCAAAGGCUUAUCUGGUAUUCUUUACUUAGAUGCCCACGCAAUCCCCCAUGUCAAACGUUAGGAUUUUAUCUUUUUCUUAUAUCUCAUUUUCUCUAGGAGGUUUUGGCUUAUAUCCCCUCCUUUGUAUCUAAUUCAUUUUCAGAUUUAUAUUAUAGGUAAGGGUUCCGUCUAACCCCACCACUCUGGUGGUUUAAAAAAAAAAAAAAACAAUGGCACAAAAUGCCUGUGAUAAUGAAACAAUGUGCCAUCCUUAAACUAAUAUCAUUACAAACUACAAGUGAAAGUUUUUGGAAAACAUGUGAUAAGUUUUUCUCGGAAUUUGUUUUCUUCUUUGUUUUGAUUUAAGUGUAAAAUUUUAAAAUCCGUAACAAAACAAAAAUUUACAUGGGUUGGGUGCACCUUGUGGUUCGUGCAUGCUUUCGUCUAAUAGUAUUUGAUACAUACAUAUUCAUUUUAAAAUUGACGAAUCGUAAUAAAAAAAUUUAUAUAUAAUAAUUGAAUGAGAUCCAUGGUUCACAAUUGCAAAUUAACGGUUGGUUUUAUAAUAAAAAUCUUUAUGUACAUACCAAAUUAAAAAAAGUUAUAAGUGAAUUAAGAUUUUCAAAAUUUGACUCGUAUUAUAUUGUGUACGUCAAUAUAAUAUAAAUUUGUUAUAUAUAUAUAUAUAUAUAUAUAUAUAUAAUCCAGUGCUUUGAAAAACUUUAUACUUGUUUGAACAGUUUUUUUGCUUUCUAUUUAUAUACGGUAUCAUUUAUGUUUACAUAAAUUUUCAUAUGUACCCAAAUUAAGCAUUAAAUACACAAACACUUUGUUAGGGCACAUGUAUAAUUAAUCUUAAUAAUUCUUAUACAAUCCUCUAUUUAACACCAGCAACGUCACCCAUUAUAAUUUAUCACUAAAUAUUGUAAAACUAUUGGUUUUCACGAAUAACUAAUAAAAAUUAUUUUUUUUAAAAGAAAAAUACUGCGAUUCCUUUCACUGUUGUAGUAGUAUAGUUAUCGUGGACGAUGAAUUUCUAGUAUUGUACAAUGAUAUUUAUGUUGAAUAUAACGCUUCAAUGAAUUUUAUUACUAUAUACUACAAUACUCAACCAUCUUCAUUAAAAAAAAAAAAAUUGCAUGAUUAGAAUGAUUAAAGUUCAUCUAAUGACGAGUUUCAUCAUUGACUGUGUCCAAACACAGCAGCAAUCCAGAAUACAUUUAACACGAGAGGCGCACACAAACAUGCAUGAUGAAUCUUCCACCAUUAAACCUGAAAUCAUAAAAUGAAAGAAACAAGAUGAGUGUUGUUUGUCUGAAAGCCGAUUCGAGAAAAAAUAAUAAUAAUAAUAGACCUUUGUUAAUAAUUAAUACUAGUUGUCACUACCUUGUGCAUCUUCCUCCUCUGUAUCAUCGUCCUCUUCCAAUCACACCGCAAGACCAGUAUAUCUCGAGAAUCUUUACUGCCUUCUCACAGAUCCCAUUGCUGUCAUGUCUUUUGAGAUCUUCAAUCUUUUUGAAUCCCUCAGCCGCCUCCACCAACCGUGCAUAAUGAUUAAAAUAUCUAUUGGCGGUACCCGUAUUCAUUUCAGCUUCCCCGACCUUCAAAAUGUUCUCUAAUCCUUUUAAGCAAAUAGUGACGAUCUCUGGAUCAGCGUAUAGAAGGAGAUCACACAAUGGUUUUAUACACCCCUUUCUCACGAGGUACUUGAUUUGCUCAUGAGUACCACCUGAGAUGGCAUUUGAAAUUGCCCGAGCGGCCUCCUUCUUUGUAAAAAAUUCAGCAUUUUGAAGCAGAUCGACAAGGGGACCAAUUACGCCAGCAUCAAUUACCACCUGAAUCUGUUCCCUGUUACCAGCUGUAAUAUUUGAAAUAGUCCUGCAUGCCUCUUUCGCAAUGCCUGUACACUGAGUCAGGAAACCAUCUCCCUUCACAAUAUAUCUGACAGUCCACAGGGGAGGAGUGAGCCCGAAGGGGAAGGGUAAUGGAUGAAGAAGGAGCUUAACAAGUCGUGGACAGACAUCUGCCUCGAUCACAGCUUGAAUUUUGUCAUUCGUACCAUCAGAUAGACAGGAUAGUGCCUCGCAGGCAUAUCUCAAGACAUCGUUGUCAUUUGAAUGAACAAGUUGUGCAAGCGCAGGAAGAGCUGGCCUCACCUGAUCAAAUGGUGGCUCUGGCUUGCCCUGGCAAAAACGAGACAAUGUCUUUGUGGCAUUUCUUAGCAUUGAAGGCUUAGCAUGCUUAUUUAACUGUGCCAGCAACGGAAUCAAAGCUUUUUCACUGAGCACAAGAUCACGGUCUCUAGGUGAGCUACGAGCAAUAUUUCCCAGUGCCCAAACAGCCUUCUCUCGGACAUCAUCACUUGGAGAAGAAAGUAGCUUCACAAAUAUUGGAACAGCACCGCCGUCGAUCACCACAUUAGUAUUCUCAGAAGCAAUGUUUGUAAGAGCCCGAGCAGCUUCCAACUGAAGCUGCGGAUUGUCUUCCCUAGUAAGAAACUCAACAAAGCGCGCGACAACGCCAGAUUGUAUGACUUUCUCACUUGGUGGUAGGAGCAGUUUUCGGAACCAAGUAGUUGCUUCCAGCUGCAAGCCACUGUCAUCUGACCAAACCCCAGCAAGCAUCCCAGGUAAACUCACCAACUUAUUUUAGGAGCAGGAGCAGGAGGAGGAAAUUAAGUUAGGGAUUUAGAGUGAGAGUGAAGGUGGAGAAAAAGCAAGAGAGGGAAAAAGCUUAUUGUUGAGAAAUAUGUACCUUUUGUAUGGUUGUGUUAAGGUCGUCCUUCCAAGCCCAACAUGCUUCACCAUGCCGCUCCACUUUGUGUAAUUUGGGUGUACUUAAUUUUCCUUCAGAGAAAAUCUUCAUAUCGGGGCAAUCAUCCACCACUAAUCUUUCUAAAGAUGGGAACUUGAAAGCACAAUUGCCAGAGCAGAAGCUUGUCAGGCGUUCUAAGUCUACAAGCUUCAACUCCUUCAAUUCUCUGAAAGUAAUAACCUCAUCUUUUGCUACAACAUCAUCCCCCUGUACUAUUUCUGUUAUCCUAUCGCAUGAUUUUAUCUUCAUAUAUCUAAGUCGCACCAGAGUCUUUGCAAUUAAGGAUGUUAAUACGAUUUUCAAGUUGUUGCAACGCGAUACCACCAUAUUUGUAAGAUUCUGAAAGGAUGUCGACGGUGGCACUAGAUUGACUAAAUGGUCACACCCCUUUACACGUAGAAUAACCAAGUUGUUCGUAACAGAGGACUCCCUUAUCAAAAUGUGCUCCAGAUGAAAUGCUUCUCUUAUUUCUACCCACAUCCCAUUUUCAACCUUCUCAUACGGCAACGAGGCACUAUAUCCUCCUAUUUGGAGGACUUUCAUUGUGUGAAGUCUCUGGAGGAAGUCACCAAGUGAUAAAAUCGUCCGCUCAUCACCCAAGUGAUAUUUAUUUGUCACUACGUGCUUUGCAUCAACUUUCAACUUUUCCAAAUUAGGGAAUACCUGGGAGAUCGAUCACAACCCCAAAAAAAAGAAAAAAAAGAAAUACAAGAUGAAUCAAUUGAUAAGAAAUAUAAGUUACCACUAAUUUAUACAAUAUAUUUUAUUCAAUAAAUCUUAACCUUUAAAAAAAAUAGUAAUAAUAGUAUGCCUAACAUCUAGAAUAAUUAUGAAUGAAUACUAUACACUAAUCCGUAAGAGAGUUACGUUGCUGACAAUUUGAGUUUUAGUAAGAAACCAAGCGAUGAAGGCAAAGGCAAUAUAACUCUAAACUCUAUGAUAUAAACUCUCACAGUGCAUACAUAAGAAUUGAAAAAUUGAUUAUAAAAUUCUUGUACCUACCCUUUCCGUGAAGAUACUAGUAGUUCUCACCAUGAAUUCAGGACAUUUAGAUAUCCGUAAUUCUUUCAAGGAUGGAAAUUCAAGAAUAUCAAGAUCUCCAGUGCAGAAGCUUGUGAACUUUUCAAGAUCAGACAUCUUCAGAUAUUGCAACUGAGGAAACAUUACAAUAUUUUUCUUCCUUUCUUCUUGGUUGUCCAUAACUAUUAACUCUUCCAAGACAGGACAUCCGACUAUCUCAAUGCAUUGGAGUUGAACAAAGCUACUAACGGUAGAAGAUGAAAAUAGACAUCUUAAAUUCAUACAGCAGGACAGGGUCAAGCGCGUUAAAUUCUGAAUACCACAAGACAUGACUGCAACUUGGUUUUGCCAAAUCCUUUCAACAUUUAUUGAAAGCAAAUGCAACUUCUCUAACUCUGGUAACCGAACCUGCUCGAUCAAAAAAUUAACUCGUUAAUUACAAGCAACAAUGAUUUCUGUUGAUGGACAAAUCAAUAAAAUUACUCUUUCUCUGGUUAUAGUUCUUUUCAGUUUUUCAUACAAACAACCGUUAAUCAAGUUUUCCAAAUUAUUCCUUACUAAAUGUAUAGAUUUAGACGGCGGCUAAUAUAAUUCAUAUUGCAAAUAUUCUUUGAUUGUAACGAAUUUUGUAAUAUUAAAUUUUGGUUGAUUCGCAAUAGGACCUACUAUCCAGCGGGAGCAGUUCCUUGGGAUUUAACUACUGGCACCUCGAUUAUAUAAAAAUUUGGAAUAUUUUCAAAGGAAAUCACAUAAUUUCCCCUUGCAAAUAGUAAUUAUCAUUAAUUGCCACGGGUUGACAUAUAAUUCUAAGAAAUUAGGCGAGAAGAGUCUCAUCAACAAUCAAUCAGCAGAUAUCACGUUUGGCAGAUCAUCAUGAUUUCCUCAUAUGCUAGAGAAUCAACGUGAUUUCCGCUCAUGCAGGAGCAGGAGUGGACACAUUAUCUUAGAGCAUCCCUCACUGAGAUCUUUUAAAAAAUUUAUAUUAUAAAGUGAACAACAUAUUAAGUAUAGAUUUAGACGGCGGCUAAUAUAAUUUAUAUGUAUUCUAAUGACGUAUAUUAAAGAAAAUGACUAACCAUAAUUUCAAUCAACUUAUUAGUCUAUAUAUAUAUAUAUAAUAUAUAAUAUAUUCAGUGAUUACAACAUAUUUAGUAUUCCAUAACAUGAAGUUUAUAAUAAUAAUUAUUAUUAAUUCACUUAUUGUGUCAAGAACAUUUUCUUUCUCUAAGAAUGAAUUUGUUACACCCUACUAUACUACGGAUGAAAAAUUUAGAAUCAUUGUGAAAUAUAAUUAUUAAUCACUCUUUGCCAUAUUUGCGACCAAAGAAGAAUAUAACAAAGAAAAGAAACAAAAAUUAUAGAGAAUUAAUGAGACCAUUGACGUAUUAAUAACUGACCUUCCCAGUGAAAAGCGUAUUAGAAAUUUGGAUAUUGUCCUCCAAAAUGAUUUCAUGUGACUGCAAAUCAUUAGCUGAUUCCUGUUGUCUCUGUUGACAUUGAGUGUAAACUUAAUUGUGAGCACAAUCUUAAUGCAUAGAUACAAGAUCUCUAAAAAUUAGUAUAAUAAACUUAGCACAAAAUCUAAAUUUGAUAUUUCGGAUUCCAUGAUUAAGAUUUUUUAAAUAAAAAUUUAAUAUAGUUAAUUUAAAAAUAAAAAUUAAAUAUGAAAAAUUAGAUUUGCAAUUAUGGAUUUAAUUUUGAUAAAUAAUGAAUGUUCUCUUUAUAUUUUUUUUUAAAGGUAAAACAGCGUACAAAGCCCAAAUUCAUUUUUUUAGUCCCUUACUCUCCCAUGAUUCAAACUUGGGUGGUUGUAGGGGGACUGAAAAUAUGUAAGACAGUUAACUUCACUUUUUUUUUUUUUUGAGAGAGAAAAGAGAAGAAGGAUAUUACAAAGCACGAAGCUCGUGCAAUAUAAGGGCAAUUAUGGUUUUUUCUUUAAAUUAAAAUGGUAAGAUUCUGAAGCUAAAAGAUUAAAAUAUUAAUUAAAUUGCAAACAUUAAAGAUUUUUUUUCCAAAAUUGGUUGCUUUGAAAAUGAGAAUAAUAUAAUGUUUGAAGACUUUUCAAAAUUAAUUACUGUGAUGCACUAGAAAUUUCUAGCUUUAGUCUAAUGUAUAAAUUGACAAAACGAUAUUAGAAUCCCAGGUGAAAAGAACCCUCUCAUACCAAUUAUUUAAAUUAGGAAUGAUCAUACCUCUGACUCUGCCGAACUGAGGGCGGGGUCUAAACCCCUCAUACGGAGACGCUUGAGAUGGGAAGAGCCCACUUUGACUAAUUCAUUACGAAUAUAAUCGACAUCUUGCUCUUGCAAUCCACGUAAUUCAAGGUCUUCAAUUCUCUGCAGUUGCACGAUCAGCGAAUCCUUCAAGCAAAUCUUGUCAUUGAGGUCGAGACUGAAUUCACGACACCAACUGCCGUUGCUCUCCUCAUCAUCUCCAAUGCGUAUGCUGUACCUUUCCAGCUUCUCCAAGAGCAGGCCUCUGGGCAGAGUGCUGACGUCAUAGACGUGUAAUUCCAAAGAGGUCAAGUUGGGCAAAUGCUUCAACUCCUCAAGGCUUGCAUUCUUAACCCCUCCCACCUCCAUCUCCCAGUAACGAAAGCUUUGAUCUAUAUAUAGUUCUUCUAAAUGUGAUAAUUUUGACAGUAUAUUUGGUGGAAUAACUUCUAGAUAGCAACAAUCCCUCAAAUCAAGCAACUUUAGCCAAGUCAAUUCACCUACUUCUACCGGCAACUUCUUAAUAUAAGAACCUCUUAAGCAAAGGAUUUCUAGUUUCUUCAAGCCUCCUACAACACUUAUAUCGGGCAAGAUGAAGCCGCACAAACUCAGUGUUCGAAGGUUUGACAGGAGACCAAGUGAUGAAGGCAGUGACCGUAGAAACAUGCCAGUCAAGUUGACAACUCUGACCUGCAUCAUCCUCUCGAAAAAGUUGUUUGGAAUUGUUAAUGAUGAAAAUUCCCAACGAUCAGCACGUAUAAAAAGAAGUUCGAGCUGAGGACAUUCCAGUACUUCAGGAAGCAAAUUAUUCUUGAUACCAUGUAAGACGAUUGAAGUGCAAUGCUUUAUUGCACUUCCAUCUGACCAUUCCCUGCAACCAUCAACCUGCUCAUUUGUAGCAGUAAACACAUUUCGUUCAGUAGAUGCAAUUGAUACGGCGACAUCGCGAACUACAUCAUGCAUAGAAAACAACUCUUUCUUCUGGCUUAUAUGGUCAAGCAACAUACAAGAAGCUUUGAGUGUGCGCACCAAUGUAUGUACUCGAUUUCGUGCUACUUCAAUCUUAUUCACACCUUGAAAUAAACCCAAUCCCAUACCACACAUUAACAAGUCAUCAAUAGAUGCUAUGGCUGUAUAUCCUAUUAGCAAAAAGAUGUUCUUGAGAUCAUCCCUUCCUAGUUUAUUGUAGCUCAACUCGAUAGCUUUAAAUGCGGCUGGCUGUACAUCCUUAAAAUUCGAUGAAGAAGGCCUUCUUAGCUGUUCCAAUGCAUCCUUCCAUUCACGUAUGCUCUUGCUCCUUAAUGCCCUUGCAACCGUCACAAUGGAAACUGGUAGACCUGCACAUUCCUUUGCCACAUCCCUUGCUACCUCUUUCAAUUCAUUAUCUUCAACAUAAUCACCUGCCAUCUUCGUGAAUAGACUCCAAGCUUCAUCUUCUUUUAAAAAUCCAACUGGGAAAUUUUUUCGAGACUCCAUCUCUCCAGACAAUACUUCUUCACUCCUUGCCGUGAACAGCACUUUACAUCCCAUGUGAUCAUCUCCGUGAGGAAUUCCGACAUCCAACAAAUCAAGAUUUUCCCAAAUAUUAUCCAAGAUUACAAGGAUCCUCUUCUCUUUCUUCAGUCGAUCAUAGAGUCUUCUUGCCCUACCCGAUUCACUCUCCUCAUCAAAUUUUAGACCUAGUUUAUCCGCGAUUUCUCCUUGAAGCUUUCUUACGUCUCGACUCUCAGACACCUCAGAAAAAACCACCUGAUCGAAAAGCUUGUCACUCUCUGCUUUUCUAGCAACUUCUUUAGCUAGCGUCGUCUUUCCGAUUCCGCCCAUUCCAUAAAUCAAAAGCAUGUUGACAUUGGGAUUUUUUAAUGCAUCAAUUAUUUCAUUCAGAAUGGACGUUCUUGAUUCAAAGGCCUCGAAGUCUUUGUUAGGCAUAAGCAAGGUAUCCUCCGGAAUGAUGCUGUAGGAAAUACUAUUAACUGGUCUAGCGUCCAGGACUUUGACAACAGCCUCCUUCUGCCUCUCUGCUUCCUUGCUAAGUCGAGGGCGGGUCUUCAAAUUAGGACAUAACCCCUUGAAACAACGCUUAUUUGCAGUGGCUUCAUCUUCUGUAAAUUUAUCUGCCUCUUCAAUGACACUGUUGGCCGUUGCAAGCCAAUUCUCAACGUUCUCUUCAAUCUCUUCUCCUUUUCUUUUAGCCUCAUCAACCUGGUGCUCUGUAUUCACCCUCUCAGACUUUAGUUUCACAACUUCAGUGUUGAGAUUCUGUAAGUUGCUCGUGUACUUACUCUCACGCAAAUAGCUAAUUUGGCGAUAUGCGUGAGGAGCCAAGCACUUUGCAACUUCUAAAGCAAUAGUAAGAAUGAUUUCAGCCAUCUUCAGUCCUUUGUCCUUGUCUCUCUAUCUCUCUUUUUCUGAAUUUUGGAAAAACAAUUCAACAAGUGACCACAACAAGAUGGAACAAAAUAAAAAGGAAAAAAAUACAAAGAGUGGAUGGAGAAUAAAACAGAGACAGCGGCACAGCUAGACACAACUAGAUAGAGAACAGAGGAAAACCAAAUAACAAGACUUAAGAUUACAACAAACAGAGGCCAAGUAUUAUUGUUGAGAUCAGAAGAUGGAAAAUUCCAAAGAGUUGAUGGCAGAUGCUGAAUAACAGAACAACAAUGAACACAAUAAACAGAAGCAAAGUGUGUUUGUGAUCGACAGACGGAAGUAAGGAAAGCGGUUGUUGAUUGAAAAUGAAUGAAUGCAAAGAAAGACUGAUGUUAAAAAUUGAUGUCAAGGAAUAAUUGAACUUUCGCUGAAUUAUUGUUUGUGGCUUCUUUUACUGUUUAUUUGUGGGUCAUGUCUUUUGGAACUAAUCUUGUCCAAAAAAUGUUGUUUAUUUGUGGGUCAUGUUAUUCAGCAUCUGCCAUCAACUCUUUUGUUUAUUUAUUCAAAAAAUAAAUUGUGAUUAUUUGUUAAUGUAUGCGAUUACUUGUGAUGGUAAACAAAGUAGAUAUGGUAUAUUUUGAAGUUAAAUUAAAAAAAAAAAAAACAGAACUUUUACCGUUACUUGCCUUAUCAUCUUUUAAAUUAGAGUUAUUAUUCUUUUAUUUUUCAAGUUGCCAACUCAUCAGUGUAUUCUUUUAUUGAAUUUAAAGAUCAAUGAUUAUAAAUUUUUGUGAAAAUUUUAAGUCAAAACUUUAAAUUAAAAUAAUCUUUAAGUUAUAGGGAAAUAAUAACUUAGUAUAACAAAUAUUAUAUCCUAUACUUUAUUGCUACAAAAUUACGAAACCUUAUAGUUUCAAAAACAAAAAUUACGAAACCUUAUAUUAUAUUAUGUUUCCAUAUUUCUCCUUUAUAGUGAAGACUCAUACUUCUUAUCUAAUAAAUGCUAAAGUAUUGGCUUAAAUUUUUUAACCAGCAUAGUAGACCCUUAAGCUAUAUAUACUAUAAUGUCCCUCUUCUCUCACAGAGUAAACCAAUCUGAUCUCAGAGUGAGUUGAUACCAUGACUUCGCAUCAUUUGUGAUCAAAGGAGUAUCAUUACUAACUAAUAUAGGCUCCAUCAAUAGGCAUGAUAAUAAUUUUUUUUUUUAUCUACAAACGCUGUUUUUCAAAAUAUUAUAUCUUAAGACUUAACUAAAUAUUUUUUAACUAUGUAGAUAUAGUUUGUUUGAUCUCUUUUAAAUAGUGGAGAUUACAAACAAACAUAUGUGAAUUAGUAGUGAUGUUGAGUUCAGAAGCUUGAAGUUAAAAAAAUUAAGGGUUUCUUGAUCUAGAGAAAUUUCAAAUGAGUGAAGCGUCCUCGAAAUCGGAAGACGAAAAUAAGGAAAGGGUAAGGGUGUAUUUUCAAAGUGAUUCUAUUAAGAGAUCUUUGAAGUAGGGGUGGGCAAGUCGGGUUUUGGUUCGGGUUGUUCAAAUUUCGGUUUGGGUUUUAACCCAAUCGGGUUUGAGAAUUAAACUCAAUCGGGUUGAAAACGCCAAUCCAAACUAAACCGAACCAAAUUUAAUUCAGUUCGGGUUCAUAAUUCGGAUCGGACUGGGUUGAUAAUUCAUGUUAAAAUUUCGAUUCGGGUUAAUUUGGGUUAGAAUAAUUCAAUCUAAAAUUUUGGGUUAGUUCGGUUUAAAACGGGUUGGAACUAUUUAAUCCAAAAAUUCUACCAACAACCACUUAAAAUCUAAAAAUCUCAAUUCCAAACAUCCUUAACAACAAAUAUCAACUACAAACCAUCCUUUACAACAUUUCAACAAUAACAAUAGCAAUAAUAACAACAACAACAAUAAUAAUAAUAAUACCAACAACUAUGAAUCAGCAAUUCAACAUAUUGCCAUAUUCUAAAUUUAAAAAAACACACAAAUUAUUUAAUUAAUUAAUUAAUUAACAAUCUCCAAUUUAAUUUAUAAUAACAACAAAAAUCCUCUCCAAUUUAAUUAAUAACAGUCUCCAAUUGUUUAAUUAUCAGUCAACAGCAACAAACCCAAUCUAAUUUAAUCAUAACAAUCUCCAAUUGUUCAAUUAUCAGUUAACAGCAACAAAUCAUCUCCAAUUUGUCACGAACAGCCUCUAAUUGUUUAAUUAUCAGUCAACAACAACAAACACACUCCAAAUAAUUGAACAAUUAUUAAUUAAUUAAUUAAAAAUACCCAAUUUAAUUAAUAACAACACCCAGGAGCAAGUCAGCAAUAAACCCACUACAAAAUCCAAAUAUCAGUGUAAACUAAGUGUCAAACCUUGAUCGGUGGGAAGCUACAGCGUCGGCAAAGCGUGACCGUGUGGGGCUGAGUGAGACCGUCGACCGAGGGUGUGAGAAGGGAGAAGAGGGAGCUGGGAGGUAACAUGGUGUGUGUGAGUUUAUAUAUAUAUAUAAUUUUUAAAAGCCAAAACUUAAAAAAAAAAAAAUUUAACCCAAUCCAAACGCGCACCUCAGAUUACUUCCGUGUUAAGAGAUGAAUCCCACACUCUUGAGCCUUUGUCGUCCUAGUCAACUAUCAAAACAAAUCAUUAUUGAAUGUGAACAGAAUUAUUGAUCACCCAAUUUUCAAACUUGUCAUCCUUAUUGAAUCUGCAUUCCCUUUUAAAAUUUUUUAAAAAAGUACAAAUAAUGAAACAAAGUGUUGUUCCUUCAACAGUUGAUAGAGUUACGCGGCUUCAACUUGCAAGUGCUGUCGGCAUUUUCAAACUUGCAAUACCCUUCAACUUGCUUUCCAAGAUAGCUAUAAUUAAUAAUGACAACAAUCUCCCUUGUAGUGACUAGUGAGCAACUUGUUUCGUGAAAUUAACGGCAUCUUCUCUCACAUUUAAAAAAAAAAAAUUGAAUUAUAAAACCCACCAAAACUAUAAAAGAAUUGUUAGUUUUUCUUCAUUAAAAUUAAUAGAUUGCUCCUCAUAUUGAAAAAUCAAAAUUCAGAAUAAGAAUGAUUGAUACUCUUUAUUUACUAAAAUGAAAAUAAAAUAUAUGAAGCCUACAUAUUUUUGAAAUAAAAAAAAAGAACUUUAUUUUUCAUGAGGAGUGUUGGGAAUCAAGUUCUCAUUAUUUAAACUCUCAAUUGUACCAUUAUUUAAACUCUCAAUUGCACCUCACCGAAAUUUCAUAAUUUCACUUUUGUUCUCAAUUAAAAUAUUAUUAUAGUUAUUAUUCUUAUAAAUGUUGAUGAUGAUGAUACAAGAUAAUAAAAUUAAUGAUAAUUAAACCAAUUUGAAUUCAGAGUGAGUGAGUACCAUUACUUCGCAUUAUUUGAUAUCAAAGGAGCAUCAUAACUAACUAAUAUAGGCUCGAUCGAAUUCAUCAUGCGAAGUAUAUUAUCGGCUGUAGGUAUGGAAAUAAAUUUUGUAUCCACAAACACUAUUUUUCAAAAUAUUUUAAGACUUGACUUAGCAUUUUUUAACCAUAUAUGUAUAGGUUGUUUGACCUAUUUUAAAUAGUGGAGAUUACAACAAAUGAACAGAUGUGGAUUUGUAGAGUUGUUGAGUUCAGAAGAUUGAAGUUAACAAAGGGUUUCUUUAUCUAGAGAAAAUUCGAAAGAGCGAAGUGUCUUCGAGAUCAAAAGACGAAAUAAGGAAAGGGUAAGGUUAUACUUUCAAAAUGAAUCUGUUGAGAGAACUUUAAAGAUUACUUUCGUUAAGAGCUGGAUCCCACACUUGAGUCUUCGUCGUCUCAGUCAGUCAGCUAUAAAGACAAAUUAAUUUUGAGCGUGAAAGGACACAAUUGAUCACCAAAUUUUCAAACUCGUGAUCCUUAUUGAAUCUGUAUUCUCAUUUGAAAAACAAUAAAAGAUUAACAUUAAUUUAACUUCAUCUAGAUUCCCAUUUGAAUCUGCAUUCCCAUCCCGUUGUUCUCUGGGAAUGCACAUAAUCAAAAAAAAUCCUAUCCGCAUUUUCAAACUUGUGACCCUUCAAGCUUUCUAUGACAACUAUAACGAAUAAUUACAACAGUGCUACCUAAUAGUGAGCAACUUGUUUGAUGAAAUUAACAACUUCUUUUCUCUCAUAUAUUUUUAAAAAAUUGAAUUAUCAAAGUUUUUAUUUCAAAAUUAGUGCUAUAGUUCAUUAAUUUUUCAAAUUUUCCUUUUUCUUUCCACACAACAGAUUGAUUUGCCCUCCAAAAAAUGUAUUAUAUUGUUUAAUAUUGUAACUUCAAGAAACUUAUAAUAAAUUUUUAAAGAGAUAAAUAGAGAAUGUCAGUCUCCCAUCUACUCAAAAUUAAUAUAUAUCAUUAACUCUUGAUUAUUUUUAUAACAACUAAUAACUUUCUUGGCAGCAUAAUUUUACAGUAUCAUCCUUGUUUGUAAGUAUAUUUUUAUUCAUAUUUAUUAUAAAUUAAUUAAAUCAUAUCAAUGAAAAUUGAAAUAAAAAUUGAAGUACUAAAAAUUAAAAAAAUAUAUUUUGGUGUGAAUAAAAAAUUGAAAAUAAAAAUAUUUUUCUUAUAUUUUUUGUUAUUUUUAAAUUUUUUCUUAUAAUAAAUGUAUAUUUUAUAUGCUCAACUUUUUCUUUUAAUUUUUGUUAUUAGGAGGAUUUUUAGAUAUAAUGAAAUUUGUAAGGUAGUAAGUAAUAUAUAAUAAUUUUAAUAGAGAAAAGUAAAAAAUCUCUUAUUUUAAAAUAUAAGGAGAAAAAUAAUUAAUUUCAAGACAUUUUAGAAGAUAUUUCAAUACGCGGUGGACCACAAACUCGAGUCUUUGUCAUCUCAGUCAAACUAAAAGGACAGAAUAUUGAGGGCAUGGCUAAGGUGCAGAAGCUGCAAGUAACAGCUUCGAACUUUCCCAUUUCCAUCACCUUGCAUUGGGACCUCUUUCUUUGUCCUCUAGCACCCGUGGAAGUUCCCCAUUGGCCACUGUUAGGAGCUGUAACAUAGACUUCUCCGAAAAUUGAGCGCGAAGGGCUCAAGUGAUUGUUAAUUUCACAGCAAUUGCCUUUUUUCUUUCUUUUUUUUUUUCUAAUUAUUGGAAAAUAUAAUUUAGUAUAACAAAUAUUAUAUCCUUUCCUUUAGUGCUGCAAAAAUUCCGAAACCUUAUAUUAUAUAAAGUUUUCAUAUUUCUCCUUUAUAGUGAAGACUCAUACUUAUUCUCUAGUAAAUGCUAAAGCAUUGGCUUAAACUUUUUAACCAGCACAGUAGACCCUUAAGCUAUAUAUACUAUAAUGUCCCUCUUCCCUCACAGAUUAAAGCCAAUAUGAUCUCAGAGUAAGUUUGCUUCAAAGGAGUAUCCUUACUAACUAAUAUAGGCUCGAUCAAUAGGGAUGAUAAUAAUUUUUUUUUAUCUACGAACAUUAUUUUUUCAAAAUAUUAUAUCUUUAGACUUAACUAAAUAUUUUUUAACCAUAUAUGUAUAGUUCGAUUAAAUAGUGGAGAUUACAACAAAACAGAUGCGAAUUAGUAGUGAUGUUGAGUUCAGAAGAUUGAAGUUAAAAAAAUAAAGGGUUUCUUGAUUUAGGGAAAUUUCAAAAGAGUGAAGCGUCUUCUAAAUCAAGACGAAAAUAAGAAAAGGGUAAUGGUGUAUUUUCGAAGUGAUUCUAUUGAAAGAUCUUUGAAGAUUACUUUCGUUAAGAGCUGGAUCCCACACUCUUGAGCCUUUGUCGUCCCAGUCAACUAUAAAGACACGUUAUUAUUGAGUGUGAAUAUUCCGAGUUAUAAAUCACCAAAUUUUCAAACUUGUGAUCUUCAUUGAAUCUGCAAUCCCUUUUGAAAAAAAAAAAAGAAAAAGAAAGGAAAACUGCAAAUAAUGAAACAAAAUUCUGAUCCUUGAUAGAGUUACGCGGCUUCAACUUGCAAGUGCUGUCGGCAUUUUCAAACUUGUGAGACCCUUCAACUUGCUUUCCAAGAUAGCUAUAAUUAAUAAUGACAACCGAAGACGGCCACGUUUGCGGUACAAAAGUUGCACCAUAUUAGACGUUCUUUUUUGUUCUUAUCCGAAGUAACCGUUGGAUUCAAAGGAAAGUGAUCAGACAUUCAAUAGCUUCACACGUGGACAUUAUAGGAUACCGGUCAAAUCGGUUAGCGCUCCUCCACAUCAAACUCACAAGCAUGGCAAUCAUCGUAUUCGUAUCAGCUUGGAAACUUGUUACAAGUAACGAAGAGCAACAGAGUCCGCUCCUCUAGAGUCGGCAACAGAGUUUUAAUUAACGGCAUCUUCUCUCACAUUUUUUUUUAAAAAUUGAAUUAUAUAACCCACCAAAACUAUAAAGAAUUGUUAUUCUUCAUUAAAAUUAAUAUACUGUUCCUCAUAUUAAAAAAUCAAAAUUCAGAAUAAGAAUAAUUGAUACUGUUUAUUUACUAAAAUGAAAAUGAGAAUAAAAAUAAAAUAUAUGGAGCCUAUAUAUUUUUUAAAUUAAAAAAUAAGAACUUUUCAUGAGGAGUGUUGAGAAUCAAGUUCUCAUUAUUUAAACUCUCAAUUGUACCUUACCAAAAUUUCAUAAUUUCACUUUUGUUCUCAAUUAAAAUAUUAUUACAGUUAUUAUUCUUAUUUUUGUAGUUGUUGUUGUUGAUGAUGAUGAUUAUGAUGAUACAUGAUAAUAAAAUUAAUGAUAAUAAUAAUGAUAAUGAUAAUGAUAAUAAUAAUAAUGAUAUGAUAAUGAUGAUAAUAAUUUGAACAACAACAACAACAAUAAAUAAUAAUAAUAAUAAUGAAAAUAAUAACUAUAAUUUUAACAACAAUAAUAAUCAUUAAUAUUAUUAUUGUUAAAAUUAUUAUUAUUAUUAGAUAAUUAUUUUGAAUAAUAAUAAUCACAAGUCUAUUCUGAUUCCAGUUUAUUCCGAUUAUCGAUUAGAAAAUGCAUCAUUACUGUUUUAAUAAUAACUAAUAAUUCUCUUGACAUCAUAAUCGUAAUUCUUAUACUAUUAUCCUUAUUUUAAAAUCCACUACCAUGAGCUUGCAUCAUUUGAAAUGGUAGGUACUAGGUAGCAAUUGCUUACAUCAAAAUAUCUAGACUCACUCGGCAAAGUAUCCGAGGCCAAAACGCCAAAAGAUGGGACACCCACAUGUGCAUCUAAUUACAAAAUCUAAAGUUAAUGAAAAAGAAAAAAGAAAAAGUAUAAAUGAACGGUAUUGGCUGUAGGACAAGGGGAGGGGAAAAAGGACCAUUUUGUUUUCUUUGCUAAUUCACAUGGGGAAGGGAAAAAAAGAAAAAGACAGUUUUGAUUAAAAAACACAGAAUAUUCAAUUCACAAGCCACCAAUGCUUGUGGACCAAUGGUCGAUAUAUGAAAGUUAGAGAUUCUGGCAAAAUGAGCAAAUAUUUUGAGUUGAUUAAUGGAUUUGUUUGUAAUGCAAUACAAGAUAGCAUUUUAAAGCUGGCAAGAAAGAAAGAAAUAAGUCAAUAAUUGAGAUAUUUAAAGAAGCUCAAGUGGUCAUGAAAUCUCUCCUUAAAAACUAUACAAGAUAAUGUUAAUGAUAAAGUUAGCCAACCAAGUCGUUCAAUCAUUGCUAGAAGCAAGCAGCCAUUGAAGUUGAUAGAAGCUAAUGCAUGGAAAAAGGUUCGUUACAUAAAGGAGAUAAUGAGAAAAUUGAUGAACCCCUAUCAUCCAUGUUUUGUUUCAAUCAAAAGGUUUGAAUUUUAAGGCCGAUAUUUUGGACUGAAUCCCCCUGUCUGCUUCCAAAGGGGAGGAUGUGCAUGUAGUUGAUUGGGCCGAUGAUUGUGAUGGGAGGGAACUUUUAGCUUGGAAAUGGACCUAGCAAGCCCAUGUUUGAUUCGGUAAGUUGUGACUUCUCAUGGGCAUUUGAAAUUUUUAAAUGGCCUUUUAUAACCUUUGUCAAGAUUCUCAGAAAUCGAAUCAUUCGGUGAUUACUUGCAAAUUCGGAAAGGAAAUUGGAAUCAAACUGGGGUUCUAAUUAAAAAAAAAAAGGGUUCAGAAUCAGAAUUUUGUUCUUUUGACUGACUAAACUACCCUCAUUUAAUUUUCAAAAUGCCCAAAUUUUUAUCAUGCUCACUUGGCGUUAUCUCGUCUUGUGGGAGCUGUAGGACAGUUGAGAUAAAAGAUAUUGCUCCAGUAUCUACUGUUUUCUCAUCCUGAUCUUCAGAGUUAUUCUCAACAAUGGACAAAUUUGAGUUUAGAACAGCAUCAGAAACCAAUGACACCCAGUCGCAUCCAGCUACUUCUUCACUUUGCUCAAUUCGACAGAUUUUACGCAAAUUUGUUUUGUUCUCAAAAUAGUCUGCUGCUCCCGGAUUGUCCUCAUUACAUUGAACGAAUGAUGACGACGCUCUGUCCGUUUCUGGCUCUCUGCUUUUCUCUUUCACAUCACGAGACACCUCGUUUCUAACUGGGGUACCACCAUCACAUUUAACUGUUAUUGGCAACUCAAUAGCUAAUUCCAAUGUUUCCUCAAGCAGUUUAGAGAUAAACUCUCUCGCUGAACUCCCUGGAGUAACACAAUCCAGUUUUCCAGUGCAAUCAUCAAACAGUUGAACAGCUCCUGAAUUCCCUUUGCUUUUCUUGUUUUCUUUUCCAUGUAAAGGGAGCUCAGGCUUCAAUAUAUCUGGGGAUUGAUUACUAAUGAUAAAGACAACAUGCUGUAGAGGACACAAAUUGUUAUUAAACAACGAUGCACUUUUCAUUUUUCAACUGAGUACGGUAAAGCAAGAAUGGGUAAUUAGUUUUACCUGCUAAGCGAAAAUCUACACUCCCGAAGGUAACCGAUCUUGGGUGAAGCAAAUAAAGACGAAGGCGAAGUAAAAUUCACUGAGUUGAAUGAGCGAUCAUUGCUGAUAUAAUUAAAGACUGGUGAAUCCUGCAUGUUGACAAGCAUCAUUUUUAAUCUAACAUAGAGUCUUAAAAACCUGGUCAGUGGCAAAUGAUCACGACAACAAAUCUGAAGUACAAACAGCAGAGCUCAACAAAUCACUAAGAGAAAAUAACACCAGUAACCAAGCAGAUGAAAGAAAAGCAAAAUAAUCCAUCUCAAAUCACCACAUGCACAAUUUAAGGGGGUUGUGACAUGGGUUUAAGCAUGAUUUAACAAGUGCCACCAGUGAAUUCUCAGAUUGAAUUUUCAUACACAUGUCAAAUUUUCAAGUCCAACGAAUUGUUAUCUUUCUGAAGAUAUUAACUAUGCAUAGCAUGCUAUAAACAAAUCAUAUUAUUAGGGCCUUUGUUUGCUGUACACAACAUAUGUACAGAGGAACAAAUCCAUGAGCUGAAAUCAUCAUAUUCCAAAAUAUUCUACCCAAUCAACACUACAAAACCGUAACGCUAAACAGAAUUGGAGCAAUUUAAGAAAGCUAUUUGUCACACAAAGCACUAGUACCUCAGAACCCAAUUUGCAAAAAAGCAACAAAAAUGAAAAAUAACAAAUGCCCAGAUGCAAAAUCAGGAAAAAAUGCUCAAAUACAAACUACAACCCCAUAAGCUGAGAUUGACCUCAAACUUGGAAACAGAAGCGACAGUGAUCUGUUUCUUGUCUGGAGUGUCCAUUUCUAUAAUCUACUUUGUCCGUUUUCAGUCGCUCCGCCACAAAGCCUCUUCACUCCGAAGCUGAAACUCGCCACACACUUGCAAAACGAAAGCAUUUGAUUGAUUGAGAGGCGGGAAGGCGGGAAAACGAGCGAAAUUUGCUUUUGUUUUUUCUUCGUUUGGUCAUACAUGUGCGGGCCCCCCAGGUUGACAAGCGUUAUCAUUACUAUUUGCAUUAUUUGAAGGACGCGUGUCAUGCAACGACGAUAGAAAAAGUGGUGCAAAACUCCAAUUGUCACGAAAUGAUGAUAAAAUAAAAAUAUAUCGUUAAUUUUUCACUUAACAUUGGAAUAUCAUAUAAUUUUAUGGUCAUUUUCUCGCCGCCACAUUCUUUUGAUAAAAUAAUACGGUAAAACUUUUCUAUAAUCAUGAUAUUAGAACCCAAUUAACUUUGUUUCUACAAAGAGGUUAUAGCUUAAUAAAGUAAAAUUGUAAAAAAUAUUAUUUUGACUUAAUUAUCUAAAGAGUAAAUAUAUAAUAAUUAAUUAAUAAAUUAUGUCAAAUACAAUAUAUGGACUAUGAUAAAAAAGAUAGACAUAAUUUCAUAAAAUUAAUACAUAUGUUUUUGUAGUGCUGCGAUUAUACAAAGUUAUCUUAAAAGUGUAAAGAGUAAAGUAUUGUUUUAAUUAAUUUAAAAAAAUAUUUUAUUAUUAACCUUUAAUGCAACAUAGUAAUUUUUUUUCCCUGGCAACAAAGUAUUGUUCCAAAUAAUUAUUAUUGGAUCUAGAUCCUGCCCUAGGCAUUUUCUCUACUAAUCCUCAUAAACUUUUAGGGUAUGUUUGGCACGUAAGAUUAGAUUGGACAAACUAUUAUGAUUGGACUAACUUAGAAUGGAUUAGAUUAGAUUGGAUUAUAUAUAGUGCUGACUUAUGUUUGGUAUGGUAUUGGAUUAGAUUAUGUUAAAUUAAAUUUACAUAAAAUUAAAUAGUAUUUACAUUAAUAUUUGAAUUUAAAUAUCAACUAUUUAUAGAUAUUUAACAAGAAAUAUUAUAAUUAAUUAAAAAUAGCAAUUGGGUAGUCAUAAUUAUAAUAAAGAAAUAUAAAUUAUUUAAAUUAUAGGUUAUUUCAAAGAGUGAUGAUACAACCACAAAUUCUUGUACAAACUGAUUUGGCAUUAAUUCAUUUAUUGAAUGAAAAUAUAAAAUAAUAAAAAUAAAUCAUGUGGGCCCAAGAUAUAUUUAAUUCAACCAAUUUUAUCAUGCCACAUCAGUUUGUACAAAAAUUUGUGAUUAUAUUAUUACUCUAUUUCAAAUGAGAGAUAUCAUUUCAUUGAAUAAAAUAAAUAAAAUUAUUCAAAUAAUAAAUUAAUUAAUAAAAUUUAAGUAAAUCAUGAAUAAAAAAGAAAUCAAUUAAUUAAAAACAGUAAAUAAUUAAAUAAUUUUUAAUUUAUAAAUAAAAUGGUAUAAUAAAUUAUGGAAGAUACUAUAAAUACACAAAUAUUUUUUUCACAUUAUCUAGUUCUAACUAAACACACAUAAAAAUUAGGAUUAGCAAUCCCAUGAAUUUAGGAUUAAAAUUUGAAUUUAGUCGAUUAAUCCAAUACAAGUGAGCAUGCUAAAUAUGGUAUUAAUAUUUUAUCCCAGUAAUAAGUCCAAUUCUACACUUAAUCGUACCUCCCAAAUAUAAUCUUAAGGAUCUAUUGACAUGUGUCAUUAAUGAAAUUAAAUGGCUAAGAUUUUGUUUUAAUUAUUUUUUACCUAAAUAGACAUCAAAACUCAUGUGUGACUCUUGUUAAAUUUUUUCUUACAAAUUCUUUUCCUCUUAAUUCUUUAUAUUUUGACACUAAUUUCCAGCAAAUUAUUUAAAAAAAAGGAGCACAAAUUGGAAAAAAGUGAUUGACAACAAGGUUUGCAUCUUAAUUUCAAAAUUUUCCUUUCUUUGAUGUUUUUGUGGUUUCUAUAAUUGUUGUUUUCACUCUAAGUUGCAAUUCAAUGAACUAAAUUAGUGUUGCUACUUUAUAAACUGCUAUUACUGGGCAUAUAAUUCUAUUGCUACAAUUUUUUUGAGUUUAUAGUUUCUGUUCUAUUCUCUUUUUGGGUUUGCAACUGCUGUUUGUUGUUUUUUUAGGUUUUAUAGUUGAUGUUUUGGGAAAAAUAAAAAUAAAUGUGAUCUUGAAUUCUUUAACUACUAUGAAACAAUUAAAUUAUUUAGCUGCUGCAUUUUCUGCUGUAUUAUUAUAGGCGAGAUGUGUGUCGAAAGGGAAAGAAUUUGCCUAAAAAAAAAAAUUGACAAGAGUCACAUGUGAGUUUAGAUGUCUUUUUUAAGUAAAAAUUAAUUAAAAUUAAAUAUUAGCCAUUAAUAACACAUGUCAAUAAAUUUUUCAAAGUCUAAGAAGAUUGGAAGAGGAUCCGAUCUAUUAUUUACUCUAUAAAAGGAAGUUCCUUGAAGACAAGAACUAUAAAUAAAUUAAUAUAAUGAAUUUAUUCUUAACCUAGUCUAAAUUGAGACUAAAAUUUUUUACUUAAAAAUUUACUAGCUAGCUUUACCUUGAUGGACUAGCUAUGGCCCAUACACAUUUCUCCAAUUUUAUUAAUAUUUUUGUGCAUAGCAAUUAGGGAUACGUGACAAUAAAUUAUCCUUUUAACAUAUAAAAAGUAUUCUCACAAGUAGUGUGCCCCUCCAAAGGGCACAGACAGACUUUUAGCCUCUUUCUUCGGUUUACCACUCCAGUUGGAAUCUUCAAUAAGAUUAAACAUUGAAUAUAUCUAAAAUAUUAGCAAUAUUUGUACUUAUAUUUAACAAAACUAGAGUAAUAUAUUGAUUAAUCUACAUAAUUUUGGGCGGGUUCUUAUGUAAUGUUACAAUUAACAUAGAUUAUUUUCACGGUAUAAGGCAAAUCUUGAGAAUGAACCCAUUUCAAUAUGGUUUCCACAAUAAAUGAACCCACUUUACUACCAAUGAAAGGCCUUGACUCAUAUAUAUCCACCUGGAAAGAAGGGGGGGGGGGGGGAGAGAAGAAAUCUUCUAAUUUCUUUCACCAUCAACAAAAUCAGUGAAACACAUACUAAUUCAAAAUAAAAUAAACUUUGUGAAUUGAAAUAAUGCCUGCUCUAAAGAAAAUGAUAACUGCUAUUCAUUUUUCUGAACUGCUGAUAAAAGCUUCUGCUAUUUACUUCGAAAAAAUUGAGUAACUUCAAAUUUUGAGUUUAGGCAAGAGGAUGAAUGGUAAAAGUGAGACAUUUUAGGGGAAAAGUAAAUACUUGAUAGGCCAAUGAAACAUUCAAAAGAUUGAAAUCUAAAUGAGCAAAACCUCAUGGCCUUGAGGCCCUUGAUCCAACAAUUCCACUGCUGUUGACAUGCCUGCAAGCCCAACUCCAAUAAUAGCCACUUUCAGCUUUGGUCCUCUAUAAUGUUCCGGUUCUGGUGGAAACAAACACUUGGGAGCUGCCAAGUAUACCAUUCAAUUAUCCACAGCGAUAUUGGAAAAACAUACAUGUUUGAAAGUACUAAAUAUCAAAUGUCUCCCGAAAAAAAUACAAAGCACAAUUGCAUAAGCAUUUCAUUUCCCAAUAAAUUUCAAGAAUACAAAAUACUUGGUCUGUUCUUGAGUUCCUUUAAGAAAAUUUCCACGAGAGAGCACGCAAGCCACUCAAUAACACUCCAAAGUCAGAUUUUAAACGUUAUCUUGAUCUAUAAGUACAAUCCAUGAACCAUUCUGCCACAAAUUCAAUUAAAAAUUAUUCAAGUAAAAUGCCAAAUUCUCCUUCAAUAGCCUCAAAAAUUCAUAACUAGCAAACACUACAGAACAAAAAGAGCUCCCAGCAAUAAACGCAUAAAAAUCCCACCAGAAACCAGAAAACCCAAAAGAUCAAUACUUGGUAAACAAACAAAUCAAAUCAAAUAAAACAAAAAGAAGAGAAAUUUACCAUUAACACUCAUAUCAGAAACGUUAGUAUCCAAAGAAGCCCGUACACAGAAUCUUGGAACCUUCACUUGAACCCGAGACCAACAAACACCAGUAACUGAAGUUGCAGGAAACAGAAGUGAAGAACCCAUAUUGAAAUAAAAGAAUCCAAACCCAAAGUGCCACAUCUAAAUAUGAUGGAUCCACUUAAAAUAAACAUAUAAAAAUCUUCAAUAUGAGUGCGAAAAUGUGUGGGGGAAAAAACUAAAAAGUGGUUUACCAUGCAGCAAUAUGAAUUUUAAGCUCUCUUUUCUUAUGUCACUCAAGGCAUUGGCUGGAUGGCCAAACAGCAGAGUUCAAGUGUACAAUAGAGAAUCGAAAUUUUCCUUUGUAAAUGUUCAUAAGUAUUUACCACAGAUUUUUAAGUUAUUCUUGAUAGAUCCCCUACCACAUACGCUAUAAUAUUUCUCUCCUUUUAAUUUAAAAGUAAAUCAUGCAUAAUAACGCACUUGUAAAGAAAUGAAAUUUUCGGUAAUUAACUGACAAAAUAAAAAAAAAGGAUUAUGCGAAAGAAGUUAAUAUAGAGUAAGUCGAGUACUUGACAAUCAAAGUAAUUUACUCGAGGUUGAGUAAGGAUAGUACGAUACUUUCUCAAGUUUUCUGAGGACAUUCAUGUGACAUUGGACUAUUGAUUAUAGUUAGAGAGAAGUCCAAGGAUGUAAGUGAUGAUGAUAGAUUCAGAAUUCUUUUGAAGAAAAUAUUUUAUAUAAACUUAAUUAUAUGGUAUAAAAUGAUUGGCCUUAAUAAAAUUAAAAAAUAAUAAAAAUAAUACACGCCUGGGUCAUGCAAUAUUUUCAACCAACUAAUUUACACGCAAAAUUAAAACUUUAUGAGUACAUUUAUUUGCUAGCAGAAACUCUGCCAAAUUUUCCGAAAUGUGAAAGUGAACACUUUUAACAGCGGCACAAAAUGCCUGUGAUAAUGAAACAAUGUGCCAUCCUUAAACUAAUAUUAUUAGAAACUAUAAGUGAAAGUUUUCAGAAAACAUGUGAUAAGUUUUUCUCGGAAUUUGUUUUCUCCUUUGUUUUGAUUUACGCGAGAGAUAGUUGUAAAGAUUGUUUUGAUAAGUUUUCAGAAAACAUGUGACGAAUCGUAGUAAAAAAUUUAUACAUAAUAAUUGAAUGAGAUCCAUGGUUCACAAUUGCAAAUUAAAGGUUGGUUUUAUAAUAAAAAUCGUUUUGUGCAUACCAAAUUAGAAAAGAUUAUAAGUAAAUUAAGAUUUUCAAAAUUUGACUAGUACUAUAUUACGUACAUCAAUAUAAUAUAAAUUUGUUAUAUUUAUAUAUGUUAUUCUGUAACUAAUGCUUUCAAAAAUUUUAUACUUGUAUGUUUGAACAACUUUUUUUCGCUUUCUAUUUAUAUACGAUAUUAUUUAUGUUUACAUAAAUUUUCAUAUGUACCCAAAUUAAGUAUUAAAUACACACACUCUGGUAAGACACAUUUCUAGUAUCAGACAAUGAUAUUAUAUUGAAUGUAAUGCUUCAAUGAAUUUUAUUACUAUAUACUAAAAUACUCAACGAUCUUCAUUAAAAAAAAAAAAAAGAAAUUGCAUGAUUAGAAUGAUUAAAGUUCAUUUAAUGACGAGUUUCAUCAUUGACUGUGUCGAAACAGAACAGCAAUCCACAAUACACUCAACACGAGAGGCGCACACAAGCAUGCAUGAAUCUUCCACCAUUAAACCUGAAAUCAUAAAAUGAAAGAAACAAGGUGAGUGUUGUUUUACGGUCUGAAAGCCGAUUCGAAAUAAUAAUAAUAAUAGACCUUUGUUAAUAGUUACUACUAGUGGUCACUGCCUUGUCCAUCUUCCUUCUCUGUAUUAUCGUCCUCUUCCAAGCCGCUGUCAUCUGACCAAACCCCAGCAACCAUGGGAAAAAUCACCUACUUGUUUUAGGAGCAGGAGCAGGAGCAGGAGGAGGAAAUUAAGUUAGGGAUUUGGAGUGAUAGGGAAAAAGCUGAUUGUUGAGAAAUAUGUAUACCUUUUGUAUGGUUGUGUUAAGGUCGCCCUUCCAAGCCCAACGUGCUUCACUCCGCCGCUGCACUUCGUGUAAUUUGGGUGUACUUAAAUUUCCUUCAGAGAAAAUCUUCAUAUCGGGGCAAUCAUCCACCACUAAUAUUUCCAAAGAUGGGAACUUGAAAGCACAAUUGCCAGAGCAGAAGCUUGUCAAACUUUUUAAGUCUAAAAGCUUCAACUCCUUCAAUUCUCUGAAAGUAAUAACCUCAUCUUUUGCCACAACAUCAUCCACCAAUACUAUUUCUGUUAUCAUAACGCAUGAUUUUAUCUUCAUAUAUCUAAGUCGCACCAGAGACUUUGCAAUUGAGGAUGUUAAUACGAUUUUCAAUCUUUCGCAACUGAAUACCACCAGAUUUGUAAGAUUCUGAAAGGAUGUCGACGAUGGCACUAGAUUGACCAAACGGUCACACCCCUUUACACGUAGAAUAACCAAGUUGUUCGUAACAGAGGACUCCCUUAUCAAAAUGUUCUCCAGAUGAUAACAAUUAUUUGCUUCACUUAUUUCUACUGCCAUACCAUUUUCAACCUUCUCUUUCGGCGACCGGCCACCAUAUCCUUGUAUUUGGAGGACUUUCAUUGUGUGAAGUCUCUGGAGGAAGUCAUCAAGUGAUACAAUAGUCGGCUCAUCAACCAACUCCACAAAAAGAUAUUUUAGUUUGCAAAGCAAGUCUUCAAAAAAUAGAUAUUUAUUUGUUCCUAUGUACUUUGCAUCAACUUUCAACUCUUCCAAAUUAGGGAAUACCUGGGAGAUCGAUCAGAACCAAAAAAAAAAAAAAUACAAGAUGAAUCAGUUGAUGAGAAUUAUAAGUUACCACUAAUUUAUACAAUAUAUUUUAUUCAAUAAAUCAAUAAAUACAAGAUAAACUUUCACAGUACAUACAUAAGAAUUGAAAAAUUGAUUAUAAAACUCUUGUACGUACCCUUUCCGUCAAGAUAUUAGUAGUUCUUUUGCAUCUCGCCAUGAAUUCAGGACAUCCAGAUAUCCCUAAUUCUUUCAAGGAUGGAAAUUCAAGAUUAUCAAGAUCUCCAGUGCAGAAGCUUGUGAACUUUUCAAGAUCAGACAUCCUCAGAGAUUGCAACUGGGGAAACGUUACAAUAUUAUUCUUCAUUUCUUCUUGGUUGUCCACGACUAUUAACUCUUCCAGGACAGGACAUUUGACUAUCAUAAUGUGUUGGAGUCGAACAAAGCUACUAACUGUACAAGAUGAAAAUAGACAUCUUAAAUUCAUACAGCUGUACAGGGUCAAGCGCGUUAAAUUCUGAAUACCACAAGACAUGACUGCAACUUGGUUCAGCCAAAUCCUCUCAACAUUUAUUGAAUACAACAUCAACUCCUCCAAAUUUGGUAAUGCAACCUGCACGAUCAAAAAAUUAACUUGUUAAUUACAAGCAACAAUGAUUUCUGUUGAUGGACAAAUCAAUAAAAUUACUCUUUCUCUGUUUAUAGUUCUUUUCAGUUUUUCAUACAAACAACCGUUAAUCAAGUUUUCCAAAUUAUUCCUUACUAAAUUUUGGUUGAUUCGCAAUAGGACCUACUAUCCAGCGCGAGCAGUUCUCGGGGAUUUAACUACUGGCACCUCGAUUAUAUAAAAAUUUAGACGGCGGCUAAUAUAAUUUAUAUGUAUUCUAAUGACGUAUAUUAAAGAAAAUGAUUAACCAUAAUUUCAAUCAACUUAUUAGUCUAUAUAUAUAUAUAUAUAUAUAUAUAAUAUUCAGCGAUUACAACAUAUUUAGUAUUCCAUAACAUGAUGUUUAUAAUAAUAAUUAUUAUUAAUUCACUUAUUGUGUCAGAGUAUCUUUUCUUUCUCUAAGAAUGUAUUUGUUACACCCUACUAUACUUCGGAUGAAAAAUUUAGAAUAAUUGUGAAAUAUAAUUAUUAAUCACUCUUUGCCAUAUUUGUUACCAAACAGGAAUAUAACAAAGAAAAAAAACAAAAAUUAUAGAGAAUUAAUAAGACGAUUGACUUAUUAAUAACUGACCUUCUCAGGGAAAAGUGUAUUAUAAAUUUGGACAUUGUCCUCCAAAAUGAUUUCAUGUGACUGCAAAUCAUUAGCUGAUUCCUCUUGUCUCUGUUGACAUUGCAGGUAUCUUGAUUUUAGAGUGUAAACUUAAUUGUGAGCACAAUCUUAAUGCAUAGAUACAAGAUCUUUAAAAAUUAGUAUAAGAAACUUAGCACUAAAUCCAAAUUUGAUAUUUUGGAUUCCAUGAUUAAGAUUUUUUAAAUAAAAAUUUAAUAGAGUUAAUUUAAAAAUAAAAAUUAAAUAUGAAAAAUAAACUUGCAAUUAUGGAUUUAAUUUUAAUAAAUAAUGAAUGUUCUCUUUAUAUUUUUUUUAAAAGGUAAAAGAGCGUACAAAGCCCAAAUUCAUUUUUUUAAGUCCUUUACUCUCCCAUGAUUCAAACUUGGGUGGUUGUAGGAGGACUGCAAAUAUAUAAGACAGUUAACUUCACUUUUUUUUUCUUUUUUUUUUUGUUGAGAGAAAAGAGAAGAAGGAUAUUACAAAGCAUGAAGCUCGUGCAAUAUAAGGGCAAUUAUGGUUUUUUCUUUAAAUUAAAAUGGUAAGAUUCUGAAGCUAAAAGAUUAAAAUAUUAAUUAAAUUGCAAACAUUAAAGAUUUUUUUUGCAAAUGGUUGCUUUUAAAAUGAGAAUAAUAUAAUAUUUGAAGACUUUUCAAAAUUAAUUACUGUGAUGCACUAGAAAUUUCUAGCUUUAGUCUAAUGUAUAAAUUGACAAAACGAUAUUCGAAUCCCAGGUGAAAAGAACCCUCUCAUACCAAUUAUUUAAAUUAGGAAUGAUCAUACCUUUGACUCUGCCGGAUUGAGGGCGAGCCAGAGACGCUUGAGAUGGGAAGAGCCCACUUUGACUAAUUCAUUACGAAAAUAAUCGACAUCUUGCUCUUGCAAUCGCCAUAACUCAAGGUCUUCAAUUCUCUGCAGUUGCACGAUCAGCGAAUCCUUCAAGCAAAUCUUGUUAUUUAGCUCGAGACUGAAUUCACGACACCCAAUGCCGGUGCUCUCCCAAUAGCCAUCAUCUCCAAUGCGUAUGCUGUACCUUUCC